rnacentral:lncRNA from 1 species
UUUUUUUUCUGUCAUACUUAUGACACUUAUAUGACAAUAAUUGUGACAAAACACGGUAUCAUCAUAGAUGUGGUGGGGUCCUACUUCUAUGACAAAAAUCAUGACAGAAAAUGGGCUUUUCGUCCUGGGCGGGCCGGAGACGCUGCUGCAUGACAUUUUUUGGGCCGUCCAUGACGGAAAAAACCAUGGUAGAAGCGAGGGCAAGGAAAAUAUCGGGGUGUUCCCGGUAACGGUGGGUGGCCGGGGCCGAGCGAUGCACAUUUCUCUCGUACAUGCACGCGCGUGGGUGCGAGGCGUUGGGCUCUAACUGAACCUGAGCGAGGCGUUGGGCUCUAACUGAACCCGAGCGAUUGCAGUGCAGGCUACGUGUUACUGAACCCGAGCGAUCGAUCGAUGGCUGUUAACUGAACCCAAUCGAGCGAUUCCAUCGCUACUGCUGCUAACUGAAGCCGAUCGAUGCUGCCUCUGGAUGAAUAGUGAGCGUUGCUGGGGGGGUUUGGAUGAACAGUUCCCGGUGGGGGUGGAUGAACAGGACCCCGUGGUGUUGCCUCUGGAUGAACAAUACCCCUAUCAAUCGAGCCGGUUGGGGCUGGAUGAACAGGACCCCGUGGAGGGCUGGAUGAACAGGACCACCCCGUGGAGGGCAGGAUGAACGGUAGACGAUGGAGGGCUGGAUGAACAGUAGCCCAUGGAGGGGUGGUUGAACAGGAGCCCGUGGAGAGGGCUGGUUGAACAGUAGCCAGUGGAGUAGCGCACAGUGGAGCUGGAUGAAUAUGAGCCCGUGGAUGAACAGUCGCAGGUGGAGGCUGGAGGAGGUCGACGGUGGAUGAACAGUAGCCCGUGGAGGCUGGAGGGGGGCGAUGGUGGAGAUGAACAGUAUCCCGUGGAGUCCCGUUUUGCGGUACGCCACACCCCUCCCGAUGAACAGGACCCCCGUUUCGACCGUAGCGCUCCAACACAAGUCUGUUUCCUCCGUUUUGCGGUACGCCACACCCCUCCCGAUCAACAGGACCCCCGUUUCGACCGUAGGAGGUCCGUUUCCUCCGUUUUGCGGUACACUAGACCCCUCCCGAUGAACAUGAUCCCGUUUCGAAUGUGGCCGGUCGAACACAAGGCCGUUUCCUCCGUUCUGCGGUACGCCAGGCCUCGUUUCCAUCGGCUGUUCCGUCCAAGCCCUCCCGAUGAACACGACGACGCAUUCUGUUCCGACCCAGCCGGUUGGUUCCCCAUGAACACGAGACGACGUUGUUUCCAUUCCGACCUAGCCAUGUACACGAGCCCUGGCCGUACGUAUGUGCGAGUAGGCGUUCGAGACACUGCCCGUAUGUACGUACGUGGCCGUAUUUUCUUUCUUGCACACUGGUUGUUGUACGUACGUGUACAUGCUACGUCCGUGCCUCUACUAUGACACGUGCGCGCCUCUACAUCGACCAGUAUGUACGUACACGUUUGCGACCAGAAUGACAAUGCUACGCACGGUUCGACUAGGUGGGUCCCAACUGUCAGGCACUUCCUUGCGUGCGAAGAUGUAGCUGGUGGGUCCCAGCAGUCAGGGGGGCGAAUCGUUUUUUUUUGCCCGGACGCACUUCCUUGCGUGCGAAGAUGUAGCUGGUGGGUCCCAGCAGUCAGGGGGAAAUGUUUUUUCACGAAAUACGGUGGCCCGUCCGGUGGGUCCCCGCUGUCAGGUGGAGGAAUAAUUAUUUUGCGCGUAAUAAGGAGGCACUUCCUUGCUGCGGUCGUGGACCCAGCUGUCAGCCUCUCCACAUACAGUCCACGUCCGAUGGAAGCCGUUCCUUGACCACGUUGACCACGCCGCGGCGAGAGCACCAGGACGGUGGACGACGGUGAGGCCUAGGAAGGGGACGACGCGGAGCCGGGGAAGACGCGGCAAUGGAAGCCCGCGCGGAGAGGAGUACGAGGGUUCACUGGUUCGGCUGCGGUGUGAGGCUGCCGUCGCCGCAAGGCCUGGCCAGCGGUGGGAAUAGUAGGGGGCGGUGAGGCCUCCGCAGCAGGACAGCCGGCCAUGGGAGGCAGGAGCAUGCGGCACGACCGGCGCUGCUUUGGGCGGCUGGAGCAAGAAGACCAGAGGUUGAAGAAGCACUACUGCCGUUGGACGAACAUCGUACGGUCACUGGAGCUAGAAUCGUUCAUAUUGACUAAGUUGACAAAGCACUCCGUCCCCGUCAAUUUAGUAGGCCCACAAGUCAGCCACCCACCAAGGUGGGUCCCAACUAGCAGGGGGAGUAUUCAUUUUUUUGUGCGUAAUAAGGAGGCACUUCCGGUGGGUCCGAGCUGACAGCGGGGGGAAUGUUUUUUUUCACGAAAUAUGGUGGCCCGUCCGGUGGGUCCCAGCAGUCAGGGGGGAAACGAUUUUUUCGCCAAAUACGGUGGCCCGUCUGGUGGGUCCCUGCUGUCAGGUGGAGGAAUAAUUAUUUUCCACGUAAUAAGGAGGCCCAUAAGUUAGACCAUUCCCUCUUUUUUUAAUAAUUUAUAUAUAGCUCAUUGCGACUUCUUAUGCAAUUUAUUGCAGUCCGUUUUUUUGGUUGGCCAGGGCCAAUUUCACAUAUUUCUAUGGGUUCCAAACUAUUUUUAAUACCGAAAUGGCGAGCCAGAUUGAAAGUACUUUGAAUAUAUAUUUAAAUUAGGUUAAUGCCCGGUGAAAUAGGAAUCUGAAAAUGUGAAAAAAAUCUGAAAUUAUAAAGUAAUUGCUAAUUUGUCAAGCGUCUUGAAAGAGUUGCAGCCCAUCAGGGCAUAGAAAAAUAAAUAGGCCUGGAUUGGGUAUUCUUCAAAAAAAAUAAACUGGGCUCAUUUUCACAAAGAAAAAAUAGUUGGGCUGGUCACAUGGUGAACAUAAAAUAUAAGCCUGGGCUAGACGGGCCACAGCCCAGUUCAAACCCUGCUCCGUCUUAACAAUAACAAAAAAAAUACUGCUCGAGCAGCUACGUCCCAGGUGCCAGCCGAGCUUGUGCUAUUCUCUUGUCUAUUGACUAUAUACGCUCACAAUGUUGUGGGUCCCAGAUGUCAGGAGAACACUAGGAGGAAGCAUUUUAUUUUUCCAUACGCUGACAUGGUGGGCCCGUACUGUCAUCCUCUCCACGUACUUCUGCCGAUUCCUGUUGUUUGUUGACCAUGUUGACAACGCGACAGGGCGGCGCCGCGGCGAGUGCACCAAAGCGCGUGGAGGACGACGACGAGGCCUUGGACGUCGGCGUUAAUGAUUUAGGAGACGGUGGGGUGGCGAUGCGUGCGCUGAGGCCCAGCCAGCCGUGGGAGGCGGAAGUAGGCGGCCCCGCCGGCGCUGGUUUGGUUUUGGCGGCUCGAGGAAGACAGGACUGAAGAAACACGACAGACUAUAAAAGCAGCAGGAGUACUUAACAACCUUAACUGAAACCAGCAGGGGCACUUAACAACCAUAGCUGAAAGCAGUAUGAGUACUUAUAUAGGUUCAACUGUACAAAGCACGCCUUGAACAAUGCUACUUUUCCUACAGUUAACCAAGGGUGAGGUCUCCAAGCCCCGGGACAAGGCCCAGGCGCCACCCCGUGCAUCCACAACCUUCUGAAAGCGGCUUCAUCUCGCAAUGUGGUCAAUAAAUAGGAUAUUCGCUUUAGAGCCAUGGAAAAGCAGGAACAUAAUCUUCUGUCCUAUUCUCCAAGAUGGACGGGCCUUCAUUAUUUGAGACCACCCAUGAAUAAGUAUCUUUUCACCUCCAAGGGGAAUGGAGUAGGUCGACAUAAAGUUCAUGUUGUGACCAAGCGCAAGUCUGACCCGACCAUGGUCAGGCAUCUGUAUAGGAACAAUAGAACUGGGAAGUUUCUGUUUCAAGAAGAUCACAACUGUUAAACUGUGUAUAAGCAUAGUUUAUGAACAACAUAUAUAACAGAAAACAGCUCGUACCAUAAGUUUCUCGACACAGUUGGACCUGUUCAACGAGUGCAGCAGUGGCACACAUAUCCCACGUGGCCUUCCACCAUUGAAACGCCCCACAAGGACCUCAAGACGAUCAAUAAAGUGUAGGAACUUGUGGAUGUCGUCCCAGUCAACUUCAGUGCCAUCAGUAACAGCCGAGUUGUUACAGAAUAACAAACGAGCAGCCUGCUUUACUCUGAAAAAACCUACACGUGCCACCAAUUAUAAGAAAAUAUUAGUUAGAAGUAGCAUCUUCGUGAGAGAUUCGUUGCUACUUCUAAAGUUAAAUUGUGAUUAGUUAGACAGAAUAGGUGGAUUAAGAAGUAAUCGAGGCAACAAGCAAGAACCAGAUACAAAACUAACAUGGAUGAACAAUUGGAACGACGUCGGGGUGGAAGAUCGCAGUGAAGAUGAGACCAGGUUCUACUAUUUCCAUCAACAUUCGUACGCCAACUUUCAGUCUGUAACACUUGAGAAAGUUUAUCCAAGUUCGGCCAUAAAAAAAGCAGCGAUCUUAUUGGUUCAUGAACCCAACUCGAAACUUAUAUCCAUGGCUUGUCUUCACUGUGACCAUUAAACUGGUGUAUUUUGUUAUGGCAAGGCCAAGCAUCUUGAGUACAUGUGUUCUGGCAGAGCAAAUAAUGCACUGCAGGAAAAAUAAUAUGAGAACACAAUGUAUUCCCUAUCCAAAUCUAGAAAUAACUUCCUCCUUCACGUCAGUGUUGACCAUCGUACUGGUACUACCUUUUAUCCAAAUAUAGCAAUCCAAAUUUCCAAAUUAGUCGAUAGCAUGUUCAAAAAAACCCCACCCUCCCGGAUAGAAAAGAGAAUUCUAGGAAUAUACUGUGCGCGUUUUAAAAUCUUGUGUUAGGAUGAGAAGGAACAAGUGUGGCGUCUCACCGAGGGCGCAGAAACCUGUAGGGUCCUCGCACUUUGGGCGCUGCAAAUGAAACACACUAGAUUCAGUAGGAAGAAAAAUGCAUCAACGGCGGCGGCUGCCAUCCUAGGAUUACCCGCGACCAAGGGACUUGGAUUUAUCGGGGAUGGAUGAAGAAUUCGUACCUGGUUCUCCAUGAGAAAACCCUAUGCAAUCGCUGAGAGGGGGUUUUCUCUGAACAAGCAGACGAGGGAGAAGGGGAUUCAGACCCAGUGAAAUAUUGCCGCUUCGUCCGUCCAGCUUACUGCUAAAGCUGGAAAGGGGGGGUUUGUGAUUUGACGGCUCAUUGGGCAUUACUGCGGCGCUACGACCGGGGUGUGUCUACUGGGGCACUCUAAUUUGUGCAUAUGGCAUGUGGACCCCGUUGCCGGAUGCCCCACAUAUCAUCGAAAGCAAGUAGAAAGACAGGAGUAACUAGUUACACAAAAUAUAUUUUUGACAGAGAGAUACUCCCUCUGUAAAGAAAUAUACAAAUCUUUUAUAUCACAACUUAAUACAUAAGAAAAAUCAAGGAAAUAUAUAUAACAUAUAUAAUUAUAGAAAACAGAGUUGUUUUUAACACAGUAUAGACGAGUUGGUGAUGAUGGUGUGCCUGCCAUCCUGCAAUAUAGGCCGUCCGAUUUAUAUCUGACGGAUAGGAAGGAAACUAUGGCAAUUUUGCAAAAAGGUACCGACACACCUCUCCACAUUUGAAAAUGAGGCCUUCCCUCAUUCAUCCUUUUCUCUCACAAGAUAAAAUACUCAUACAAAUGCAUCUUGAUGUUACAUGCAACGCACGAGCAUUAUGGGGGUUCAGCUGAGAAUAUAAUACUCAGAUAGGCUCACGGUUCUGGACUUUGGGCCGCAGGCCCACCCUGCAUGUUUGGGGGGCCAUGUGUUCUACCUCAGCGCUUUUCAUAUUGCAAGCGAUCGGUACGGCGCUGGUUUUAGAUGCUGUCGCAAGGCGAAUACAUAAAAUUGAAUAAAGCACGGCAGCUGUUGGAAUGAAAUCGAACGACAGUUCCUAACUAGCAAUGAGAGUUGCAAUUCUAUCAAUGAUAUACCAUGUGAUAAAUAACACUGUCGUAUUACUUAUACACACAGGACACUUGUUUCACCAUGCCAGAUUAUUACAUCAAAAUCUCUCGUAGGACAGAUCAGUUCGGCAGUUGCGUGCUGCUACUGGAGAAUUUCAAAGUUGAUUUGGACCAGCUCUCCUUGCCGAGAAAGUUCGAUUUUGAGAUCAUCCCCUACCGCAAGAUAUGAUUUAGAUUUGAACCUUGACCAUCCUUUAGCAUCAAUCAUCAUGCGACCAUCCUUUGUACUUACGAUAUAUUGAGCAGGUUCAUUCACACCAAAGCUGUGCAUGGUAAGAGAAACUUGGCCGCUGUCGCCCGGAUUGUUGAACGACUCCCUCGUUGCUCUAGGAAUUCUCUGUUUGCAAACAAGAAGACAUGCCCAAACAGUUAGAUCAACACAGUGAAUCAUGCGAAACAACAUGGAAAGAAAAAAGAAGGAAACACUUGGGCGGCCAAUGCUUACCAAGAAGGUGGACAUGUCGGUUUUUGUAAGGACUUUGGUAUAUGAAGAGCAAACUGCAGCCCAGUCUGUUGCCGGUGCAACUGCUCGUUCGGUUGCCGCUGCACGGGCCGAAGCAGAUGCAAGUGCAAGUGUUGGUGCAGGUGUCGAAGCCGCCGCUGCUGCCGGAGAUGGUGAUCCUUGUAGAGCUGGUGCCGGUGUCGGAGCAGGUGCCGGUGUCGAUGCCUGAUCCUCCGGUAGAUCAGCCUGAUCCGCUGACGCGGUCGGUGCCCAAUCCUCAGCUGGAUCAGACUGAGCUGCUGCUGCUGUCAGUGCUAGAGCAAUUGCCGGUGCUCGAUCCAUUGCUGAAGGUGGUACCGAUGUGCGAGACAGCGGCGAUCGUGUCUGGUCUGCUAUGAUCAGCUUUCUAACUUGACUAGGCUUCGUGACCGUGAUCCAUUUAUUUUCUUCAUUUCUUUUUAACGCGAGAAGGGCUAAUUGUGGCGUUUUUGUUAAACCAAACUGCAGCUCAUCAUAGGGAUUCAGCUUGUACUCAGACAACAGACUGAUCCAAUUUUUUCCAGUAAUAUAAGUGAUGGACAGUGCCUUUGUUACUGACACGACAUAAGAAGUGAAACCUGCAAAAAUAGCCAUCGUAGAGCAAACCAAACGGUUUAUACUGUGAUGAAUGUCACAUGGCAAAACCUGCAUCGUAAAAUUGCAGGAAAAGAAAGAAAACAUGACAUUAAAUCAAUAAGAUUUGGACAGUAAAUCAAUAAGAUUUACUUGAUGUGACACAAGUGAAUCCUUACCAGGAAAUCACUAUGUUGAAGUACUAAACAUAAGAUUGAUCGUCCAACUACGGGUGCCAUGCAGGGGCCCCGCCUACUCCCACAAGCAGGACAGUCCAAAGGUCGUGACAAAUCGUAUGGACCGAAUAUCCAUGGGACUGGAAAUACUGGUGGGUGCGAUAAACCCUGCAAUGCAUACAGAUAUUGGAGUGUAACCAUAAUUGAUAAACCGUCCUCACAAAAAAGAUGAUCUGGAUACUUCAAAAUAUACAGACUGAAUUGAGUGGACAGACAUUAACAUAGACCAUUCUCAGGACUGACCACACACCAAAAGCGGCAGUACUAAUAAACAAUACAGGGUUCACAAACACAAAUCAAGUACUGAACAAUAGUACUUACUACAGACAAGCAAAGUUGCACUAAUUAAACUCUGCAGACUAUUUCUUGCCACCAACCUACGGGAUGAACCCUGCAUAACUGACUAGGCCAUGGACUUCGUGAGAGAUGUCUAUAUGCACCAUCACCAUCACGUCAACCUUGGAGAACCUAACAGAGUGGUCUUUCCACUCAUAAACAUGAUCAUGAAGAUAGGCCACAUCAGAUUUGUUGGGAAGCUUUACAAGAACCACACCCUUCGUAAUCGAAGGCACAGCCAGGAAAUUGUUGUGGUCAAGUACAGCUUCGAGAACACGCCUGACAACAAUGCUACAGGAAAACACUAGUUCAGGACACAUGGCGACAAGGACAUAGCAGCUGGAUAGUUUAGCAGUAGAACUCAUCCUCAGGUUUUCCAGUUCACACGAAAUGACUUUGAGAACUUCAUCUCCACCGCGGACCUGGUUCUAAUUCAAACAGAAACCAUAUUUUAUUACUACCUCCGUUCAGAAAUAUAAGAUGAUUUUCGAUAUUAUACUCCAUAUAUGACUACAUAUACGCACAGAAAUGAGUGAACAAAGACACUAGAACAUGUCUUCAACGGCAUGAGAGCAGAGGGAUUACUUGCAAUAUCCAUAACACAAGUUACUGAGGAAAAUAUACCCUCUUCAAAGGUAGCAUUGAUGUUCAUAAAGUACUCCCUCCGUUCCAAAAUUCUUGUCUUAGGUUUGUCUAGAUACGAAUGUAUCAAGUCACAUUUUAGUAUUAGAUACAUCCGUAUCUAGACAAAUCUAAGACAAGAAAUUUGGGACAGAGGGAGUAGUUGAAAGUAAUCUAUAAGAAAUCAGUGUCAACCUCUCGCAUGUUUUGGUCAAAAGAGGAAUUUAGAACCGUCAUUUGGCACACAAAAAUCACAUGCAAUAUCACCCAGAAAGUUGUACUACUAGUACUAGUACUACGUGUUAGAUGAAAAAACAUGAUCAAGAUCGAGAAAAAGAUCAUCAAGAAGAGAUAUUACCUGGACUUGCUUAAUGAGGGAUCCCGGAGAGGGGGGCUUGGACAGGGCAAUGGCUUUGAGCUUGUCUGCGGUAGUCUCGGUGGGGAGCUUGCGCUUCUUCGUACCAUGAGCCUCGACAGUUUUGGCCAGAGCCAUAGACAUCACUUCGGCCGGUGCUCUAGCGUCCAUCAAGAAACUGUCAAAUAGAAAUAAAAGAAAAGAAACCAUAAUCACAAACCCAAAAGAAGAAAAGAGGGGGAGUUAUAGGAUCAGUCUCGGGGUUGCAAGACCGGGCCUUGGCCAGAAUCAACACCAUUGAUGCGCUCACCUUUCCUUAUUUGGGAGAGAAGAACAAUGGCAGAAGCAGCUCGGGGUUUUCUUGAAGAAAUGAGGAACAAGAUGAGGGAGAAGCGAGUUGGGUAGAGAGGAAGCUGAGAGAGAAGAGUGAAAUGAUGGUUGCUUCGUCCGUCCAACUUACUGCUGGAAAGGAGGGGGUUUUGUGAUUUGACAGGUCAUUGGGCAUUACUGCGGCGCUUCGAUCGGGGUAGUCUACCGUCACUCUACUACGGAGUAAUUUAGUGCAUGGCUGGUGGACCCCGAUGCUGGCUAUCCCACACGUCGGCGAAAGUGAGUAAUUUAGUGCAUGGCUGGAGGAGGAUCCGCACGGUAGAGCGUAUCCACUGUUUUUAUGAAGAAGAAAAAUGAUUACAGCAAGCGUUUCCACUCUUACAACGGAGGAGUGCGAAACACGGCAGCCACUUGAACAUACACAGUGCUCCUACUACUAGGCAUGUGCAGUGGUUCAUACGUCAGUACUACAUAAUCUUGUUGCUAGUGUAGUAAGAUAUGACGACAACAAAUGAUGUUAUGCGCAUGUCAACUAUAUGAACAGUAAUGUAGUAACAUAGUACCGCUUUCUCGACUGUCCGGUCGAGAAUGAACAGUGAGAUCAAUGUUAACAGAACUAGGUCUACAGCGCACGGAGAGUACGGUGCUACAGUACUGCACGAAACAUGAACCAUAUGAAGCACGAAUAGUGUUAGGCAGGGUGUAUGAAGGGUGCACGGGAUGGGAGCAAAAGUUCCCUUCUCGGCCCACUAUUGGGUGUUUGGCAGAGUGCAUGAAGGGUGCAUGAGUCCACACUAGUAGGUUAACACAAAUACACGAAGAGGAAACAACUAUAUUGAGAUGAGAAUGCAACCAAACACACCCACACGCUUUGUGCUACAGUGACCGAUCUGCACCGUCUGAGUUUGAUCCAACGGUCAUGUUGUGCACUGCGGCCAAGGCGGAGAGGAAAACGAGAACACUUAAUCUUUUUGCUAAUUAAUAGCAUUGCAUGCAAUGAACUAACCACCGCAUGUCAUGUUUAUUAGUCUCAAGUCAUUGAAAGCAUGCACGGCUCACGUCUCUUAUUGGUUGAUAUGUCACAAAACAAGAAACGGGGAGGGAGUUAAUGUACCGUGCCUAAGUGUUUUGGGAUUAUUUGGUUUUCGUAAGGUGACUUACACACCUAGACAGAGGAGUAUAUUGAGAUGAGAAUGCAACCAAACACACCCACACGCUUUGUGCUACAGUGACUGAUCUGCAUCGUGUGAGUUUGAUCCAACGGUCAUGUUGCGCCGAGACAUGGACAUGCCCAUGCAGAGGGCGCCUAAACACCACCGAAGUCCCUCUGCUUCUCGAGGCGCACGACGUUGGUGAUGCAGGGGGCGAAACGGCUGAAAGGCAAUGCAAUCUACGAAGGCGGAGGGAGCCAGCCGAGGAGCGGGGAAUCUUUUGGUUUUCACCAUCGUAAAACACCAGUCGACGACUUCUCACAUCAGGGAGCAGUGGGUUUUACAGGCGGAGUCAUCAUGACUAAUUGCUGCCGCGUCUGCUCCCGUCAAUCAAAAAAUUAAAAAUCCUGCUGCGCCUGCUCCCGUCAAUCAAAAAAUUAAAAAUCCUGCCGCACUCAAACACCAGAGCAACGUCGCGGUGGAUAUUUAAAUUUACCUACCGGCAAGUAGAUAAAAAAGGGGUGAAAAAACAAAUGUGGCGGCGGCCUCGCUAAUCGACCGAACUAGCCCAACUAGCUAGCCACCGUGCUUCACUAAUGUACUCGGCGGGAAAAGUGGUCUUUCAUGAUUUGACGACUCAUUUACUUGCUUCGGCGAAAACACGCGGUAGGGCGUCCCACGUCAGGAAGAAUAUAAGCGUGCACCACCCGGGAGGACCCCGAACCGCGCAGUAGGGUGUGCCAUGUCUCGGCACGGAGGAAAAAUGUGCGUGUAAAAAUUUACUGUAUCAGACGUAGUACCUAUGGUUCGACCUCGGGACCCAGCCAGUCGGUCGAAAACACCCCACUAGCCACACAGCUUCAUCAUGCUAACAUGGCACGGAGGAUAGGUGUGGUUAGCUCCGUCUCGACCAGCCACAACGUCUCUUGUUCUAGGCGAUCUUUCUAUUUUCCAAGCUUUUUUUAGUUGUAAUAACACAAAGGCAAGCUAGCGCCGCUCUUCGUGUGUGCCCGUGCAAAGGUUAGACAAUGGAGAGAAGAGAGAGAUCGCAGACCUGGGACCCACCAGUAAGUGAGUCAACGGUCAUGCACGUGUUGACGAGGCACUCCCUCUACUCUACUCAACGCAAUACUGUAUAAAAUCAAGUUAUGGGACAAAGCCAACAACUGUUGUUGUUUCAGGCUAUCGACUUAUGCUUUGUAGUCCAGGUUGCCAGUUCGAAUCUCGUCUUUUAGAUUUGUUAGUUUUAGGUCCAAAUUUGAUUAAUGACAAGUGGGACCCCCGUGUGUUGUUCUGAUAUUUCAGUGUAGGAUGGUUUUUUGAACAAACACUUUCCGCGGUUAGACAAGUAACGGCACAAGUUACACGUAUUUUGCAAGUUUACGAACAAAAAUGACAUCGGCAUAGAAUAUCACAUCCACCCCGCAGCUCAGAUGCUAUGGUGAUACGAGUUUUUACACCGUUGGAAGUGAGAUCCAAUGGCUUGGGAGUAGUCUUUGUAAGUAUGCGCAAUUUCCAAACUCUCCAAAGGUAUUUUUGCAAAUAAAACAUUCAGGCCUCGUGUGUGCUGCUGCAUCUAGGAUCCAACGGUUGCCCGUUGCUCAUAUUAGGUGCUCCCCGUAGCUUAAUUACCCGCUAUGGUGAUAUGAGCAUCUAGGUCGUAUGAUCAGUGAUCAGAUGGCACAUGCGUAGUACUUGUACUUUCUGCGCAAUUCCCAAACUCUCUCAGCCGUAUAUUGCAAAAACAUUCAAACCUCCUACUGUGGGCCGUUAGAUCUCCGCGAACUCGUAUCACCAUAGAAUCUACGGUGCAGGAGCACCUCAUAUUCUUCCGUGCGAGAAAACAUAAGGUGCUCUCGCAGCUUGGAUGCUACGAUGAUACGAGCUUCGAGGUCGUUUGGUCUGAGAUCCAAUGGCAUCUGAGCAGUCUUUGUGCUUAUAAGCAGUGGCCGAACUCUUUGGGGGCUUUUCUGAAAAAAAAACCAUUCGAACCAUGGAGGAGGUGUUGGGUCACAAAUCCAACGGCUCCGAAGAGCUUGUAUCACCAAAGCAUCUAAGGUGUGGUAGCACAUGAUAUUCUUACAUACAGGAGAAUAUGAUGUCCUCCUUCAUCUUAGAUGCUACGGUGAUACGAGCUUUGAGGUCGUUGAGUAUUUUUUGUACAAAUUGUGUGCAAUUCUCAAACUCAUCAUGGUUUCCUGUAAAAAUAUUAAGACAUCAUGUGAGCUGCUAUAUCUCAGAUCUACAAGCUCCAAGCAACUCGUAUCGGCAUAUAACAUCUAAGGUAUGGGGGCACAUGAUAUUCUCCCGGGGAGGAGGGGUGAGGGGUGCACAAUCGAUGGUAGGAGGGUGGGGACAAAUAUAAUCUAAACAACCCUAAACAGAGCUUCACAAUUUUAUCUAAGGUCGAGGGGGUGACCCCCGACAAUCAUAGCUCCGCCUAAUUAAACACAACAUUUGCAUGUACUGUAGUACUAGACUUAAUAUUCAUGUUUCAGUUUCAUGUUCGUUUUAAAUAUUGAAUUGAGGACCAUGCAUGUCUUACAUUUUACUCCCUUCGUUCCUAAAUAUUAGUCUUUUUAGAGAUUUCAAGUGGACUGGCACAUACGGAUGUAUAUAGACAUAUUUUAGAGUGUAGAUUCACUCAUUUUGCUCCGUAUGUAGUCGCUUGUUGAAAUCUCUAAAAGACUAAUAUUUAGGAACAGAAGGAGUAUUUUUGAAUUCGUGUCAUACAUGCAUGGUUUGGAAAAAUAGAUGCACUAUACUUAUUGGAUUGUUGUUGUGUUCGUGUGUGGGUGUCUGUGUGUGUGUGUGUGUGUGUGUGUGUGUGUGUGGUCAUAUGCUUGAUACAUACAAAGUUUUCUCACCUCCAUAUUGUUCAUCUUUUAAAUUUGAAUUUGCAUUGAAAAACUUACCAGGGAUACCAUGAAAUGUGAAAUCCACGUUGAGAUCACUAUAUCACAAACUCACUCUAAUUCAACAACUCGUCAUAAAUCAAUUACCAUGUUGAGAUUAGUAUUUGCAAGGAAAAUACGGGCAUUGUAAUACACAUAGAUUCGUUCGGCAAUUUAAAAGGUUCCAUUCAUAUUCUCGAAUGGUAGGACCCAACGGCGUACCAGCCAGACCUUGGCUCGUGUUGAUCCUAAAAAAUCCGGGCUCGUAUCCUUCUGGUGGCGUGCGUGGUACGCACAUUAGGCAACCCCAACCAGUCGAGCCUCCGCGUUUCGAGUCGAAAUAUCUGGCGGCCAGAAUUCCAGCCCUAGGAAAUUCCCCUCAUGUCCCCGGUCCAUAAUGACUAUCGAUGAACAACGGAGGGAUGCUUUACUAACUAGACAACGUUACCUACCGUGCCGAGCACGGUUCAAUUCCCAUGGUCGCUGCUCGCCAAGAUCACCUGUCAACUGCAUUGCCUAGUACUACUACUACAUCAGGAUGAGCACAGAAUUGAGCCCGUUUGUUUGUGCAUAGUACUUGAGUUAAUAUAUCAGGCAAUGCACUGGUACGGAGGGAUUAUCCUUUUGCUCUGCAUAUAUAACUUGUCUGAAGAGUAACUAAGCAAAAUGUUUGGCCAAAUCCUUUCUUAAGAAAUACAACAGGACAGAUGUAUGGCUUGAAAAUUUAUUGCAUGAUGCAAGUUUUGGUAUUGUUUCGAAUCCUGGAUCUUAAAUUAUAGAAAAUCCAAAAGUGACCAAAAAUUCUUGAAACUGAGCAUGGUCACGUGAUAUUGCACAAAUAUUACUUCGUAAUUUUUUCUUCAAUUUUGAGACAAGCUGCUUAUGACAAGUUGCACAAAUGAAGAGCCAAGGUAUUUUGGAACAAAGACCUGUCAUGUUAAGGCGAAUGCUUUCACUAUUGAAACCGUGGGCGUUUACGUGCCGCCACGAGUCCCGCUUCUCAUCGGCAGGUGCCGUCCGAGCAAGCGUGUGAGUCGACGGGAGGCGUGCGAGCAGACCGCUGCGCCGGCUGACAGGGAGGCGAGCGAGCAGACUGCUAUGCAGGCUCACCGGGAGGCGAGCCCUUUGACCAGGCUCCGCCGCCCACCUUCGUCCCAACUGCUCCCACUUUUAAUGUUGUCGGCGGCGUAGUUUAAAAUCAACACCGCACUUCCCGGUAUCGCUACAAUCUUCUCUCUUCCUCUCCGAUUCUCCUGUCGUCUACCUCCAACCAGCCUGACCUAAGCGUACGCCAUGCCGCAUCAUGAUGGUAUGCCCUUAGUCUUCCAGUUUCCUGAGGAAGACACCCAGCUGGAAUCUCGAGAACAUAAGGCACUUUGGGACGAGCUUGAACUGGCCUUGCGGGAAGACGUUGCGCCUGUCCCCGCUCCCGUUUCGGCUCUCGUCGCCCCGACUGCGCCAGCGCCAAUCCCCGUGGCAUUGAUGGGCUGGGAGCCGCACAUUGUCGCCGAGCUUGAUGCCACGGGGUUCCACGAGGUCCGCGCCGAAUUUCACGCGCCCGUGCACCUGCCAGCGCAUGCGCCUGUGCGUGCACUGACGCGCAUGCCCGUGCCGGUGCCCGUGAACCUACCAGCGCAUGCGCCUACGCGUGCACUGACGUGCGCGCCCGUGCCGGUGCCCGUGCACACGAAUGUCUACGUCGCGCCGUUGACAGCGCCUGUCCCCGCGCGGGUGCCAGUGCCCCCCUCAGCGGCAUGGUUGGCCGCCGUCGACCGAUUCCUUGCACCAACGCCAGUCGCCUCCUCCUGCCAGUUGACUUGCUCCGAAGUCCAGAACAUUUUGGCCUUCCUUGAAGCUAGGACAACGUCCAGGAGUACACCAACAACGACGCAAGGCGCCGCCAUCGUCGUCGGUUAGUGGCCCGACGACACACAGAGCACGGCAGAGGAGCCGCUUCCCACCGCAAGACGCCCCCGCCGCCGCUGCGUAAUCUAAAUUUUCCAUGAAAAGCGUUCGGAUUGCCAUGCUUAAAAUCCGAACGUUUAUCAUUUCCGUUUAUUUUAGAUCGAUCGUCGCAUAAUUUAAAGUCGGAGUCAGACUGAACGAAAUGUUUGGUUUGAUCGACUGAAUGUUCUGCUAGAGCCGUAUCAAAUUAAAUAUAAAACAUCAUCAAGCCACAUGUAUUCCUUGUCAUCCAACAACCUAGACUGGUUCAAUGUCGAGUGCUCAACACGUUUAGCGUGCAGUUAAUUUCAUGCCAAAAAUAGUGCUAAUCACAUAAUAACAUGCAAAUAAUAUCCUACUUAAUAUCCGCAUGCACUUAAUAUACUUCCAAAUUAACGUGCAUUGCACGUACACACUGACUAGUGCUGCUAGCACGUAAAACUGGUGCCGUAACUUGUGAACACGUCCAGAUAUGGUCAACGGCAACAUCGCCCGCGAGUUCUUCGUGUUUGCCCGUGCGUCUAAACGCAGAAGGGGAGGAGAGAGAGAGCACACAUGGAACCCACCAGUAAGUGAAGGUGAAUAGUACUAAAAAUAAUAUUACAUGUUAUCAAUUAAAUAGGCUGUGGUAAUAUAAAAAUAUUAUGUGAACAAAGGGAGGUACAACAAACAUUGUUUUUCUACGUAUGUUGCCUAUUGACGUGCGGCUUGAAGGCCCUGGUCGCAUGUUCGAUCCUCGUCCUUUAUUUUUUAAUUUUUAUAUGGGUCCAAAUUUGUUUCAUGACAUGUGGGCCCCUCGGUGUGUAGUUUGUAGCACUUUAAUUUGUGGGUCGAAAUUUGUUCCAUUCCAAGUGGACUAUCGGUGUGUAGUUUUGUAGCUUAUUUAUAAUAAUUAAAGAGAACAACAGAGUUUUUUGCAAUAAUACCAUGGUGCGACGUUGAAGGCGAGAAAGGACGUGCGAGAGAGCGAUGACCGAGCCAGAGGGAAAUCAACUAGGGGAGUUGCGGGGGUUGCAACGGUGUUUCGAGUAGUUGUGGGCCGAAUGCUACAAAAUAUAAUCUAAACCGACCGGAAUAAAUGCCUACACAAAUUAAUCCAAGGUUGGAGUGCCCCUCGCAAUGUAAAUAGUUCCGUCUUUGCGAGGGAUGGAGAGGUAGCUUCAAUGUGUGGAAGAUACGGCGUGAGAAAGCGAGGUCAAUCGAGAGACAUAUAGAUAGAGAGACAAAGUGAGUGUGGUCCGAUAUUCAUUGAACAAAUAUAUAUGCUCUGGAGAGAUAUUGUCCGAUUGAGCUUUUGGCAAGGGUGAGGGCUGUAAGAUAGAGCUUGAGAGAUGAUCCAAUCACAUACGUGUAGAUAUAUUUUGUGCGUGGGAGGAAGCAAGGUCAAUCGAUCACAUAGGGUCGUCGUGCGAUCGAAAGAGUGAGACGGGUUGGAGAGAGUGACCUAGAUAGACAAUGUGCAUGAGAGAGUAUACAAUGUGAAUAAGUCAAAUUGGGCUCAAACAUGGUGAUAUAUCGUUUUUCUCCGAGAAAGAGCGAGGUCAAUCGAGACAUACAAAGAGAGAGAGAGGGAGAGAGAGAGAGGGAGAGAGAGAGAGCGUGGCCCACCAUGAGGUCGAAAGAGUGGGGGCGGCUUCGAUGGACUGACCUAGAUAGACAUUCUGCGUGAGAGAGUAUAGAGUGUGUCGAUCGAUGCCCGAAUAGGGAGAUAUAUCAUUUGUGUGUGCAAGAAAACGAGGUUAAACGAGACUCAGAUAAAGAGAGCGAGAUUGAGCGAGUGUGGCCCGCCGUGCGGAAGAAAGAGUGAGACAGUCUCGAGGGAGUUACCUAGAUAGACAACGUGCGUGCGUGCGCACGAGAGGUUGGGGGGCUAGAUAGGCAAUGCAUGUAUUUAGCGCGAGAGGGUGAGAGGGAGAGGGAGAGAGAGCUCGGCAUGGGGUGCAAUGGCGGGUGUGUGAGGUAAAUACAUUUCGUAACAGAGUGGAAAAAGGGGGUUGUGUAGUUGAGAGAGUUAGAGAUCGAAACAUGGAGAGAAAGAAUGGAUGUGUGUUGGAAACCGAUAGCUUCCUAAGGUGGUUAGGAGAGGAAGAUUGACCGAUACAGGAAGUAUGUAGCGUGUGUGCGAGGGGGGCUAAAAACAACAUUUCAAUGUAGAUAGUACGAGACUUAAUAUCGAUGUUUCAAUUCGGUGUACAUUGUAAGAUUUGAACUGAGGACCAUGCAUAUGGGUAAUUAUUUCGAAUUCGUGCCAUACUAGGUUUCAAAAAGUUGACAUUGACUCGAUUUGUUGUGCUAUUUUGUAGGUCAUAUGUUUGAAUCCAUCCAAAAGUUUUCUCACUACCAUGGUGUUCAUCAUAUACAUAUGAAUUUGUAUUAAAAAGUAGCGUGGAUACAGUGAAAUGCGAAAUCCAUGUUAGAAUUGGAGAUCGCUAUGUGACACACACUCUAAUUCAAAUAACUAAUUAUGUGACACACACUCUAAUCCACGUUAGCGUGGAUACUGUUUUGAUUUUUUCAAAUAACUCCUCAUUAAUUAAUUUAUACUAUCUCGUUUCGAAUGACUAAUUAUUGGAAGGAAAACACGGGCAUGGUAAUACAUAUAGAUUCAUUUGCAAAUGAAAGAAGAUUCGUUUGCAUUCUCAAAUGUAGGCGCACCAGGCAGACAAGGGUCGUGUCGUGGUGGUUGCGUGUGUCGGACGGACGCUUAGCACCCAGCCACCACCCCCCUCCCUCCUCCCUCCCCCCCCAAAAAAAAGGAUGACGACAAAAUAAGUUCGUGCUUCCAUGUUUCGGAUUGAAAUAUCUGGCGGCCCCAAUUCCAGCCCUGCAAAAUCUCCCUUCUCCACCGUCCCCUUCCGCGCCCAGAUUGCUCAAAUCUCUAAUUCACCAUAAACCCAAGCAAAGGUCGAAUUGCCCCUCGUCUCGUCUCUUUCCCCACCUUUGUGCCGGACGACGAUGACGAAGACGACGGUCGCGCUUCAGCACCGCACCGGAGCUACCUCAUCUACGCCCUCGUCCACCGCACCGGGUGGUCCACCGACAAUGUUGGCUGCCGCAACCGACGUGCCUCACAGACACAGACUUCCACCACAUCAGGUGCGCUUCACCGAUGCCGUCUCCCAGCUCACCGGGGCUACUUCACCGAGCACAUCGUCACGCCUCCGCCCCCCGAGGCCACUGGGGCUUCACCAACGGUCUCGUCCACCACAUCAUAGCGCUCCACUUCCACUCAAGAUUUGCAUCCGUGCGUGGCCAGCCAACGCCAGCGCAUCACCCUCAACGGCUCUGAAGUGACUCGCACUCUAGUUAGGCGAGCAUGCCCAAACGCCGGCCCGAACUAGGUAUCCACACAUCACUCCCUUGUGCACUGUUCCGACGAUGUUUGCAUAUCCUUUCACUGCUUUCUUAGCUUACACGCCUAUCCAACUCUGACUUUAACUCUUAUUUCUUCAAGAGAUAUCAUCUGAAACAAGCAAAUCCAUUUUUUUGCGAAGCAUGACGGCGCUACGGGAUCUGGUACACAUCCUGCACACCUGUAUAACCUUGUAAGUAUCUGUCCUCCGGUAUAACAGCAAGGUCGAUUCCUCUUAUUAGAUCAGCCAUUCGCCGUGUCAAAAAUGCAGAGGGGGAUGCAAGGCCUGCACAUCCAAGCAAGUGGUAACAUGGACUUGUACAUGGAACAUCCCAAGCGCAAGCAGAGCUACAGUGAGCCUGUACAACGAGCUAGCGUAAGUCCCUGCAUUUCAUUUAAUUCGUACUGGCAUUCGUGUAUGAUUUGUGUGCAGUGGCGGGUCCACGAAUUCAAGUUACCAGGGGCGAAAUUUUAACUUAAAAAAUACGAAGGCACUUGCACUCCGGAAAUCAACAUAACUUGAGAAAUGUGAAGCUACAUGCACUUUGAAAACCAGCUAAUGAUCCAAAGUAGUUCAGAUUAUAAACACUAAAUGAUGCAAGCACCAAAAAAACAAAAUGCAACAUGGUGUACAAGGACUACAAACAUGGUCUGUACCUGCUUGAAUUAUUCGUUCUCUGGCUGAAAAUAUUUAAGUGUAAUUGCACCUAUAACCAGUGCGCAAACUGCAUAUCAAUAUAUCUAUCCUGCACAAGUAUGCCAAUAGUUUCAAACAAUAGAUUAGAAAAGUAUUUAUGCUACGUUGUCAUGAUACUGGGACUUUCUGGUACAUGGCCUCGACGUUUCCUCAAGCCAUGAAAAUGCACUAUAAUUUGCUUGUCAUGAAUGCCUGCAAAUCUCUAUGUCUCUCUCAACAUAGCAGAUCAUCAUUAGACACUAAAUCCUUCAAUGGGAGCUUGCAAAAUGCUUGCAUUAGAUGCCUCAUUAGACACUAUAUGUUCAUCACCAGGAGCAUGUAAAAUGUUUGCAUAAAAUCCUUCAUUACCAGUCUGUUCAUUAGACACUUCAGGCUCAAGAACAACAUGAGCUUGGAUGUUUGCACUGGAAACUUGAUUAGAUUCAUCAGAUUCAGUCAGUUCAGUAUUGAUUGGGGAGUUAUAAAAUAAGUAGAAAUUGGUUUCAUUUUCUCAUAGAUUCCCUACAUACAAGCAUUUUUACAACACCGUCAGGUUUAACUAUUGGCCAGAAAUUGAAGAGUUGAAUUAGAUAUAAUCAGGAAUGUGAUGUACCUACUCGUUGCGCAUGCUACUCUUGCAAGCUGCGACUGUCCGUUUGCGCAAGCUCGAUGCCAUGCCCGUGCUGCCGCCGCUGCUUCCCACGCAGGCUACACCCAGGGUUGGAUCUUCAUCUUCUUGUCCUUUCGUUCGCUUCAAGCCUGGCGACCGCCCUCCAACGAGGGCGUGAGGAAGUGAUGUGUCGGUCUGUCCAGCGGCGGCUAGGUUAGGAGCAAACCAUACUGGAGGCUGGAGUGGAUGAAUUGGGAUUUUUCCUGCUGUCGAUCGAUAUGGGAGGUGCUCGUUUGUGCCGCGAGCCUGCUAUAGGGCCUGCCUUGCACUUAUGUUAUUGGCCUAUCCAAAUUGAAACAUUUUUCUUCAUUUUUUACAUUGCCUACUCGUGCGUUGGGACGAACAAAACUAGCAUGGGCCAACCUGGACGACUCAAACUAGGUGGACACUUUCGAGCCACCCGAGGCGGCCGCCCAUACCAGCCCCUAUGGUGGCGUUGCCCCUUUUUGCGUGUAUGAUAGGGGUAGUGAAAAAUAUUCUAGUGGCACUUUUGAUUUACCCACAUAAUGGUUGAAUUGCUUGUUUCUAUGAACUGAGUUCGCCAAUAAUGUGAAGGAUGCCAGUCUUUUCAUCCUAUUGUAGAUUGCUUAGAUCUCGAUAUGCCAAAAGUAAUCGCAUGAAAUAUACAGUAAAAGCCAGUGUGAUGUGUGUGGCUACAACUAGUCUGACUACACGUCCUCAUAUAACAUAUCAAGGACGCACCAUCUUACCAGAUUAACCAUUCGACUUACCAAUGCAGUGUGGGAAGAAAGAAGUAUUGGGACUGCGUAUCCAACCAAUUGAUGCCAUGGACUCCUUCGUACAACCUUGUAAGCGAAAAAGAAGUUGCAGUGUGCCUGUAUAAAGAACUAGCGUAAGUUCAGUUACCUGCUUCUCAGAAUUUUAGUUAGCCACUUAUUGCAAAAUUGUUCAAUUACGUUGCUUGGCUUGAUUUAGUUUGCUACUGAUUACAUAAUGCCACAGCAUGUUAAUCCUAUUAUAGACUGCGCCUAUCUAUGUGUUUGAUACUUACUGUUAAGAAUUACCUGUUUGCCUGAACUUAAAUAGCUACUUGUUUGUUUAACUGCUUUGCUGCUGCAACAACGGGUUACAAUGAUGUUAAUAACUACUUUUCAGCAUCGAAUUGAAACUCUUUAAUUCCUUGUUUGUUUAACUGGUUUGCUGUUAUAACUCCCAGUUGAGAUGUUUUGCUAACUUCAACUUUUCUGAAUCCAAUCGGAACUUUAAUGGCAAAACUGGUUAGCCCAAGAUCAAAGAGCGAGGUCCCCAUGGACGUUGUAUCAUCCCACAGCAGUGGCACCGGCCCAAUCGUGCAUUAUGAAUUGCCAACUGCUGAUGCUCUAGUGGCUAAACUAGUGGUACAAAGAGAUUCUGCUUCUGCACUUAGAUAUGAAGUUGACAUGUUGACGAAGCAAACAACACAAUCAGUAGCAGUACUCAAGACAACCAUUGAAUAUUUGGUGGAUUUAAAAACUAAGCAAGUUGAGACUGACCACAUUGUUAAGGUCCUGAAGGAAAAAAGGAAAUUCAAUUCCCACUUGGUAAAUCAUAGGUGAAAUGUUCUUUCCAUCGUUGAAUAACCUUUGUGUUGUUUGUUCAUGUAAUCAAUCAAACCAUUUGUUUUAGAUAUCAUGUAAUAAUUGUUUUUUGUUUUUUGUUUUUUGGUUUGUAAUUUUAUUUGAGCACAAGUCUGUAUUAAUUGAUAAGACUUGGAGACAUUUCAUUUUCAUUGGUGUGCCAGACCUACAAAUAUGCCAAUCGGGCUGAAUGUGCAUUCAGCAAUAAUAGUAGUAUAGAUGGACCAUAAGUGGCACGCAUCGGAAAGGGCCAAGAUGCUGUAGUAGCUUGGCUAAAAAAAGGAUGCUGUUGUAGCAAAGAAAAGUACAGCGGCCUCGCUUAUGUAUGUUAGUUGAUAUUAUUGAUCCAUAUACUCUAUAAGUGUUUAUAUGUCUGUUAGUUCUGUACAUUCUUGGUUGAUUGACUCGGUAUUUGAAUCUUGAUACAUCGCUUGUGUACAUAUCUAAAUGGGAGUACACAUUAUGUUGCGUGUGACAUUUGAGUUGGACAUGAAGUGUUCCAAAUAUUCGAAUUCACCUUAAACUGGAUUCUAGCUUCUGAAUUUGAGUAUCGGCAUUUGUAAACCAUAUUCAUAUAUGACAGUGGAAUACAUAUUUGUCGUCCUUUUGAAGAUAUAUAAAAACACAUAGAAUGAUUUAUAAAGAUUCGUAUAGGAAUACAAAAUGGAUUUGAAUUUAGUUGCCAGGGUAAACGUGGAUGCUUAUUGUCCCAAAAUUCGAAAGAAGCGGCAAAAUGUCCACUCCCACGUCGGCUGCCCGAAGCCAAGUAUUUGGGAGAUGGAAAUUACUGUCUACCCAUUACACGGACAAUCCAUCGGCCCGAUUUCCAUUGCUCUAAAUAGGGGUAGGAUAGUAACUUCAAUUAGACGUGACACGACCGCCUCUGAGCCCAUUCCAACACGCUGGCCGCCAAACAUGGGCGGCAAAACACAUUUGAUUCAAGCCCGUCCGAAAGACCUCUGUUUCUCCCUCCAUUUCCCCAUUCAUACACGGUGGGCGGCAAAACAAACUCGACUCGUCCGAAAUCGAUGUAGGAAAAUAUUUGCAAUAGGGGCAGGUUUGUAACUUCACUCAGACGUGACACAACCGCCCUACCUGUCAGCCCCGUUCAUACACCGUGGGCGCCAACCACCCUCUCCUCGCCCGAAAUCGCUCUGGGCAAAUAUUGGCGAGAUGCAAGAUUACCGUCGUAUCCCCAACCGACGAGACGUCCAAAUUUUAAACGGGGGCUAAGUUCGUAACUUUCCCAUAUUUCAGACAGGCGUGUCCCAAAAACAUGGUUCCCCGUACCUCUCCCUCCAUUUUCCCGUUCAUACACCGUCCGCGCUAGAACACCAACCCCACACCAGCCUCCGUCCGCCACCCCAUCCAUCGCCGCCGUCCUCCACCACAAACAUCGCCACCGUCCUCCACCAUGCCGGAGCGCCUACCAAGACCGCGUCGUCCACUGCUAGAGAUGGACGUUUCUCAUCCAUGGCAACGGACCAAGAGCCUUGCAUCACGUCCUCUCGCUUCAUCAGCGUCGUCGUCCUCUUUGCCGGGGCCGCUCACACGACCUUCUCUUCCACCGCAACGGGACUUAUCCCCCGAUGCACCCAUCUACCGUCGCAUAUCUGCUUCAAUGCCACUGACAGCCAUCGCACCCCCGAUGCCUACACGGCGCCGCAAGAGAGGUGGUACUUCAUAUCUCCUCAACUUUUUGAUCUCAACCAGAAAAUAGAUCUUAACUUGGUUACUCUACUUUCUUUUCAGCUCUUAGAAUUUAGUUCUUAGUUUGAAGCAAACAAUGGCUGCUAAACAUCAUUUCUCCGGUUUCCCCCUUUCAUGAUCACUAUACGAUCAGAAUACGUGCUUCGUGUCAUAAUAGCACUGCUCGACCCAUCAAGCUAAACAAGCUUAGUUGUUCAAAUACGAAUCUGGUAUUAUUAAAACAGAUUCGUUUAAUUAGUCAGCUAAAUGUUCCUAAAUUAGUUUCGAAAAUGCAUGUUGGCCGCUCGGGUGUGUAUCUCUACAGGGUGCCCAAGGUGGGCCGGCCCACCCUGGGAUUUUGGGUCGUCCCAGGCCCCGAUUCCCCUCUGUUCUGCUGCGCGCUUCCGAUCUCUACUCGCCCCCAGCCGCCUGCCUCGCCGGCGACUUGCCGUCCCUGGAUGGCAUGACUCUAGGAGGAGACGCUUGACUAACAGGAGGUCAGGAGCUGCUCGCCCAACAGCGUCACCGCUGCCCGGGCGCGCCACCGUGCCUACCUUCCCAGUCCCUUCAGGGCUCAGGCGUGCAACACCCACUAAGCCAACCCGAUUUAUCCUGAGAUAAGUCCUCAACACUCAGUAGCCACUCCUCAUCACCCAUUUUCUAAUUGAUUCAUUACUCAUUAGGCAGGACUGUCAUUAGGGUUUGUUGUGUGCUCAGUGCUACCUACACUUAAUGGUUUAGAUGUAUUUCGGUAAUCUUUAGUACCUGUAAAGUUCAUAGGGUUUUCAAAAUUCCGGCCCUAGGAACAGACACUAGUCAUUUUGGAUUGUUGAUCAUAGUGACAUUGACCCAGAUUACUACAGCAAGCCAGGUUUGUUGACAAUUUUACUUGUCUUUCUUACUCAUUCGAUAUAAUAUCCAAUUAUUCACGUCGAUUAGUUGCAAAAAAUAAGUGCUAGACAAACUUCUUGAUUCAGAUUUUGGACGGUCUCUUACUGCAGUUACAAUUCUGCAUACUUGUCCUAGUAAGCUCACAAGUAAAUGAUUGAUUCACUACAUCUAUGCUUACCUUGUCAUAUUUGUUGUCAAUAUUCUUUUAGGGUGGACCACCCUGUUUCUAAAUACUGCAACCAUAGACAUGAGUGAAUAGUAUUUCUCUAUGUGAUGUCUUCCAUCAUGUGUGGGCAAUGAACACUGCAUUGUAUAGAAAGAAAGUGUCAUUUCCAGCUUUUACAUAGGUUUCGAUCUUUUACAUGGAAUACAAUCUGCCUACUUGCUUUGUGUCGCAAUACCAACACUCCACCCUUGAAGCUAAACAUUAUGCCACUCAUAAUUCCUUAGUUUAUUUGUUCAAAUACGAAUUUCAUAUGAUUCUAAUGUUCCUACUUCAGUUUUGAAAUGUGUGUCUGCCUGUUAUAGAGACAUAAGGGGUUUGUUUUUUGUGUGUGGUCUGGUCAGCACGGUUGGGGGUGAACUUUGCAUAUGCAGGGGUUUAUAGGGAGACACUCUUCGAGUUGAAUCCGCAAUGCAUUCCAUAGAUAAUCUGACUGCUUUUUAUGUUUUCAUGAAUCUCAGAUUCUGAACAGCAUCAUAAUGAUUAUGAGAUUGCGCGCAUGAAAAGAAUAAAGCAGAACAAUGCCAUGGCUCUCAAACUUGGCAUUAAGGGACUGAAAUCAAGUCUGGAUGCAAUGCAAUGCAAACGCUCUCCACCUACAGAUUCAUGCUCAGAAUAUGAUCCUAACAGUGAUUCUGAGCUAGAGGGAGACCUAAGUCAAUGUAGCUCCCUAGUGGAGGAGUCAGAGGAAGAUGCGCUAUCUUAUUCACCCAUCAAGGUGCUUGCUCUAACUCUAAGGUUAUAUUUGUCGCACAUAUCUUGCAACUGAUGCUUUGCAUUGCUUCUACUUUGUUGAACUGCCAUUAGCUUAGUUUACACAUCGUUUAUGUGAAUACGCCCUGCCUAUCCAUUUUCAGUACAUAUUCCAUCUGUCAUCAUACCAUAUUUAUCCAUUCAAAUGUUGUUCUUGUGUAUCAGACGUUCAAAAGGAAGAGGGCGAUUGCUGAUCGUGGAGGAGCACAAGCAAAGUAUUUGGAAAAGGUAGUGGCACCUGAUAAAUCAAAUAGCCCAUUAGGUGUAGUUGCAAUAUCACCUGACCCACAAAACACCCCAACUCUAGCAGACUCUAGCCCUACUACACUGGUCAUUUAUGAUGCCCCAACUUAGCAGACCCCAACUGCAGCAAACAUUAUGAUUAUGCCAGUUGACAUAGCACCAGCUCUACGACACAAAACCCCCAUUCCAGCAAAGAGUACACCAAAUCCAGUUGCCAAAUCCCUUUUCGAACCAGAUAGAGCCCCAAUUGCAGCAAAUAGGACCCCUGUUCCAUUUCUUCCCAGUUUAGAAGACAAAGCUUAUAUUGUUGUCAGGAACUUUGUGCGCAUCUUUCCUUCAUGGAAAGAUUAUACUGCAGACAUAGAACAAUUUCCAGUCUUCCUCCGCAACUUACGCAUAAGUAAUGUACUAAUGUUAUCCAUGGUCAUUGCUGCAUAUGUUUCUGCUGACAGAAGACACAAGAUUUCAUUCUUUUAAAUAGGCGAGGACCAAACUGGAUUGUGAAGACGAGCAAGGGUUGGUUGUGCUUUUCAAGCACUCGUUGAUGAAGUAUCGUUCUUACCUAAGGCAAGCGUACUUCGAUGGCAAGCCUCUAAACGAAAUUUCUAUAAAGUCUCCGGUGCUACAUUUAUCCAACGGUGACUGGAAUAAUCUUGUUACACAUUGGUCUCGGCUGCAGCGUAACGUACUAUCUAUGAUAUCACAUCACAAUUUGAACUACAUUUCUGCAUUUGCCUUAACGUCUCACUUGUACGAAAACUGUUAGCAGAAGAACAUUCAUUCUCAAGGGACCACAGAAUCUCGCAACUAUACUGCACACUGCAUUGCUCUUGUGAGUACCUCUUGCCCUGUAUGACCAUACUUACUUUCAUAGUUGUUUGAUUAUGUAGCAUCACUACACAUGUUAGCCUUGUUAUCGUCCAUCUGGUGGACAUUAUAAGAUCCGUAUGGACUCUUACAUAAAUUUAUAAUCAACCCAAUGCUUUUGAAGAGGUUUAGCUCUGCAGUCCUCUUGUAAGGACAGAACGUCGUCUAUCACUGUACUUACAUUAACAGCUAGUCCCUCCGUCCCAUAAUAUAAGAUGUAGUCGACCGGGCCGAAACAUUCGCCUCUAACGGGCCUGGUGUUUAGCGGGCCACAAUUGGGCCGGCCUGCAUCUUUCUUGGGCCCGAAUCAUUGGGGCCUUCACACUUUGCGCGAGGCCCACAACUUACACCGGCCUAUAUUUUAGUUGGGCCUUUUGUGGACCCAGCGCUUAGUUUGGCCCAGGUAGCGUUGGGCCAUUAACAUGCUGAAUAUUAUACUGGCUUGUUACGGCCUAGAUGAAACCAUGGGCCUUUAGCAGGCCGAAAUGCAUAUUGGGCCUCAAUUUUCACUAGUCGUCGACGGGCCUUCAGCAGGCUGAAAUGUAGACCGGGCCUUUUUGGGCCCAGUUACAUCACGGGCAGUUACCAGGCCGAAACAUAUCUCAGGCCUUAGUUGGCCCACUGAUAUCAUGGGCCUUUAAGAGGCCGAAAGCUUAGUACAGACAUCAACGGGCCGAAUUAUGCGGCAGGCCUUUAACAGGCCCAAAGUCACGUUGGGCUUAACUAUUGCCACCUUUAUCACGGGCCGUUAGUGGGCCCGAUGUCCUGUCGGAACAUAUAUGGCCCAUGGGCAGCACGGGCCAUUCCCAGGCCGAAAGCCACACCGGGCUGAAAUGGGCCCAUGUCUACAUCGGGCCUCUAACAGGCCGAAAGUCACUGGGCUGUAAUUGGGCCCAAAUACUCGGUGAACAAUUAACGGGUCAGAUCUGGCUUUGGGCCGUUAAUGGGCCCAAAUAUUCGGCGAACAAUUAACAGGCCAGAUUUGGCUUCGGGCCGUAAAUGGGCCUUUAUUAAGCAGGUCGUUAUUGGGCUGGCCCACUAGGACCUGAGUAAGUACUACGGGCCUUUGACUGGGCCGGCCUUUUUAACCUAUAUGGGCCUCUGUUGGGCCGUGCCACGUGUCGACGUAUCAUAGGCGCUUUGGGUCCAAUGAGUGGAUGACAUCUGUCCCAACAGUGAGCCGACACGUGUUUCCUCCAGCCAAUGAUGAUUUUACAUGUGGAAAAUCCCCAUUGGUCGGGGCUGUUAACGGGUUACCGGAUCCAAAACCGGACCCGAUAGAUUAACGGCGUUCUGUUACGGUGGAUGCCACAUGUCGGUCACCCUUGACGAAAGCACUUCUGUGACGCGCGAUUUAUCGUCAUGGAAGUGGACACUUCCGUCAUGAUAAUUUUGGUAAUGUCAUGGAACACUUCUACGACAGCACAUGUAUGACUAUCUUGAUUCUAUCAUAAUUUUGUCAUGGAUGUACAUGCAUGACAGAAAACGUGACCUACUGUGACAAACACGUAUCAUCACGGAAGUGUAUGUUUUUGUAGUGGUUAGAUUGUUGAAGAUAUACAACGAAAUGGUCUGCCAUUCUUCGAAAUCCAACGUUAAGGAAUUAGAAGCACCGGCUGGUGUGAGAUCCCCUUUGAAUAGGCUGAGGUUGGAUCCAGCCUUUUUAGGGUCGCCAGCAUUGUACCGAGGCUUCAGAUUAUGCAAAUGAUGAUUUUUGGCUUCGUAGUGUGCUGUCACGAAGUUUGCCGCCUCCUCGGUAAUGAAUGCCUCGGCCAUCGAUGCUUCAAUUCUACGUUUAUUUUUACAUUUUGCUCGAAGCGUCUUCUGCAUCCUCUCAGUUGUGUAGCACCAAUGAUUUUGCACGCCCCUCCCAAUCUAGCCUCGGUUGGGAGAUGCAAAAUCAAGUGCUGCAUUGCAUUAAAGAAGCCCGGCGGAAAGAUCUUCUCUAACUUGCCGAUCAACUCCGGCGCCAACUCUUCCAUUUCUUCUAGCAGGCCAGGCGAUAGUUCUUUCGCACAAAGCACACGAAGAAAUAUCUCAGCUCUGCCAGUACUAGCCAUUCAUCCUCAGGGAUGAAGCCAUGAGACAUCACCGGCAUUACCCGCUCAAUCCAUAUGUGCCAAUCAUGACUCUUGAGACCAAAUAUCUUCAAUUUAUCAAGACUCGUUCCCCUCUUUAGAUUCACUGCAUACCCAUCAGGGAAAAUCAACUGCUUUUGCACCCGCAAGAUAAUUUCCCUCAUAGCUGGCCUUCCAAGAUUUAACCAUGCCUUUGGCUUUGUCCAGUUCUGCUUUCCUUUCGGUGGUUGCAUGUUUUGUAAUGGUCUAUGACAUAGCGCCUCCUGAUCGACUCUAGCCUUAGUAUUAUCCUUUGACUUCCCAUCUAUGCCGAACAAUGUACCAAAAAGUGCCUCAGCGAUAUUCUUCUCAGUGUGCAUCACGUCGAUGUUUUGUGGGUAAAGGAGGUCUUUGAAGUAAGCAGAUCCGACAAGCAUGUCUUGUGAGUCCAGGCGUGUUCCGAAUUAUAUCCCUUGAAAUACCUUGGACGCUCUGGAUCUGGCUCGAGAGCGUUUAACUGAUCCAGGGUCUCCUGGACUGUCAACGGAGGUGGUGCAGAGUUUUUGCCAACUCUACCUUUGAUGAAGUUCUGCUUGUCUUUCCUGAACUUAUGGCGAGGAUCCAGGAACUGUCUAUGCAAGUCGAAGCAAGAAAACUUGCGACAGACCUGAAGCCAACAAAACUAAAGAGCUUCCUUGCAAGUGGGGCACGGGAAUCUUCCAUGCACACACCAGCCAACGAAUAGCGCAUACACCGGCAAGUCAUGCAUCGAGUACAUGUACCAUACACUGAUACGUCUCCAGCGUAUCUAUAAUUUUUUAUUGUUCCAUUCUAUUAUAUUAUCUAUCUUGGAUGUUUUAUAUGCUAUUUUAUAUGAUUUUUGGGACAAACCUAUUAACCUAGAGCCUAGUGCCAGUUUCUGUUUUUUCCUUGUUUUUGGCUUUCGCAGAAAAGGAAUAUCAAACCGAGUCCAAUUGACCUGAAAUUUUACGAGGAUCCUUUUUGUACCAAAAGAAGCCCAUGGAGUACUAAAGAUGCACCAGAGGAGUCCCGAGGCCACCACAAGGGUGGGGGCGCGUCCACCCCCUAGGGCGCGCCCUUCGACCUUGUGGGCCCCUCGUGGAUUCCCCUGACUUGUUCUCGAUGCCAACACCUCUUAUAUAUCUCCAAACCUCCGGAAAUAAACCUAGAUCGGGAGUUCCGUCGCCGCAAGCCUCUGUAGCCACCAAAAACCAAUCGGAACCCUGUUCUGGCAUCCUGCCGGAGGGGGGGAUCAACACCGGUGGCCAUCUUCAUCAUCCCGACACUCUGCAUGAUGAGGGAGUAGUUCACCCUCGGGACUGAGGGUAUGUACCAGUAGCUAUGUGUUUGACCUCUCUAUCUCUCGUGUUCUUUAUUUGGCAUGAUCUUGAUGUAUCGCGAGCUUUGCUAUUAUAGUUGGAUCUUAUGAUGUUUCACCCCCUCUACCUUCUCGUAACGGAUUGAGUUUUCCCUUUGAAGUUAUCUUAUCGGAUUGAGUCGUUAAUAAUUUGAGAACACUUGAUGUAUGUCUUGCAUGUGCUUAUCUGUGAUGACAAUGGGAUAUUCACGUGAUCCACUUGAUGUAUGUUUUGGUGAUCAACUUGCGGGUUCAGUGACCUUGUGAACUUAUGCAUAGGGGUUUGCACACGUCUUCGCCUUGACUCUCUGGUAGAAACUUUGGGGCACUCUUUGAAGUUCUUUGUGCUGGUUCGAAUAGAUGAAUUUGAGAUUGUGUGAUGCAUAUCGUAUAAUCAAACCCGCGUAUACUUGUGGUGACAUUGGAGUAUCUAGGUGACAUUAGGGUUUUGGUUGAUGUGUGUCUUAAGGUGUUAUUUUAGUACGAACUCUAGGGCUGUUUGUGACACUUAUAGGAAUAGCCCAAUAGAUCGAUCAGAAAGAAUAACUUUGAGGUGGUUUCGUACCCUACAACAAUCUCUUCGUUUGUUCUCCGCUAUUAGUGACUUCGGAGUGACUCUUUGUUGCACGUGGAGGGAUUGUUAUAUGAUCUAAUUAUGUUAUCAUUGUUGAGAGAACUUGCAAUAGUGAAAGUAGGCCUUGUUUCCAAGCAUUGCAAUACCGUUUUCGCUCACUUUUACUACUAGCUACCUUGCUAUUUUUAUAAUUUCAGAUUAUAAAAACCUAUAUCUACCAUCCAUAUUGCACUUGUAUCACCAUAUCUUCGCCGAACUACUGCACCUAUACAAUUUACCAUUGUAUUGGGUGUGUUGGGGACACAAGAGACUCUUUGUUAUUUGGUUGCAGGGUUGUUUGAGAGAGACCAUCUUCAUCCUACACCUCCCACAGAUUGAUAAACCUUAGGUCAUCCACUUGAGGGAAAUUUGCUACUGUCCUAAAAACCACUACACUUGGAGGCCCAACAACGUCUACAAGAAGAAGGUUGCAUAGUAGACAUCAAGCUCUUUUCUGGCACCGUUGCCGGGGAGGCUAGGUAAGCGGCACUAACACCCCAUCAACGAAGCUCUUUUCUACUGCCGUUGCCAGGGAGGUUAGUGCUUGAAGGUAUAUCUUUAGAUCUUACAAUCGAAUCUUUUAGUUUCUUGUUUUAUCACUAGUUUAGUUUAUAACAGAAAACUACAAAAAAAAUGGAAUUGAGGUUGCCUCAUAUGCUUCAUAUUUUCAAUGUCUUUCGUGAAAAUAAGGAUUCCGAUAAUUGUGCCAAAGUGCUAGAGGAAGAAUGCAAUAAAAUGUUUGGCAUGAAAUCUUUGAAUGAUGAGCAUGAUUGCAAUGUUCUUAGUAUGAAUUCCUUGAAUAUCCAUGAUGCUAAUGACAUGCAAAGCCACAAGCUUGGGGAUGCUAUGUUUGAUGAAUAUGAUCUUUUCAGUCCCCCAAGUUUUGAUGAGGAAAUUUAUUAUGAUGAAAGCAUGCCUCCUAUCUGUGAUGAUUAUAUUGAUGAAAGUGGAGUUGGAGAGGUCAUGACUUUAUUUAGUGAUGAAUCCACUAUUUCGGAAGAGGUUCCAAUUGAUUAUGAGAACAAAGUUUCUAUCUAUGAUGAUUAUUGUGAUGACAUGUAUGCUAUAAAGAAUAAUGAUAACCAUGAAACUUGUCAUCUUGAUUUUAAUUUUCAAUUGGAUUAUGCCUCACAUGAUAGUUAUUUUGUUGAGUUUGCUCCCACUAUUAUUCAUGAGAAGAAAAUUGCUUAUGUGGAGAGUAAUAAUUUUUUAUGAUUGUGGAUCAUGAAAAGAAUGCUUUAUGUGAUAUUUAUAUUGUUGAAUUCAUUCAUGAUGCUACUGAAAAUUAUUAUGAGGGAGGAAUAUAUGCUUGUAGGAAUUGCAAUAAUAUCAAGUUUCCUCUCUAUGUGUUGAAAGUUUUGAAGUUAUUCUUGUUUUGCCUUCCUAUGCUAGUUGAUUAUUGUUCCCAUAAGUUGUUUGAUCACAAAAUACCUAGGCACAGGAAGUGGGUUAGACUUAAAUGUGCUAGUCAUAUUCUUCAUGAUGCUCUCUUUUUGUUUCAAUUCUUAUCAUUUAUGUGAGCAUCAUUGAAAUCAUCAUGCCUAGCUAGAAAGGCAGUAAAGAAAAGCGCUUGUUGGGAGACAACUCAACAUUUACCCCUACUAUUUUUGUGUGUUCACAUGUUUAAGCUACAUUAGCAAUCAUGUUUUACAUCUUUUGUUUCAAUAAAGUGCCAAGUAAGACCUUUGGGAUGGCUUACGGUAAUAGUUUAUUUGAUCUUGCUGAAAAACAGAAAAUUUUGCGCUCACGAAAACAAUUUUCAUAAUUCAUAUAAGCGUGCUUGUAAGUUGAUUAUUUUUGCAUAGGAUUAAUAAAACUUCCUAUUUUUUCAGGAUUUUUGGAGUUAUAGAAGUAUUCGAGAAUUACAGAUUACUACAGACUGUCCUGUUUUUGACAUAUUCUGUUUUCUAUGUGUUGUUUGCUUUUUUUGAUGCAUCUAUGGCAAGUAUCGGGGGGUAUGAACCAUGGAAAAGUUGGAAUACAGUAGAUAUUACACCAAUAUAAAUAAAGAAUGAGUUCACAACAGUACCAAAAGUGGUGAUUUAUUUUCUUAUACUAACGGAGCUUAUGAGAUUUUCUGUUGAGUUUUGUGUUGUGAAGUUUUCAGUUUUGGGGGAAGUUUCGAUGGACUAGGGAAUAAGGAGUGGCAAGAGCCUAAGCUUGGGGAUGCCCAAGGCACCCCAAGGUAAUAUUCAAGGACAACCAAGAGCCUAAAAUUGGGGAUGCCCCGGAUGGCAUCCCCUCUUUCGUCUUCGUUCAUCGGUUACCUUACUUGGAGCUAUAUUUUUAUUCACCACAUGAUAUGUGUUUUGCUUGGAGAGUCAUUUUAUUUUAUUUUGUUUUGCUUGAUGUUUGAAUAAUAUCCCAAGAUCAGAAAUACUUAAAUGAGAGAGAGUCUUCACAUAGUCACAUAAUUAUUCGACUACUCAUUGAUCUUCACUUAUCUUUUGGAGUAGUUUGUCAUUUGCUCUAGUGCUUCACUUAUAUAUUUUUAGAGCACGACGGUAGUUUUAUUUUGAAGAAAUUGUUGAACUCUCAUGCUUCACUUAUAUCAUUUUGAGAAUCUCUAAACAGCAUGGUAAUUUGCUUAGGUUAUGAAUUUAGUCCUAAUAUGAUGGGCAUCCAAGAGGGAUAUAAUAAAAACUUUCAUAUAAAGUGCAUUGAAUACUAUGAGAAGUUUGAUUCCUUAUGAUUGUUUUGAGAUAUGAAGAUGGUGAUAUUAAAGUCAUGCUAGUGAGAAAUUUUGAAUUUGAGAAAUACUUGUGUUGAGGUUUGUGAGUCCCGUAGCAUGCACGUAUGGUGAACCGUUAUGUAACGAAGUUGGAGCAUGAGAUAUUUUUUUGAUUGUCUUCCUUAUGAGUGGCGGUCGGGGACGAGCGAUGGUCUUUUCCUACCAAUCUAUCCCUCUAGGAGCAUGCGUGUAGUACUUUGUUUCGAUGACUAAUAGAUAUUUGCAAUAAGUAUGUGAGUUCUUUAUGACUAAUGUUGAGUCCAUGGAUUAUGCGCACUCUCACCCUUCCACCAUUGCUAGCCUCUCUAGUAUCGCGUAACUUUCGCUGGUACUAUACACCCACCAUAUACCUUCCUCAAAACAGCCACCAUACCUACCUAUUAUGGCAUUUCCAUAGCCAUUCCAAGAUAUAUUGCCAUGAAACUUUCCAUCAUUCUGUUUAUUAUGACACGCUUCAUCAUUGUCAUAUUGCUUUGCAUGAUCAUGUGGUUGACAUCGUAUUUGUGGCAAAGCCACCGUUCAUAACUCUUUCAUACAUGUUACUCUUGAGUCAUUGCACAUCGUGGUACACCACCGGAGGCAUUCACAUAGAGUCAUAUUUUGUUCUAGUAUCGAGUUGUAAUUUUUUGAGUUGUAAGUAAAUAAAAGUGUGACGAUCUUCAUUAUUAGAGCAUUGUCCCAUGUGAGGAAAUAAAAAAAGAAGAGAAAAGGCCAAAUAAAAAAAGAGAAGGCCCAAAAAAAAGAAAGAAAAAAAAGAUAGAGAAAAAGAGAGAAGGGACAAUGUUACUAUCCUUUUACCACACUUGUGCUUCAAAGUAGCACCAUGAUCUUCAUGAUAGAGAGUCUCCUAUAUUGUCACUUUCAUAUACAAGUGGGAAUUUUUCAUUAUAGAAUUUGGCUUGUAUAUUCCAACAAUGGGCUUCCUCAAAUUUCCCUAGGUCUUCAUGAGCAAGCAAGUUGGAUGCACACCCACUUAGUUUUCCUUUUUGAGCUUUCAUAAACUUAUAGCUCUAGUGCAUCUGUUGCAUGGCAAUCCCUACUCACAGACACUGAUAUCUAUUUAUGGACAUCUCCAUAGCCCGUUGAUACGCCUAGUUGAUGUGAAACUAUCUCCUUCUUUUUGUCUUCUCCACAACCACCAUAUUCCAUUCCACCUAUCGUGCUAUGUCCUGUGCUCACGCUCAUGUAUUGCGUGAAAGUCGAAAAAGUUUGAGAACAUCAAAAGUAUGAAACAAUUGAUUGGCUUGUCAUUGCGGUUGUGCAUGAUUUAAAUAUUUUGUGUGAUGAAGAUGGAGCAUAGCCAGACUAUAUGAUUUUGUAGGAAUAAGCUUUCUUUGGCCAUGUUAUUUUGAGAAGACAUAAAUGCCUUGUUAGUAUGCUUGAAGUAUUAUUGUUUUUAUGUCAAUAUUAAACUUUUGUUUUGAAUCUUACGGAUCUGAACAUUCAUGCUACAAUAAAAAAAUUACAUGGAUAAAUAUGUUAGGUAGGAUUCGACAUUAAAAUUUCUAUUUUUAUCAUUUACCUACUUGAGGACGAGCAGGAAUUAAGCUUGGGGAUGCUUGAUACGUCUCCAACGUAUCUAUACUUUUUGAUCGUUCCAUGCUAUUAUGUUCUCUAUCUUGGAUGUUUUAUAUGCUAUUUUAUAUGAUUUUUGGGACUAACCUAUUAACCUAGAGCCCAGUGCCAGUUUUUGUUUUUUUCCUUGUUUUUGGCUUUCGCAGAAAAGGAAUAUCAAACGGAGUCCAACUGACGUGAAAUUUUAUGAGGGUUGUUUUUGGACCAAAAGAAGCCCACGGAGUACCGGAGAUGCACCGAAGGAGUCCCGAGGCCACCACAAGGGUGGGGGGCGCACCCACCCCCCUAGGGUGCGCCCUCCAACCUUGUGGGCCCCUCAUGGACUCCCUGACUUGUUCUCGAUGCCAACACCUCUUAUACAUCCCCAAACCUCUAGAAAUGAACCUAGAUCAGGAGUUCCACCGCCGCAAGCCUCUGUAGCCACCAAAAACCAAUCGGGACCCUAUUCCGGCACCCUGCCGGAGGGGGCAAUCAUCACCGGUGGCCAUCUUCAUCAUCAUGGCUCUCUCCAUGACGAGGAGGGAGUAGUUCACCCUCGGGGCUGAGGGUAUGUACCAGUAGCUAUGUGUUUGAUCUCUCUCUCUCUCUCAUGUUCUUGAUUUGGCACGAUCUUGAUGUACCGCGAGCUUUGCUAUUAUAGUUGGAUCUUAUGAUAUUUCACCCCCUCUACCUUCUUGUAAUGGAUUGAGUUUUCCAUUUGAAGUUAUCUUAUCGGAUUGAGUCUUUAAGGAUUUGAGAACACUUGAUGUAUGUAUUGCAUGUGCUUAUCUGUGGUGACAAUGUGAUAUUCACGUGAUCCACUUGAUGUAUGUUUUGGUGAUCAACUUGCGGGUUCAGUGACCUUGUGAACUUAUGCAUACGGGUUGGCACACAUUUUCGUCUUGACUCUCCGGUAGAAACUUUGGGGCACUCUUUGAAGUUCUUUGUGUUGGUUCGAAUAGAUGAAUUUCAGAUUGUGUGAUGCAUAUCGUAUAAUUAAACUCGCGGAUACUUGUGGUGACAUUGGAGUAUCUAGGUGAAAUUAAGGUUUUGGUUGAUGUGUGUCUUAAGGUGUUAUUUUAGUAUGAACUCUAGGGCCGUCUGUGACACUUAUAGGAAUAGCCCAAUAAAUCGAUCAGAAAGAAUAACUUUGAGGUGGUUUCAUACCCUACAAUAAUCUCUUCGUUUGUUCUCCGCUAUUAGUGACUUUCGAGUGACUCUUUGUUGCACGUGGAGGGAUUGUUAUAUGAUCUAAUUAUGUUAACAUUGUUGAGAGAACUUACACUAGUGAAAGUAUGAACCCUAGGCCUUGUUCGCAAGCAUUGCAAUACCGUUUUCGCUCACUUUUACUACUAGCUACCUUGCUGUUUUUAUAAUUUCAGAUUACAAAAACCUAUAUCUACGAUCCAUGUUGCACUUGUAUCACCAUCUCUUCGCCGAACUAGUGCACCUAUACAAUUUACUAUUACAUUGGGUGUGUUGGGGACACAAGAGACUCUUUGUUAUUUGGUUGCAGGGUUGUUUGAGAGAGACCAUCUUCACCCUACGCCUCCCACGGAUUGAUAAACCUUAGGUCAUCCACUUGAGGGAAAUUUUCUACUGUCCUACAAACCUCUGCACUUGGAGGCCCAACAACGUCGACAAGAAGAAUCUUGCAUAGUAGACAUCAGAGACGCAUUAUGAAGUUUCGUUUGCUAAAGGCGUCGUUUGUCUUGGACCCAUUAUCGCAGGCUUCUUGCAAUUCAACCUUCAGCGGUUGCAUGUACACAUUCAUAUUCUUCCCCGGAUAGUUGGGCCCUGGAAUUAUCAAUGUCAGGAAAAUGUUCUUUCUUUGCAUAAUCUGUCCAGGGGGGAGAUUGAGUGGAAUGACAAAUACGGGCCAACAACUGUAUUGGGCUUCCGUCAGACCAAACACACUAAACACAUCCGUGCUGAUGGCGACUCGAGGAUGCCUCAGAUCUGCCGCUUUGUCAUCAUGUAAUGCAUCGAAGCGCUUCCACGCUUCACCGUCCGAUUUGUGCACCAUCAUCAGCUUCCCAUCCACAUCUAGUUGGGUACUUUUGCCCGUUUUGUGCCAUGUCAUCUGUCUGGCCGUCUCUUCAACCAUGAAAAUACGUUGAAGUCUUGGUACGACUGGCAUAUACCGAAGAACAUUAACGGGGAUUUUGGUCUGCGUCUUCUCACCCAUGUUGUUGUCUACCACAACAUACCUGGAUGACUUGCAAAUGGGAGAAUAGUUCAAGUACGCAUACUGAAGCCUAAAUAAGGCACAUCCUUUCUCACAGGCAUGUAUCUUCUCAUAGGGCAUCUUAAGAGCACGGAGGAUUUUGUCUGACUGGUACAGGUUUGCAGGUAGUACAUGGCCUUUGGGUAGAAAACAUCCAAAUACUAUCAUCAUCGCAUCGUAGCAUUCUCUGCCCAAGUUGAAUUGAGCCUUCAGAGCCAUUAUUUGUGAGAUGGGAUCCAGCUGACAAAGCUCAGAGUGCUCAUGGAGAGGACGUUUUGAAGACUCCAACAUUUCAUUGAAGGCCUUUGUAGAUUCCUCCAUCUCAUCGUCCGAGUCUCGAGCAUCAUCAAAGUCUUGCACCAUGUCUUCCAUCCCGGUACCAUGCUCGUCGGUGCGACGACAAAGCACCUCAGCUCUGGCACGUUGGGCAGACUCGCCAUCAAAUGUUCACACUAUAUAACCUGGCAUAAAACCCCUCUUCUAUAGGUGUUUGCCCAUUUCAUCCUCUGUCCUCUUGUGCCAAUUGUUGCACCCGGCACAGGGGCACCAGGUUGUCCUCUGGCCAUUUGCAAAUGCGGCUCUCAGAAACCCCUUGGCUUUUGUUAACCAUUCAAUGGUCAUGUCUUUCUGACUAGUGUGACCGGUGUACAUCCACUCACGAUCACUCAUCUUGCCUAGCUACUGGACACAUAAGAAAUAUAUAUAUAUAUAUAUAUCAGCAUGUAUAUAUUCAUCAGUUAAUGGAGUUUGUCACUUUUAUUACGUCCAUACAACCUAGACGCUAAUAGGUAAAGAUAGGUCCUAAUCCCACCCGAGUAUGUGUAGAUUGGGUUCGUUUUCCCAUGCUCUGCUCCGGACCCGAUGCAAAAUUUCGGCAGCACCUCCCCGCUGCUCUCCUCAUACACGUCUCGUCAAUAAGCAGAGAGGAUGUGUACCCAGAGAACAAUAGGGAGGCACUGACGAAAUUCUGCAUCGGAUCCGGAGCAGAGCAUAUGGGAAAACGAACCCAAUCUACACAUACUCGGGCUGUCCAUGGUUAAUGUUGGACAAUUCGAAAGAAUCACGGUUAUAAAUAUGCAAAUGCAUGCAUAUUUAUAGAAGUAACCCUUUCGAACGGGAGACGCAUAGUGGUCCCACAUACUGAUGAUUGAAGACACCUAUAGCUAGCAAGUUUCAUCGGCACGAAGACCAGAACAGAGCAAAUGAAGGGGGGAGGAGGAGAUGUCAUUUGUGCUCACCCAUGAACGCAGGGGCGGAGCUCGUCGAAAACUAGACCCUCGCAGCGACGAAAAAACAGCACAUUUAAAUCGAAAGAUGAGUAGCAUAGCAAUAUUUUUUUUCCGUCAUCCUAACUAAAUAUUUACAACAGGACGAGCGGGUUAGGGGGUUCCUCGGCGUCGAUGGAACCCUAAAUAGAAAGUAUCAUAGGUGCGAGAUACAUGUGGCGCUCGGUGUUGAACACUAGAUCCACAUCCCACAAGUGACGCCGGCGCCCGGCGUCCCGCGUGCAGCAAUAGUUCUGGGGGCCGAUGACGGUUGAACACCUUGGCGAAUUUGUCUGGCAGCCUCUACGAUGAGGAUUAAAGCCAAGUUUUGAAACUUCAAACAACCAAACCGACUUGAGUCUGUUUGGGUGUUUCAAGUUUCAACACUUGCCUUUUAAUCGUCAUCGCAAAGGCUGCAAGACAAAUUCGCAUAGGUGUUUGACCGCCAUCGACCCCGAGAACUGUUGCUGCGGGACGCCACACGCCGGCGUCACUUGUGGGACGUGGAUGUAGUGUUCGACACCGACGACCACAUGUAUCUCGCACCGACGAUACUUGCUAUUUAGGGUUCCAUCGAUGUCGAGGAACCCCCUAACCCGCUCAUCCCCGGGCGCCCUCUGGUAUGGCGACUGUCGAUUCAAUAUCCGGCGUAUCUCGUAGUAGGGGUCCUAAGCUAGGCGUCUUGGGGCGAUGGUAACAUGGACACGGGGUCUUUACCCAGCUUCGGGCUCUCUUGAUGAGAUAAUACCCUACAUGCUGCUUUUGAUUGUAUUCAUAUGGGGUGUAGUACAGAGUACAUGUAUCUACCACGAGAUUGUAGUAAUGAAUAUGAGAUUGUCUAUUGACUAGCCUGGCCUCGGUUUAUAUAUGCACCGUAGGUCUAGGGUUUAGAGGAGUCCUUGUCUUGGGCGCCAAGUCUUGUAGAAUCCUCCUUGUAUGCGGCAUGGGUUGUCCGAACUGGCCCAAUAGUGAACCGCCAUGGGGGUCCUCGGCCCGAUCCAGCUGGUCGGGAGACGACGUGGUGAGUACCCCCUAGUUUAGGACACCGUCAGUAGCCCCCUGAACCGGUCUUCAAGUUGGGGACACUCCUUGAUUCUUCCGAACUGCUCUUCAUCUCCGGUCGUCGGUCUUGAAAACUGGUUCAGCAAAUCUUCUCAUCUUCGAUCUUGAGGAUCGCUGAAGUGCAUCCGAAGAGUUUACACGUCAAGUAUCCGAGGAUCCCCUUUAAGUUUCCGGCCUUUAUCAAUGCCCUGUUAUUUUUAUGCCACACCACGGGUUUGAAGUUGUUCCCGGACGGCAGUGUCCUCUUGCAUCCGAGCUCCAACGCCGGACUGCAUUCGAGGUAUCUUUUGCAGCCGAGCACCAACGCCGGACCGCUUCCGAGCCCCAAUGCCGGAAUGUAUCCGAGCUCCAAUGCCGGACUGUAUCAGAAGAGUAUUGUUAUACUCGAGCUCCAACGCCGAACUACAUCCGAGCUCCAGCGCCGGACUAUAUCCGGGCUCCAACGCCGGGCUAUGUCCAAGCUCCAACACCGGACUAUGUCCGGGGUAUCAUAGAUCACCUUGGUUCAAAAAAGUUGAGGAGUUUAGCCGAGCUUAAUGCCGGAAAUGCCCUCUAUGGAGCCAACCACUAGCGCCUGAGCUUUAUGCCGGACUGCUUCUGAGGUGGUGCACCGCCCCGACUGCUGGCCAAUUUUUUGUUAAUAUUUUUUAUUGGUGCAAUUUAUUCUCUGUCGAGAUAUAUAGCCAGUAGCCCUCAAGGUGUGUAUCGGUCUAAAACCCGAGAUGCACCUGAAGGAUGACAUAAGACCGCUGAUCCCAGUAGCCCCUGAGACUCAGGUUGGUUCAAAAUCAGCCUGAGGAUCAACUCCUAGCUCGGCAGAAUACUUCGGGACACAAAAAGAGGUGUGCAAAGUCCUCGAGACUCAGAUUGGGUGCGGCCGACCAACCUGAGGAUCAUAAUCUCCUCGAAAACUAUAUUGCACUUAAAUUUUCUGCACUGGAUUGUCAAUGCAGUAGCCCCCGAGACACUGGUCGGGUGGCAACACCAGAUCAGGGGAUCAAUGUGCCCCUUUAAUAUUUGUCAAUAAUAAGCACGAAGCCCAGUAGCCCCCGAGCCUUAAUGUGGGCACGGGUGGCCGAAUUAAGGAUCGAUAUCGAGAGUAAAAUCACAAAGUAUGUGUAAUGAUUCUAUGUAUUCCAAGUACUCUACAUCAUUAAUGCUCGGAUCCGCAUUGUACAGAACUUUGCUGACCGACCAUCGUCUUCAACCUCCUCGGCCAGCAACCGAGGAGUAUUUGUCCUACUUUAUAAAGCCUUUAUGAGGUCAAAGAUUUACGACAAACAAGGCAAUCCAGCCAUACGGUUUUAUAAACAAAGGUACGCGGAGAGAUAUGUUAUAUUACCUUUUAACGUAAGAAACAUCUUCCAAAGAAAAUAGUCCCGUUAUCGGUUCCUUUCUUUGGGUUGUCAUGCUAAGCAUGAUCAUGAAACCUCAGCUCUGAUCAAUGUGGGAGCAAAAUAUUGAAGAUUUAGUUCGGGGAAAGUUCCCGAACUCUAUGGUAUUAAUGAACCAAAAAUUUCACUUCCGUCGUUGCCGACCAAUGUGAUCCUUUAAGGUUGCUAGCUUUCGGCUUCACCCAGUCUGAGGUACUUACUCGGAUGACCCGGUAGUAACAAUCACAGAGGUGCUCCCUUUACCACCUAGCCGAACAAUCGGGAACGUAGGGGUAAGCACAGGAGCCAGGCAACCCAGCUUGGCCAAAAUCUUAAGUCAAAUUGAUGCAUAUUUAUGGCUUUAUAUAACGAUGAAUACGGAAGGCAGCCCUCGUAUAUUAAAUACAAACGCCGAUGAUAUAUGUUUAUUUUAACUCCAUUAUGACCGUUUAUCAAUUGAAAGUGGCCCAUCGUCGGCUUCUACCCCUUUGUAGAUACUAUGCAGGGUGUUUCUGCAAUAACCAGACAACCCUUAGCCGACGUCUCGGUGCCCGGAGGCGGUUGUGUGAGCAGGAACGAGGCAAUCAGAUAUGCGGGCUUUAUAACUUUCACUUAGUCAUAGGAGCUUAAAGUUGGGAGGCCAGCUACUAGCCCCUGGUUAGUGUUCGGCGACAACCGAGGUCAAGCCGUAAACACUUCGGCCAAUGUUAUCAACAACCCGAUAGUACGGGGUGACCUCUAUCGAUCUUUAUAGUUUAAUACAGUUAUCGGAUCGCUGACCAGUUUACGCUUAUUGUGACAGUCAGUUUUCGGCUUUCUCCACUAAGGCGCUUAACCAUGCUAGUUGGAAGCACAAUUGCAGUGGUUCUCCUUUUGCACACCUAGCCAAACAAAGCGGAACAUAGGCGGCAAGAACAGGAGCCGGGCAACCCAACUAUUGACCGAAGACACAAUUCAAACCAAUGCAUAUAUAACAAUAUCCGAGCAUGUUUUUGCCGAAUCUCUAAAGGUGUCCGGCGUUGCACUGCGAGAUUAAUGCUUGAAACACAGAAAUAGUUUAAAAGUGUCGUAAGCUUGGAAAACCAAAAAAUGUCAGUAAAAACUUGACGUCCGAACAAGAUCAAGUGUUUGGUGCCAAUCUGAAAAUUGGUCUUAGAAAAAAAGUGCUUAUGUCGUGCUUUGAUAUGACACAUCCUAUCUUAAGGCUUCAACCUCCUAUCCCUAAGGCGGAGUACUUCUCGUUAGGCCAAUUUAGCGAACUAAACUCUAGCGGCUUUGAGAGAGAAAUUAGGCUCCCCGGCUAUUGACCACACACUCGCGUCGAAAAAGGAGUGAUAGAGAAAGACUUUGCAACGACUAGGAAGAAAUCAUGUAUUAUAAAAUGGCUCAUAUAAAUUUAAGAGCCCCCAAGUGACUUGGGUAAAAAAAUUAUGUAUAAUGAUUGUAUGUACCGAAGUACUUAUAUCAUAUAUGUGUUCACCCGAACUUUAAACGCGUCUUAACCGACUAUUGGCUUCUCCCUCUUCGGUCAAGGACCGAAAAGUGUUAUGUACUCCACCUGUCGAGAAUAUCAACGGUGUUUUCGAUAACCAGGCAAUUAAGCCAUAAGGCCGUAACAGACACAGCGCGCUCCGGGAACUUAUGCUAUAUUAUUGACGAAGUGUAAGAAGCAUCUUCGAAGAAAAUAGUACCUCCACCGAUACCUUUCUUCGGUUGCUCAUUGUCACUAUGAGACUUGUGCAAUAGAUUUUUUGUACUCAUGAGUUCCGUUGUGUGCCGACCAUGAUUGAAAACAAUAAGAGCGCUAGCUUUUGGCUUCACCCAGUCUGAGGUCCGAGCUCGGAUGAUCCGAUCGUGACAAUCGCAGAGGUGCUCCCUUUACUCCCUAGCCGAACAAUCGGGAACGUAGGGGUAAAUACUGGAGCAAGGCAACCCAGCUUGCGGAACACUUAAGUCAAUAUGGUGCAUAUUGUGGCGUAAUACACGAACAAGGAACGAAGCCGUACAAUUAUAAUCAUAUGCAAGAGGAAAGGCUUCAUAAAGGAAGCCCCUAAGUAAGCGGGGUAUUUGAAUUUGUGUGUCACAAACAAAGUUUUGACAAGGAAGUUUUCCACAUACAACUUUUUCCCAAAAAGGUAUAAUGCUUGGUCGAAUCGAACAAAAUUUGAAACUGAAAGUUUUUGAGCAUGAAAGCGACUUAGCUGCUUAAUGUGCUCGGUGUCGAUGCGCGGCCCGAGCUUACCGCGGGACAAGGUCCCAGCCCCAAGCCGGUCCCGAGGUGGCGGAGCGAAGAGCUCGGCACUCCGAAGUGGCGACAUAGCACGGCCAAUGCAGGCCCGCAGUGUGACGCCGAAGUCCCCGUCGUGGGUUAAUGAAGUGAUGACGAAGCCCUCGGUGCAGCCGAGGUGAUGUGGUACGUUGGUACGCAGAGGUGACAGCGCUGCCCGAUCCGGAUCCUUUAUCUGUGCACAGAAAAUAGUGCAAGCCGGAGAUAAUAGUAAUAAUAAUAAAUUAAAAAAAUGUUACAUAAUUAAUAAUUUAUGCAAAGUGAGUAAUAAAAGACAUAUGGCCUGUGUGCCGAACACUCGAUGAGGUAGAGCUCUCUCAAUGAUGCCGAAGUCCCUGAGGCAACCGAACACGUCGGUAUGGCAACACGACCAACAAGGUGAUCACGCGAGCCGAUUUACGCCGAUUGGGACGACGGCGUCGGCUUGCCGAAGAGACCACGUGACGUAGUCGAAGUCCAUUACCGAACCACCAUGCGACCGUCGUUAAUGCGGCCACCAUUUGAUAGACCUGCGUACAGAUGAUGGAACAAACCAGAGUAACAAUUCCUUGGGAGAAAUAAACCCAAACAAGCAAAAAUUACUAGGAUAAAUAGCACCUGGUUUAUUUGUUGUAGCAAUCCGAAGAAAGGUGACUCCCAAAAUUGGGACUCGAUCCGCACACCCAUUGCCUGAUGGGUGAUAAAGUGAUGGCAUGGCGAUGCUGGCAAAGGUUGGCUUACCGAGACAAAGCCCUCGGUCCAGCUAACGUGACGAAGCUGGUCGGCUGGUGACACCGAAGUCACCGGAGUAUGUUGAUGAAGAAAUAGCCAAGUCCCCGGUCCAACCGAGGUGACGGAGCAAGUCGGUGAGGAGACGUUGCAGCUGCCAUGUCAGCAGAGGUGUUGAAGCAGGUCGGCAUGAUGGACAUCGGCUUGAAGAAGCAAUAGUGCGGCCAUGCUGACACAGGUCGUGACUUGUGACGCGGUCAAUGCCGGCUUGAUGAAGUGACCAUGCGGUGAUGCCGGUGUGCCCGCUCCGUGUAAUCCGUGGGCAGCGAUGUUGGUGAUGAUUUAUCUUUCGCGAUGCCGAACUCUUGUUCGGCUUGCCGAGAUGAUGAUCGAAGAAGUUGAGCUCGGCUCAACAAAGCGGCGACGUGUCUAGCGCAGGUCGGCAGCCGUGCAGCAAUAUUGCCGGACUGGUUUGACACCAGUGUGAUGGUGAAGAUUACCUUGGAGGAGGCUUAAAAUUUUACGGGUACGUGUUUAAAAAACAACGCACAAUACCCUAGAAAAAAUCCUUCAAAAGGGUUGUCCAAUAUUCCGUUCAUGAAGAAACAUGAAAUCGGGCCGGAUUCGUAUUCGCGCAGAAAACAGAUCCGAAAAUUGGUCCACUCAUCGGAAGGUUCCCGGAGUUUGAACCGUCGGAUGGAGCUGAAAUUUGGAGGGGUGGUAGAUAUGGGAAUUCCGCAGCAGAUGAACGGUUGGAUCUUCCAAAGGACCUCCGAGCUGGGCUCUGGAGACCACACCCUAAACUCGUCCAGAUUCCCGUCCAGAUUUGACAGGGCUCCGGUAUAUCGUAGAUUGCUAGAGAUUCCUCCAUCGGAACUCGACGAAAUUUGGCAUGGUUUUUGUACACUUAAUUCAGCACAAUUCCACCGAAGGAAUCGUCAAAGCGAUGCUCGAGGAGGUGGUGGCAGCGGAUACAAGUUUGAUGUUUGGAAAAAAACAGCACGGUCGCCCGAGGGCAAUGUUGACGUUGAGCCCCCGAGCUCCAUGGAUGGUUCUUCCAUGAUCAUGAUAGAGAUCGGAGUUGAUGUUGACGGAGGCCCUCGUCCGAACAUGAUGAUUGCAGGUAGGGCACAGUCCUUGGUUAAGCCAAGGUAACCAGUCGAGCCAGCGACAAAAGAUGCCGACAUCAACCAUAAAGCUCGGCUCCGAUGCGUAGAUCGCGCUAAAGACGAUCCGAAUUCCCAUCGCCCCGUGGCGACCGCCAGCAGGCUCUCAAUGAAAGCACCAAUGUCGGUUCAAUAUCCGGCGUAUCUCGUAGUAGGGGUCCUAAGCUAGGUGUCUUGGGGCGAUGGUAACAUGGACACGGGGUUUUUACCCAGCUUCGGGCUCUCUUGAUGAGAUAGUACCCUACAUGCUGCUUUUGAUUGUAUUCAUAUGGGGUGUAGUACAGAGUACAUGUAUAUACCACGAGAUUGUAGUAAUGAAUAUGAGAUUGUCUAUUGACUAGCCUGGCCUCGGUUUAUAUAUGCACCGUAGGUCUAGGGUUUAUAGGAGUCCUUGUCUUGGGUGCCAAGUCUUGUAGAAUUCUCCUUGUAUGCGGCAUGGGUUGUCCGAACUGGCCCAAUAGUGAACCGCCAUGGGGGUCCUCGGCCCGAUCCAGCUGGUCGGGAAACGACGUGGUGAGUACCCCCUAGUCCGUGACACCGUCAGCAACACACGGUCAACGGGUCAGCACUCAGACCGGGGGAUUCUCGGCAUGGGUGUCGGUGUCAAAACCGGCGGAUCUCGGGUAGGGGGUCCCGAACUGUGCGUCUAGGAUCCAUGGUAACAGGAGACGGGGGACACGAUGUUUACCCAGGUUCGGGCCCUCUCUAUGGAGGUAAUACCCUACUUCCUGCUUGAUUGAUAUUGUUGAAUAUGAGUGUUACAAGAGUUGAUCUACCACGAUAUCGUAAUGGCUAAACCCUAAAAGUCUAGCCUGUAUGACUAUGGUAAUGUGUAUCUGUCCUUUUCGGACUAUGCCCUCCGGUUUAUAUAGACACCGGGGCAAUCUAGGGUUUACAUGGAGUCGGUUACAUAAGAAGGAAUCUUCGGUCGCCAAGCUUGCCUUCCACGCCAAGUAGAGACCAAUCCGGACACGGGUACAGUCUCCGGCCUUCAUGUCUUCAUAGCCCAUCAGUCCGGCCCAUGGAUAACAGGUCGGACGCCCGAGGACCCCUUAGUCCAGGACUCCCUCAGUAGCCCCCGAACCAGUCUUCAAUAGCGAGGUGUUCGGCACACAUAUUGUCUUCAGCAUUGCAAGGCAGGUUCCUCCUUCAAUGAUCUCCAAGUGAUGUAUUCGGCCAUUGAUCCAAUGUCGCCUCCUUGGCUUCUGCGCGUUGAAUAAUCUUCGUCUUCCACGUGUCGAGCGAAUGUGGAAGGUCAGGGUAUUUUUGCAAAUAACACCCAUCCAUGCAAGGAAGAGCGCCUAUUUUAAAGAGAUUGGAUCCCAGAUCCAUUCAGCGCCAUGCAGAAGAAAUCCCCGGAGACUUCUUAGGAGAAACCAUUCUAGCAUGGCUAGCGUUCCCAUCUCCUCCGCUCGUUCCAGCCCAGAGAAAGGCGAAUUUGAGAGGUGUUCUAUGUCUCAUAGCCAAUUGACGAAGUUGCAAACGCAGUGAUUUCUUCCCCCUGCAGAUCUAGUCCCUGUUCGAGCGGGGCUAGCUUCCUUCAAUGGUGGGACUUAGGCAGAGGACGUCCCCAAUCCGUCCAGGGGAGAGCGGGUGUGUUUUGUCCCCUACCUGCUAAGAGGCGUUGGAUUUCCAAUCCAUCCGUUCCUCCGAGGGCUUCUGGAGUACUACGGCCUCUAGCUGCACAACUUCACUCCGGCCUCCAUUCUCCACAUUGCGAGCUACGUCGCUUUAUGCAAACUGUUCCUGGGCGUCGAGGCUCAUUUCGAGUUGUGGAGGAAGUUGUUCUGUCUCGUCCCGCGCAAUCACGAAGGGUCAAUAUUUGAAGUGGGUGGAGCCGAAGUAUGGCGCGUCGCCGAUACCGGAUACCCAUCCGGCACACCAAGGAAGGCACCUGAUGAAUGGCCCUCCGAAUGGUUCUAUAUUGAGGACGUCACGCUUCCCGACCCGGAUCGAAAGGGUCUUCCUGAAUUUUCGAGCGUCCCGCUGAAGAAACGCCACAGUUGGCGUCCCCGGAGCCUUGAAGAGGAAGACGAUGCGGAGGUUCGUUAGCUGAUGAGCAAGAUAAAAGAGCUCGCUCAGUCCAGACUCACAGUAAUCGAGGUUAUGGCGAUCUCCAUAGCGCGAGGGGUUCAGCCGCUCCAAUACAGAGGGCUUCCAAUGUGGCACUACAAUGGGGAGGAUGACGCCUCUCGCUACGGACGGAAAGGUCCGGAUACCCCUACCGCUUUGGCUAAGAUAUUAGCCAAACUGUUCAAAUGGGAGGAAAAGGAAUUUCUUCGCAUCAAACUCAGAGACGGGUACUCUAUGUAUAACCCUCCCAGCUGGGUAAGCCCCAACCCCUCUGUUUUUACUCCUUUCAUCCCCGGAUUGUCUUUGAUAAAUUUCAAGUUCGUUUGCUUAUGACAGCACUGGCGAAAGGUCACCGAGGGACUUUAUAGUCCCGCCCCACAGCCGGAGGACCACAACCGGGAGCUUGAUCCCGGGUUUGAAGAGGAUCCGGAUAUAUUCGUGGUCCUCGCGGAGGGGGUGUUUUACCAGACGAGCUAUGAUGGCACAGAAGUGGCCAUCACCGCCGACUACCCUGGCCUUCUUCCUGCUUCACAGGUAAGUAAUCAAGAAACACCUUUUCUGAAAGGGUGCUCUUACUCUGCCUCACCCCCCGCAUUGUCGCGCGUUCAACAGGGGAGGCGUUCGACGAUCCCGAGGAGAUCGGUUCCUGCGCCGGGCAGGCCUUCAAAGAGGAGGGCCGGUGAAGGCACCGCCGGGCCUUCAUCGAGGAGGUACGGAUAAUUAUGUUUUUCAGCGGCCGUAUCCAACUGUGACCUGUGCGUCUGUUUGAUUACAGGAAAAAGGUUCGCCGAACUGUGUCUGGGGGUCUGGUCGGUCAUGCUCCCGACAACCGGGAUUUAGGUCCAGUUGAGGAGACGAGGGCCGAUGUAGGAACAAGGCCAGACUACCCUUCAGCCGAGGGUUCGGACAAUAUGUGUGUCACCAACUCGGAGGUAGAGAGCGCCAUGAAUCAUCGGUGCUGCAGGGCUGUUUUACGAGACCCGAAGUUCUCGGACGAGGCAUUCAAUGCCUUUAGCUCGGGCGACGCAUACAUCCGAGCUGCUCGAGACGGGCUUAGAAAAGCCACUAGGCAAUAUCUAACAGAUGUGCGGGUAAGCUUUCUUUGUCGAAAAAGGAUAGCCGUAUGCAUGUAGCUGUGACGCCCCCGAUUUGACCGUACACUAAUCAUGCACGCAAAUGUGUACGAUCAAGGUCAGGGACUCACGGGAAGAUAUCACAACACAACUCUAAAACAUAAAUAAGUCAUACAAGCAUCAUAAUACAAGCCAGGGGCCUCGAGGGCUCGAAUACAAGUGCUCGAUCACAGACGAGUCAGCGGAAGCAACAAUAUCUGAGGACAGACAUAAGUUAAACAAGUUUGCCUUAAGAAGGCUAGCACAAAAGUAACAACGAUCGAAAAGGCAAGGCCUCCUGCCUGGGACCUCCUAACUACUCCUCGAAGCCGAACUCCAUGUAGAAUCAUCCUCGGGAUCUCUAGCUCCUGGACUCCAGCAUAUGGUUGUGACAAUCAGGUAUAGAAAGGGGAAAGAGGGAGAAAAGCAACCGUGAGUACUCAUCCAAAGUACUCGCAAGCAAGGAGCUACACUACAUAUGCAUGGGUAUAUGUGUAAAGGGCCAUAUCAGUGGACUGAACUGCAGAAUGCCAGAAUAAAAAGGGGGAUAGCUAGUCCUGUCGAAGACUACGCUUCUGGUCAUCUCCAUCUUGCAGCAUGUAGAAGAGAGUAGAUUGAAGUCCUCCAAGUAGCAUCGCAUAGCAUAAUCCUACCCGGCGAUCCCCUCCUCGUCGCCCUGUUAGAGAGCGAUCACCGGGUUGUAUCUGGCACUUGUAAGGGUGUAUUUUAUUCAGUAUCCGGUUCUAGUUGUCAUAAGGUCAAGGUACAACUCCGGGUCGUCCUUUUACCGAGGGAAACGGCUAUUCGAAUAGAUAAACUUCCCUGCAGGGGUGCACCACAUAACCCAACACGCUCGAUCCCAUUUGGCCGGACACACUUUUUUGGGUCAUGCCCGGCCUCGUAAGAUCAACACGUCGCAGCCCCACCUAGGCUCAACAGAGAGGUCAGCACGCUGGUCUAAACCUAUGCGCGCAGGGGUCUGGGCCCAUCGCCCUAUGCACACCUGCACGUUGCGUACGCGGCCGGAAGCAGACCUAGCCCCCUUAAUACAAGCGUGAGCUUACGGUCCAAUGCGGCGCGCGCCACUCAGUCGCUGACGUCAAAAGAGCUUCGGCUGAUACCACGACGUCGGGAUACCCAUAACUACUCCCGCGUAGAUGGUUAGUGCGUAUAGACCAACUGGCCAGACUCAGAUAAAAUACCAAGAUCUCGUUAAGCGUGUUAAGUAUCUGCGAACGCCGACCAGGGCCAGGCCCACCUCUCUCCUAGGUGGUCUCAACCUGCCCUGUCGCUCCGCCACAAAGUAACAGUCGGGGGCCGUCAGGAACCCAGGCCCACCUCUACCGGGGUGGAGCCACCUGUCCUUUUAGCCCCCUCAUCAGAAUCACUUGCGGGUACUCCUCGAGCCGACCCGACUUUAGUCACCACAUGUGUCAUGUAUAUAAUGUAUAUAGUAUAUACCCGUGAUCACCUCCCGAAGUGAUCACGACCCAGUAGUAUAGCAUGGCAAACGGACAAGAGUGUAGGGCCACUGAUGGAACACUAGCAUCCUAUACUAAGCAGUAGGAUAGCAGGUAAGGGUAACAACUGUAGCAACAAUGUCAGGCUAUGCAUCAGGAUAGGAUUAAUGGAAAACAGUAACAUGCUACCCUACUCUAAUGCAAGCAGUAUAGAGAAGAAUAGGCGAUGUCUGGUGAUCAAGGGGGGGCUUGCCUGGUUGCCCUGGCUAGAAGGAGGGGUCGUCUUCGAUGUAGUCGAACACACGAACAUCGGCAGCGGUCUCGGAGUCUACCGGAAAGAAGUAACGGAGGGGGAACACAAUAAAUAACAGAGCAAUCAAAUGUAACACAAAGUAAGACACGGCGAUACGUUGUGCUAGGGGUGACCUAACAUUGGGAUAGGUGAUACCGGCGAAAGGGGAAACAUCUGGGAAAGUAUCCCCGGUGUUUCGCGUUUUCGGACAGAUGAACCGGAGGUGAAAUGUUACAGGUUUGCUAUGCUACGGAUGUGUGGCGGGCGAACGAGCUGUGUAUUCGGAUUCGUCUCGUCGUUCUGAGCAACUUUCAUGUACGAAGUAUUUUCAUCCGACUUAUAGAUUAUUUUAUAUUAAUUUUUAAAGAUUUAAUUCAUUUCCAGUAAUUAACAGAAUUAAAUUAAUUAUAAAGUGUAAUUAUGAUGUCAGCGUGAUGUCAGCAUGAUGUCAUCAGACAACCGUCUGUUGACUGGGUCAACAAACGUGUGGGUCCCGCUCGUCAUUGACUGUAUAGUCUAAUUAGGAUUUAACUAAUCUAAUUACUAUUUAAUUAAACUAACUAGUUAAUUAGAUUAAUUAAACAUGAUUAAUUAACUUAAUUAAUUUAAUUAAUUAAUUUAAUUAAUUAAUUAAUUAUUAUUUUUAUUUUUAUUUUUAUUUUCAUCCUUUUUUUCUUUUAACGUUCUGGGGGGGCGGGGCCUACUUGUCAUAGGCGCAUGGCCUUAACGGGCGCUGGGUGCACGGGUGCCGGACAGCGGGCGCACGGGCGCCAGCCCGAACAGAGGCGCACCCGACCGGGCGCUGCGGGGCGGCAGGGGAGCUCCGGCGAGGGGGGUAUGGCGCGCGGGGCGGGCGAGGGCACCGACGGGGCGAACGGAUCCNNNNNNNNNNNNNNNNNNNNNNNNNNNNNNNNNNNNNNNNNNNNNNNNNNNNNNNNNNNNNNNNNNNNNNNNNNNNNNNNNNNNNNNNNNNNNNNNNNNNNNNNNNNNNNNNNNNNNNNNNNNNNNNNNNNNNNNNNNNNNNNNNNNNNNNNNNNNNNNNNNNNNNNNNNNNNNNNNNNNNNNNNNNNNNNNNNNNNNNNNNNNNNNNNNNNNNNNNNNNNNNNNNNNNNNNNNNNNNNNNNNNNNNNNNNNNNNNNNNNNNNNNNNNNNNNNNNNNNNNNNNNNNNNNNNNNNNNNNNNNNNNNNNNNNNNNNNNNNNNNNNNNNNNNNNNNNNNNNNNNNNNNNNNNNNNNNNNNNNNNNNNNNNNNNNNNNNNNNNNNNNNNNNNNNNNNNNNNNNNNNNNNNNNNNNNNNNNNNNNNNNNNNNNNNNNNNNNNNNNNNNNNNNNNNNNNNNNNNNNNNNNNNNNNNNNNNNNNNNNNNNNNNNNNNNNNNNNNNNNNNNNNNNNNNNNNNNNNNNNNNNNNNNNNNNNNNNNNNNNNNNNNNNNNNNNNNNNNNNNNNNNNNNNNNNNNNNNNNNNNNNNNNNNNNNNNNNNNNNNNNNNNNNNNNNNNNNNNNNNNNNNNNNNNNNNNNNNNNNNNNNNNNNNNNNNNNNNNNNNNNNNNNNNNNNNNNNNNNNNNNNNNNNNNNNNNNNNNNNNNNNNNNNNNNNNNNNNNNNNNNNNNNNNNNNNNNNNNNNNNNNNNNNNNNNNNNNNNNNNNNNNNNNNNNNNNNNNNNNNNNNNNNNNNNNNNNNNNNNNNNNNNNNNNNNNNNNNNNNNNNNNNNNNNNNNNNNNNNNNNNNNNNNNNNNNNNNNNNNNNNNNNNNNNNNNNNNNNNNNNNNNNNNNNNNNNNNNNNNNNNNNNNNNNNNNNNNNNNNNNNNNNNNNNNNNNNNNNNNNNNNNNNNNNNNNNNNNNNNNNNNNNNNNNNNNNNNNNNNNNNNNNNNNNNNNNNNNNNNNNNNNGACGAUGGCGUCGAGCGGCACCGGGCGGCGAGGCACGGUCGUCGGGGCGCAGCGGGGUCGAUCCCGAUCUAGCUCGGGUCGCGGUGGGGCGGGCGCCAUGCGGGGGGAGUCGGGGAGGCAGGCGCCGGCGAGGGGGUGGCCGGAGGCGCCGGGCGGCGGCAGCUUGGCUAAGGGGUCGGGGCCCUCUGCCCCGAUCCAGGCGGGGAAAGGGGAGAGGGGCGUGCGGGGAGCGAGUGGGGGAGUGGGGAUCGGGAGGAAGUGGGUUGACCGGCUAGGGUUUUGGGGUAGUGGGUGUAUAGGCGCAGCUGGUGGGCUGGCCUGGUGGUCUGGUGGCCUGCUGGGCCGUGGCCCAGUGGGCCAGGGGGGUUUUCUUGACUUUGUUUUAUUUCCUUUAUUUUUAUUUAUUCUUUCGUAUUUUAUUUUAGUUACAUUUUAUUUUAGUUUUAUAAAAUGCCAAAUGAGCACCUAAAUUAGUAUUACUAAUUAGUCCACUGCCACAAUUAUUUUGGCACAUUAUUAAAUUAGUUAUAUUAUUAUAACUUUAUAAAAGGCAUUAAGUUAAUUGUUUUUGCUACUGUUUUAAUUACUUUAGAGCCCUAAAACAUUUUAUCAAAGUUUGGUCUCUCCACCAAUAUAUCCUAUGAAUUAUUUGCCACAAUAAGAACAUUUUAGUUUUUAUGUUUGAAAACAUUUACUGUUUGCCAAUAUUUUAAAUUUGAAUUUGAAUCAUUUUGAACUAACGCGAGUUUAUCAACAGUAACGUGGUGAUGUGGCAUCUUUAACAGAGGUUUACUGUAGCCUAAUUGUCCGGGCGUUACAAUUCUCCUCCACUACAAGAAAUCUCGUCCCGAGAUUUAAGGGGUAGAGCAAGGGGGAAGGUUUGGUAACGAAUCUAGCGGGUCUUUUCAAUCUGGCUUGCUCUUUUUGAAGAGGUCGAUCCAUUAUGUUGAUGUCUUCAAUUCUCUGCUUCAGGUCAUCGUGAUGAAGUAGGCAUUCUUCCUUCAGGAAUUCCAUCGUACUUACGAAAGAAUAAAGGGUGGGUAUACCGGGAUAACGGACCUCUGCAAGGUUGACUAUCUGGUCAAUAACAUCGGGGAAGGUGGUGGAAAGUAACUCUCGAAUUGAAAGUUAAGAAAAUAUCGAGAGCAAAGUAUGAAGGUGCAAAAUAGAAGUUUUCAAGCGCAUAGGAAAUCGUUCGUUGCCUGAAACGAAGUGUUGAAGGGGUUUAGAGCAAUGUGAAUAAGCAUUGCAUCUGAUAUCAGAAUAGAUCACCAGGCAGGUGGGCGUGAAUUACAUACAAAGUCAAGCGCGAUGAAUAACUUUGACAACAGGGUGUACAGGAGAGUCAGGUUUCGAUCCUGUGGAACUGUGGGUUAUGGGCCCACCAUGUGGGUUAAGGUAGGAAGGAAGGUGACAUCUUGCACGAUCAUGUAAGCAACGCAUGCCAGAGAAUAACCGGUCAGUUAUGUUGGCAGCAUCGUUGGUACCAAGGGCGAGGGACGAAGAGAACCAUUUUCCUGCUCGUUGAAACGAGGCGGACCAUUGGGCAAAGUUCUCGUCCAUCGGUGGCUACCGGGAUGUCAUCAACAAUAGUAGCAGGGUCUUGCUGACAGAAUUGUACACCGAGGUGUUUACAUAAGCAAGAGAAUAUUACUGCUUAGAUCAUAUAGAACUCAAGAAGGGUUAAACAAAACAAUGGAAAGGAAAAUAUCAUCAUCAGAUUAAACAGAACAAUGGAAAGGAAAAUGUAUUUAAACACAUAUUUCAAGGGUAUAUCCUUCCCAAGGACAAGCAGAGCAUGAUAUCCAGGACAGGAUAUAAUGUAGAAAACUCUUUAGGUAAGGUGAGAGAAAUUUCAUGACAUUACCCAUACAAUGGUGUUUGGAUAAUUGAGCGAGAAACAUUUAGCAUUGGGCUUCAAAUGUUCUUGUUGAAAAUUGGAUUACCACAGACAUGCUUCGGGAUAGCAUUGUCAUGGUCUUCAAGCAAAAAUCAGACUUUGGAUACACAAAGGAUCCAUCAGGAUAAACUUAUUAAACAAGGCAUUCAAUUUCCUCAUGGAAAAAUGAUUAACCCUGUUAAGAAGGAAACUAUAACACUAGGUCCUCUGGUCAGGCGUGCUAGGCAUGACAUCACCUUACCGGGGCAUAUAGGGACCAAUGUUAUAACUCUUGAAAAUAUGUUCCAACCAUCAUAUCUGACCGAGAUUCAGAUCUGAUUGGUGUCAAAAUACCUUAGACUCAGGAUGCCUGAGAAGAAAGGUGCAACACAAAUUGUCGAGGUGACAUUGUAUGAUUCUCGGGAAUUAAACCAUGGAAGCGAGUUCCGAAAUAAGAGUUCAUCAUUAAAUCAAGGAGAGGUGAGGAGGUGACUGAUUGACUCAGCGACAAUCCAUUGACAUUUCCAAAAAGGAUGGAUUUCCACAACUAUGUGAACAAGGAGAUAACAUUAGCCAGAUCAAAUGACUUAAUGAUGUAUGCUGGAGGAAAACAUAGACAAUUAAACAUGGUUUGAAAGGUGCAUUCGAAAUAAGGGUUGGGUUGCACGCCCAACGUCGGAAUGGCGAUUGAGCAACCAACACACUAAAUUGGAAUAAUUGUCCAUUAACUCUGAAGCAAUAGGGUUGCUAGAGAUAUUAAAUUUGCAAAACAGAGUUCACUCAACACGGGGACCAAGAAAAGAAUGGUGAUGGUGAGAAGCAUCACUGUAUCACAAAUUCUUAAGAGGUGGUGUAAUUCUCACAACAUUGAUGACAUAAGAGAUGGUAAUGUUCCGAGUAAAGAAGAACAAUUGCUGGAUGGCAGGGAACUCAAGGUAUAACACCAAACACGAACAAGCUGUGUUGGUGGGAAGGCAAUGAAGUGGUCGAUGAUAAUAAAAUUCAUCGAGGGCAAGGAUGGUAUAUCUCAUCAUGAAUUCAAUUGAUAUCCAGGAAGGAGUCAACAUGUUGAUGAUGAUCACGACAAAUUUUGUCGAGAGGCUCCACGAAGAUGUAAUAGAUCGGCGAUGACAUCAAGUCAAGGGAAUGAUGAUGCGAAAGGUUAAUGGAACCAAGGGUACGACACAAACUCCAAAGCAAGCUUGCUGUCCAAAGCGAAAUGAUACGAUGAGGAAAGAUCGACGUAAGCUUAGCUCAUCGUCAAAAAUUGUGCUCUGGGAAGGACCAGGUAGCACAGUUAAAAUCGGCACGACAAGGAUAUAGCCAAACAUGCUAGGAAUGACGUGAUUGAGUUCAAACUCGUAAGUAAUGAAGGUUACCAAGAGUUGCUUAAUCGUGAUGCGGACUCGAGUCAGUUAUCGGUGUAUUUGAGUGUUUAAUAACUCAGAGCCCGUGAAAAAUUGGAAUCAAUGAGAAUGUAGCACUUGAUGAAGAACUCAUAAGAAGUUAUGCAGUCCCGUGAUAAUCUUGAGAUACCAGGGGGGUAAUAGUCGACGACAAAUCAAAGUAGAGGUUGGACUGGGGUAUUACUCUGCAGAAGACAAGUGCUUAAACUUGCACGAGAAAUGGUAUUUAAAGGAGAACAUGGUCAGAAACCACGAUCAUAAAUGAUCAAACCACGGAUACAAGAUGAACUUAUAACAAGGGGGGUAAUUAUUUUUACAAGCAGCUUCCAUGAUAAGUUAUACAUCGUGUCCAUGGGCAUGAACGCAAGGUUCAAGGUCGACUCCCACUUCUUCAAUGUAUAACCUUCCAUUCACUCCUCGCUUUGAUAAAGGCAUUAGUGUUGAAAGUUUUACCUGGUGAAAUACCAGAUGAGUAUGAAUCGUGAAAACUUCUGAGUUCACACAUAUUCAGGAAGGCAUAGGUUCAACCCGUCAGGGUAUCGUGGAAACAUAUACCACCAGCUUCAAUAGUAAAUACCACCAGCUCGAAAACAGAGCAUGGUUGAGAAAACAGAGGAUACAAUUUACCCAAGGCUUUAUAUAUCCGUGGAAAGACUCACAAGGUUAUUUGAAUAUGAAGGACACUGUCGGAUAAUAAUCCAACAAGAGGUCCGGUGGUCUACAACGGAGCUGAUGUGAGUAUCGGUACUCUAUCAAAGGAAGAAGGAAUGCAAGUGCAUCGGAUUAUAGAAACAACUGACUAACUCAAAGCUUAAAUGCAAGGAAUUAUGAAUUCCAAGACAAGGGAUCAGAAGCAAUGCUCUGAUUAGGGAUGGAUAAGCUGAAUAGACUUAGGGAUACAACCGAUCAAGGCAUUGAUUGGUCAAGAACCAGCUCAUAUCCAAAUAACGUCCGAGCCGGAAGAAUGAAUUCUAGGAUCUGAUUGAGGAUUGCGAGCAUUCGCAACAAAUUGAAUCAACAGACUCAAAAUGACAAGGAUAUUAACGAAUAUUGCCAGACAUAUGGAAAGCAUCCAUCAUGCAAGCAGACAAGUAUUGCAGAGCAAUAAGCUACUAAGGAUUUUUGGAGGAUCGAAUAGUAUUUCGAAGACCAUUGUGAAACACAUGAACAACUGGGGGAUGAGCGGAUAAUCGAUAAGUGCGAGAAUUAUCCGUAGGGGUAUUCAGGUGUCAAAGAACAGCAAGGCAGUAAGCUCAAAGGAUUAUCGAAACAACGACGAGUAUUUCGGGGUAUCUUGCAAUAACAAGACCAAUUGGGGAUGAAUGUAAGAACAACAACUGCAAGUAGUUAUCCAUAAGGGUUGACGGUGGAAGGGGAAUUGCAAACGCGAUGAACACAAGUUCUCGGGUUAACAGCGGAGAGUAUCAGCAGGGUCUUCACGUGCAGCAGACGAGCAUCAGCAAUAAGGGGCUCUCCGGGUGAAAGUGAUAACGAGAUCCUAAUGUUAGAUUUAGCAAAAUUCAUUUAACCCGAAUAGAAGAGAUGUCAGAGUCCCAGAGUAUAGGUUGAGGAAUAAAAGAUCCUACCACCACCCAAUGGCGACGUGGGCCCGUAAGCCACACAGCCAUGUUAGUAAAACAGUUUUCACUGACUAGACUCAACUUCGGCCAAGGAGUUGGAAAGGGGGAUUCCUACAGGCAGUUGGCUCUGAUACCAACUUGUGACGCCCCCGAUUUGACCGUACACUAAUCAUGCACGCAAAUGUGUACGAUCAAGGUCAGGGACUCACGGGAAGAUAUCACAACACAACUCUAAAACAUAAAUAAGUCAUACAAGCAUCAUAAUACAAGCCAGGGGCCUCGAGGGCUCGAAUACAAGUGCUCGAUCACAGACGAGUCAGCGGAAGCAACAAUAUCUGAGGACAGACAUAAGUUAAACAAGUUUGCCUUAAGAAGGCUAGCACAAAAGUAACAACGAUCGAAAAGGCAAGGCCUCCUGCCUGGGACCUCCUAACUACUCCUCGAAGCCGAACUCCAUGUAGAAUCAUCCUCGGGAUCUCUAGCUCCUGGACUCCAGCAUAUGGUUGUGACAAUCAGGUAUAGAAAGGGGAAAGAGGGAGAAAAGCAACCGUGAGUACUCAUCCAAAGUACUCGCAAGCAAGGAGCUACACUACAUAUGCAUGGGUAUAUGUGUAAAGGGCCAUAUCAGUGGACUGAACUGCAGAAUGCCAGAAUAAAAAGGGGGAUAGCUAGUCCUGUCGAAGACUACGCUUCUGGUCAUCUCCAUCUUGCAGCAUGUAGAAGAGAGUAGGUUGAAGUCCUCCAAGUAGCAUCGCAUAGCAUAAUCCUACCCGGCGAUCCCCUCCUCGUCGCCCUGUUAGAGAGCGAUCACCGGGUUGUAUCUGGCACUUGGAAGGGUGUAUUUUAUUCAGUAUCCGGUUCUAGUUGUCAUAAGGUCAAGGUACAACUCCGGGUCGUCCUUUUACCGAGGGACACGGCUAUUCGAAUAGAUAAACUUCCCUGCAGGGGUGCACCACAUAACCCAACACGCUCGAUCCCAUUUGGCCGGACACACUUUUCUGGGUCAUGCCCGGCCUCGUAAGAUCAACACGUCGCAGCCCCACCUAGGCUCAACAGAGAGGUUAGCACGCCGGUCUAAACCUAUGCGCGCAGGGGUCUGGGCCCAUCGCCCUAUGCACACCUGCACGUUGCGUACGCGGCCGGAAGCAGACCUAGCCCCCUUAAUACAAGCGCGAGCUUACGGUCCAAUGCGGCGCGCGCCACUCAGUCGCUGACGUCAAAAGAGCUUCGGCUGAUACCACGACGUUGGGAUACCCAUAACUACUCCCGCGUAGAUGGUUAGUGCGUAUAGACCAAAUGGCCAGACUCAGAUAAAAUACCAAGAUCUCGUUAAGUGUGUGAAGUAUCUGUGAACGCCGACCAGGGCCAGGCCCACCUCUCUCCUAGGUGGUCUCAACCUGCCCUGUCGCUCCGCCACAAAGUAACAGUUGGGGGCCGUCAGGAACCCAGGCCCACCUCUACCGGGGUGGAGCCACCUGUCCUUUCAGCCCCCUCAUCAGAAUCACUUGCGGGUACUCCUCGAGCCGACCCGACUUUAGUCACCACAUGUGUCAUGUAUAUAAUGUAUAUAGUAUAUACCCGUGAUCACCUCCCGAAGCGAUCACGGCCCAGUAGUAUAGCAUGGCAGACGGACAAGAGUGUAGGGCCACUGAUGGAACACUAGCAUCCUAUACUAAGCAGUAGGAUAGCAGGUAAGGGUAACAACUGUAGCAACAAUGUCAGGCUAUGCAUCAGGAUAGGAUUAACGGAAAACAGUAACAUGCUACCAUACUCUAAUGCAAGCAGUAUAGAGAAGAAUAGGCGAUAUCUGGUGAUCAAGGGGGGGGCUUGCCUGGUUGCCCUGGCAAGAAGGAGGGGCCGUCUUCGAUGUAGUCGAACACACGAACAUCGGCAGCGGUCUCGGAGUCUACCGGAAAGAAGUAACGGAGGGGGAACACAAUAAAUAACAGAGCAAUCAAAUGUAACCCAAAGUAAGACACGGCGAUACGUUGUGCUAGGGGUGACCUAACAUAGGGAUAGGUGAUACCGGCGAAAGGGGAAACAUCCGGGAAAGUAUCCCCGGCGUUUCGCGUUUUCGGACAGAUGAACCGGAGGUGAAAUGUUACAGGUUUGCUAUGCUACGGAUGUGUGGCGGGCGAACGGGUUGUGUAUUCGGAUUCGUCUCGUCGUUUUGAGCAACUUUCAUGUACGAAGUAUUUUCAUCCGACUUAUAGAUUAUUUUAUAUUAAUUUUUAAAGAUUUAAUUCAUUUCUAGUAAUUAACAGAAUUAAAUUAAUUAUAAAGUGUAUUUAUGAUGUCAGCGUGAUGUCAGCAUGAUGUCAUCAGUCAACCGUCUGUUGACUGGGUCAACAGACGUGUGGGUCCCGCUCGUCAUUGACUGUAUAGUCUAAUUAGGAUUUAACUAAUCUAAUUACUAUUUAAUUAAACUAACUAGUUAAUUAGAUUAAUUAAACAUGAUUAAUUAACUUAAUUAAUUUAAUUAAUUAUUAUUAUUAUUUUAUUUUUAUUUUUAUCCUUUUUUUCUUUUAACGUUCUGGGGGGGCGGGGCCUACUUGUCAUAGGCGCAUGGCCUUAACGGGCGCUGGGUGCACGGGUGCCGGACAGCGGGCGCACGGGCGCCAGCCCGAACAGAGGCGCACCCGACCGGGCGCUGCNNNNNNNNNNNNNNNNNNNNNNNNNNNNNNNNNNNNNNNNNNNNNNNNNNNNNNNNNNNNNNNNNNNNNNNNNNNNNNNNNNNNNNNNNNNNNNNNNNNNNNNNNNNNNNNNNNNNNNNNNNNNNNNNNNNNNNNNNNNNNNNNNNNNNNNNNNNNNNNNNNNNNNNNNNNNNNNNNNNNNNNNNNNNNNNNNNNNNNNNNNNNNNNNNNNNNNNNNNNNNNNNNNNNNNNNNNNNNNNNNNNNNNNNNNNNNNNNNNNNNNNNNNNNNNNNNNNNNNNNNNNNNNNNNNNNNNNNNNNNNNNNNNNNNNNNNNNNNNNNNNNNNNNNNNNNNNNNNNNNNNNNNNNNNNNNNNNNNNNNNNNNNNNNNNNNNNNNNNNNNNNNNNNNNNNNNNNNNNNNNNNNNNNNNNNNNNNNNNNNNNNNNNNNNNNNNNNNNNNNNNNNNNNNNNNNNNNNNNNNNNNNNNNNNNNNNNNNNNNNNNNNNNNNNNNNNNNNNNNNNNNNNNNNNNNNNNNNNNNNNNNNNNNNNNNNNNNNNNNNNNNNNNNNNNNNNNNNNNNNNNNNNNNNNNNNNNNNNNNNNNNNNNNNNNNNNNNNNNNNNNNNNNNNNNNNNNNNNNNNNNNNNNNNGGUCCGGUGGGGGCUAGCGAUGGCGCCGUCGUGGACGAUGGCGUCGAGCGGCACCGGGCGGCGAGGCACGGUCGUCGGGGCGCAGCGGGUCGAUCCCGAUCUAGCUCGGGUCGCGGUGGGGCGGGCGCCAUGCGGGGGGAGUCGGGGAGGCAGGCGCCGGCGAGGGGGUGGCCGGAGGCGCCGGGCGGCGGCAGCUUGGCGAAGGGGUCGGGGCCCUCUGCCUCGAUCCAGGCGGGGAAAGGGGAGAGGGGCGUGCGGGGAGCGAGUGGGGGAGUGGGGAUCGGGAGGAAGUGGGUUGACCGGCUAGGGUUUCGGGGUAGUGGGUGUAUAGGCGCAGCUGGUAGGCUGGCCUGGUGUUCUGGUGGCCUGCUGGGCCGUGGCCCAGUGGGCCAGGGUUUUUUUUUACUUUGUUUUAUUUCCUUUAUUUUUAUUUAUUCUUUCGUAUUUUAUUUUAGUUACAUUUUAUUUUAGUUUUAUAAAAUGCCAAAUGAGCACCUAAAUUAGUAUUACUAAUUAGUCCACCGCCACAAUUAUUUUGGCACAUUAUUAAAUUAGUUAUAUUAUUAUAACUUUAUAAAAGGCAUUAAGUUAAUUGUGUUUGCUGCUGUUUUAAUUACUUUAGAGCCCUAAAACAUUUUAUCAAAGUUUGGUCUCUCCACCAAUAUAUCCUAUGAAUUAUUUGCCACAAUAAGAACAUUUUAGUUUUUAUGUUUGAAAACAUUUACUAUUUGCCAAUAUUUUAAAUUUGAAUUUGAAUCGUUUUGAACUAACGCGAGUUUAUCAACAGUAACGUGGUGACGUGGCAUCUUUAACAGAGGUUUACUGUAGCCUAAUUGUCCGGGCGUUACAGUAGCCCCCGAGACUGAAAGCAAUUGGCACAACUAAUUUAAGGAUUGUUGAACAACCAGGUCCUCACAGAGAAGAAUGGCCUGCUCGCCCAAGAGCUGGAGCAGUGUCGGGUGCAGCUAAAUGCUGCCACCGCCGAACUGGAAAACGUCAAGAAGUCGUCUUCUGGUAAUGUUCCCCUCCACCGAGGAACAAUGAUUGUGUACCAACUGUGCUAACGCUGCUGCUGAUCGCGUAAUAGGGUCGUCUGAUCAACUUGAAGAGAAGUUGAAGAUCGCCCAAGAAGGAGAAAAAGAGGCGAAAAGGCAACAUGCCACAGGCGAGCGUGUACUGACCCGCGUCAGAGACGAUAAAAACAAGCUGCAGGAUUCCAACACUACAUUGCUUGAAGAGUUGAAAGAUGUUCGAGCCCAGCUAGCCGAUUCCGUGAAGGAGAACAAGAAGCUGCGGGGCGGUAUCUUCAGUAUGUGUCCGAACUAUUUCUGCCAUAACUUUAUAUUGAAUGGUGGAGCUAUCAGUUGGUGCAGUUCCAAACGGAGCGUCGUGGCGGCAUCUACGUGUGAAGCGGAGUACAUAGCUGCUUCAGAAGCAGCAAAUGAAGGAGUCUGGAUGAAGGAGUUCAUAUCCGAUCUAGGUGUAAUACCUAAUGCAUCGGGUUCAAUGAAAAUCUUUUAUGACAAUACACCUAUGACCAAGUUGACUUCUUUCCGCAGUAACGCCUUCGGAAAAGAAUAAACACCCUUGCACCAUCGUCGUCACGUCAGAACAAGGUCUUGAUUGCCGGAUUUUCAUCUUGACAACCGAAGCCAACCACCUUUAGUACAUCAACAAGAUAAUGCAAGUUGGUCGCCGCGAGGCCCAACCAAUUAAUGCCGAAAAAAGUGUUUUUACCCCAGACAUGAAGUGAUGUUCCAAUCAUUAUCUUGAAGACGGAUCUUCGAAAAGUCACGCCAUCAUGUAAUUCACGUCGGGCCAGAAAGGCACUAGCGAAUGGCGGGACAUCUUUCCACCACAGACCACCAUCCAGCCAUCGGGUGAUCGUCCAUGACGCGGUGUGGAUCUAGCCAUUGCCAAUUCAUACAUGUGCAAACCAGCCUGUAACAUCCGCCAUGACCCCAGGGUGCUACCCCAGCGUCCUCCAUGUAAGUCGCAGCACGUUGCUCGCUCACGCUGCCGUCGUGGCCAAGAACGCCGAUCUGACCCUCUCGGGCAUCCCUGGCAGUGACGAACUGGAGUGCGGGCUGGUCAAGAAGGUGCACAAUCCCUGCCACCGAUGUCAGCGAGAGACGCCUCGCCUGGAUCUUGUUGUCGAUGAAGAGUCAACCAACCGCGGUCGGCGCCAUCAACCCCAUCAUGACUUCUCCCCCUCGCGGCUCCUAUUGCCAUGAAUGUGUCACUGCAUGUCACCAACCGGGCAGGCUAAUUGGGUGGGAUCGAUGUCACCGUAGGUGGCCAGCGAGUUGCAUCAACAACCGCAAGCGCAACAGAGAAGACAUGGAUAGGGAAGAGAAGAGUACAAGUUUUGCGGCAGAACAAAGCUGGAGAUUAAACAUCCGCACUAAGAAUGGACCGGUACUUAAUGAGUUGCAAGCUACAAAGAAGAAAAACCAGUCUACGCUGCAUAUGGAUUUAUUGAGUCUCUGAUUUUUCCAAAAGAUAUUUCAAAAGAAGCACAAUAAAGUUCCAAAUAUUAGGGUCGAGACCUCGGCUGCAUCCCAGAUGAGGUUCAGCCAAGGAGGGAACCUGGUCCAACCACACUUGCGCUGCGGCAGGGCACAUACGGAAAAUGUGGGCAGAAUCCUCCAGAUGAGUACCUUGGAGGACCAAGCUGAUGGUUGAUUCUUUUUUUUCAUAAAUUUUAUUAAUUCAAAAUCAUUACAAACACUUAACAAUGUGCCGAGUUUAGUCAGGAACUAGAUAUAGUUUGGGGGCUAAACCUUGUGCAUCGUCAAUCAAGAUGCAGAUGGCCCUUCAUUCUUUUUCUCCGGCAAUGUAUGUAGUUCUCUUGAUAAAGUUUAUUAUCAAUGCGAUGGUGCCGAAAUCUCCCUUAGUUGAGUGAUGUAUCUAAUCUAGUCGAUGCUAAAGUUUAUUAUUGUGAUGAUGAAACAUUGAUUUACACCACAUGGUUUUUUCAGGACUCGAAUUAGAAAAGCAGUUAGCAUUGUGGGAUAUCACUAGGAUUACAAAACCACGAAAAUUUAGAUUUGACAGCACAGGAAAACAAUUGAUUUGUAAAGAGAUUUUGGUGGAUGGCAAUUUUCUUUUGAAAUAAAAUGCAAAACCUAGGAAUUCGUGGAUCCAGAUCCUCUUAAAAAACCUGUAAAUUUCUUCGAACUGGAAGUGGACAAGAAUCAUAUUCAAGUGAAAAAAACUAAAAAAAAACAUACGAAAUUGCUAUGGGUCGAGCCUCAGAAUAAGGGAACAGGAAAAGAAAAAGGAGAGAUAAUCACUGGACUAAUUUAGUCAACUCAAAAUCCUCAAUAUACAGUUCCUCGAGUUUAAUCCAAGACCUGAACUUGGCGGCAACGACAGAAUAUAACCACAACUAGAAACAUACAGUAGAAACGAUAUAUAGGCCAUCUAGAAGACGACGGUGAUGAUCUACUGCGACUCGACGGACGGCGUCGUGUUAGCGGCUGAGCCGUGGUCCUUGGCGCCUCCGCCGAAUAUUGGCUCGGCGAACAUGGAGCUGACCUUGUUCUUGAUGCACUCCCAGUGCUCGCUCGCCUGCGCCUCCGUGAACUGCCUGUACUGGUCCUUGGCCCGCUCCAUCAGCGACGCCCCCUCCCCCACCGUCCACUUGAAGCACGUCGACGCCGGCGCUUGCGCCUCCUUCUCCGGCGCUGCCGCUCCCGCUGCUGCCCCCUGGUUCUCCAUCAAGCCCGAAAACUGAGAUGGAAACUUGUCUACGUCGAUCGAGAGAAUAAGACGAUGUCGCCGGUUGUGGUUGUGUUGCUUUGGUGGCCGUGGGGCUGCGGGGGCGUGGCUACUUAUGCAGGGGAGGUCGGGGCGUCUUGAGGAGGAAGCCGGGUCCGUCACGGGCUUGGAGUUAGAACACAAGUUGGCCACACGAGAAACUACGUACUGAGUCCGGAUCAUCAUCAUGGAAGAAAACAAGUAAACACGGAUUCUCACGAGUGCAAACGGGAAAGGGAACUACUACUCCUCCCUGUUCCUUCCUUUGUUAAUCCCCUUCGUUAACAUUGUGCGGAGUGUAGUCUAGGAAGUAGAGAAAGAUUUGGGGCGUAAAAGGCCAGAUGGCCCUUCAUUCUUUUUCUCCGUCAGUUCAGUGAUGUAUGUAGAUAAAGCUUAUCGAUGCGAAUGCGAUGAUGCCGAAAUCUCCCUUAGCUGAGUGAUGUAUCUAAUCUAAUCUAUGCUAACGUUUAUUAAUAGGGAAACGAUUACAAUCAGCCAGCCGAUAACGCGCUGAGUUCCGUCGCAUACACAGGCGUCAGAUAAGACUGAUCAGACAACGCACGGCCCCUAAACAACCGAUCAGGACGUUUACAGCUUGACGCGUGCCUUUGUCAUCUUGACAAUUUUUCUGCAACAUCAACCGUGUUGCAGAAGUUCUUCCGCAACAACAUCUAUGUUGCAAAAAAGUUAAGCUGAAAAAAAUUCUGCACAACAUCAUCUGUGUUGCAGAAGUCUUUCCGCAACAACACUCGUGUUUUAAAAAAGUUAAAACAGAGAAAAAAAAACUAUGAAACAGAACAUCUGUUGCAAAUGAUUUUGCAACAAAAGGUCUGUUGCAAAGAGUUCCGCAACACCGUCUCUGUUGCAUUGGUAAGGAAAAAGGACGGGCCGCUAAAAAGAUCCGCCGGCCGACGCGUAGCGUCGCCCUGGGGACCGCCUAUGCGUCAGUUAACUGAAAUAAAACUACGUCAGUCACUUUGAUCUAGAGCCCUUAGAUCUUCAUCCAACGAUGAAAUAGAUUGCGUUACUGUUCAUCUUCUACCUCCCAGCGCAGCCAGGCCGGCGGCCUAAGAGCCUGCCUCCGGCCCCCGCGGUCGGCAGCUAACGCCGCCCCNNNNNNNNNNNNNNNNNNNNNNNNNNNNNNNNNNNNNNNNNNNNNNNNNNNNNNNNNNNNNNNNNNNNNNNNNNNNNNNNNNNNNNNNNNNNNNNNNNNNNNNNNNNNNNNNNNNNNNNNNNNNNNNNNNNNNNNNNNNNNNNNNNNNNNNNNNNNNNNNNNNNNNNNNNNNNNNNNNNNNNNNNNNNNNNNNNNNNNNNNNNNNNNNNNNNNNNNNNNNNNNNNNNNNNNNNNNNNNNNNNNNNNNNNNNNNNNNNNNNNNNNNNNNNNNNNNNNNNNNNNNNNNNNNNNNNNNNNNNNNNNNNNNNNNNNNNNNNNNNNNNNNNNNNNNNNNNNNNNNNNNNNNNNNNNNNNNNNNNNNNNNNNNNNNNNNNNNNNNNNNNNNNNNNNNNNNNNNNNNNNNNNNNCGGCGAGGUCCGGCCAAGAGGGAAAAGGAAGGAAGAAGACAAAAUGUGACUGGUGCGAGGAAGCGCCAAAUCCGUAAGUUUUGUGGUUUCUUUGUGUGUUACAUUUAGUUCAUCAUGUGUUCACAAAUUAUAGUUGACCCAGUCUCUUACAUUUUCAGCCGCUGUCAUUAAACAUACCCCCUCCGAUCCAAAAUAAGUUGUGUGGUUUUAGUUCAAAUUUGGACUAAAACCAUGUCACUUAUUUUGGAUCGGAGGGUGUAGUUGAAUAUGUAAACUUGGUUGUGCAUUGUAAUUUGUCAACGCACAUUUAAAUACCAUUUCUGUCUUACUAUUUCUGGAUCUAUUGACUCAAAACGUGAUGCACUAAUCUGGUCCUAAUAUUCAUGCAAGUUUCUACAUAAUCUACUUUGUCUAUUUGUUAUGGGCAGUAGUGCCUUCUAACAAUAACAAUACACCUUCAGUCAUGAUUAGUAAUUGAAGUAGUUAGCUUAUUUUGAAAUAAGAGUUUUAAAACUGGGGAAAACCACUGUCAAAUGAGUCUAACCUUUUUCUUUGAAUACGGUUGGUUCAAGGUUUAGUUGACUUAUUGGUACUUAAUUUUUUUCAAUUUGAUGUAAAAUUUUCUUUCUUUGAGUUGACUUAUUAUGAGAUUUUAUAAGUUAUUUCACUGUUUCUUUUUUCACAUCUUAUUUAGGUAGGAGUGUCUAAAAAAGGCAGCAGGGUUUCUGCUUAGACAAGGACUCCUGGUGAUGAUCCUGAACGUAAUUACUAUGUAUCUAUUUCAGCAAUGCCAGUAUUCAAGAGCAAAUCUCACGAGGAGCUUCGACAUGAAGAUUAUAAGAAAGGAGACAAAGGUAAGAUAUUGAGUAUUUCCAACACUUUAGACUUUUUGUCCUGUUUAGAUUUUUGAUAAGUUCUAUGAGGUCUCAGCAGGUUGUUGUGAUGGUCAAGAUCUGUAGGAUUUAUGCACAGGAGAAGGAUAACUUGCAACUCAAGACAUAUAAUACAUCUCAUAGUCUUAACUCUCUUAUUGUACUCCAUCCGUUUCUAAAUACAAGCCUUUCUAGAGAUGGACUACAUAUUGCUCCGUACGUAGUCCAUAUUGAAAUCUCUAAAAAAGGCUUAUAUUUAGAAACGGAGGGGGUACUAUUUACUCUGAUACUUAAUUAAUUUUCUUCCUAAUUUAUCUUCAAUCCUCUAGAGACCUAACCUAAUGUGCAAGAACUUGACUAGUUCAAUUAAAGCAACACGGUACUGCUCAUGGUGCCCUGGGCCUAUAUGACAAGUGAUGGUUAAUAACUGUUGAAUCUUGUGUUUUUUUCAUUAUGUACUUGUUUUAUUAGGUUCUUAUUACUAAUCUAGUUUUGUGUGUUCCCCAGGUGGUUUCAACUUACAGGAGAGCAGAGUUCCUUGGGCUUAUCAUUCCUCGCAGCCCCAGCCCCCAGUGAAUGCCUUCACAAAUCCUGUCAAGCCAUCAUUGUUUUCAUACUCUCCUGAGCCAUCCUCAGCACCUGUGGGACUGCAAUCCUCAGCACUACCACCAACCCAUUUUGGUUGCGCCCUCCAGGACCCCAGUCACCAUUAUCUUCAUACACUCCCGAGCCAAUCCACAAGCCAUCAUGGUUUUCAAGCUCCUCUUUUGCACCAUCUACUAUAUGUUGGGCAAAUGUAUCCAAUAACACAGCGGCAUAUACAGCUCCUGCAGAUACAUCUUCUGCUGUAAGUAUUCCUAUAGAAAAUUAUUCUUUCAUGAUGCAUUUCAUUCAUACGAGUUGGUGUGUGUUCUCAUUGAUUAAUUGUUCUGAUGGAAGCAGCAAGGCCAUAUGUUUAGCCCAAAUUUGUUCCCUUCAAAAUCUACUCAAUCUGGAGGAAGUUUACUCAGCUCUUAGGUCACCCAUUCAGCACUAGCUCCAUCGCCAAACGGUCAUUCCACUACUGCAGGUGUCACUGAAUGGCUAUAUUUCCUGGAUUUUUGUUUCUUUAUCUGAUUUAUUAUUGUCGUCCUUUCCAGAUAAAUAUUGGUCAAGCUGAGAAAACUGUGGAGUUGGUACUACCAGUUGACAUUACUACUGUAAGGAUUAGAUUUUCUCCAAGGAAUGAUGAUACUGGCAGUCGUGCUACAGAGGUAUGGCAAUAAAUCUCCAUAGCCAAGAAUUGUGUUGCAAGUAAAAUGAAAUAUUGUGGACCACUUCAAACAUGUUUCAAGACAUAUAUGCUCACAUGUUUGGGCUCAUGAAUAUUCAUAUAAAAUGCUCCCAGCUGCUUUUUAUUGCAUCAAAAAAAUUGAAUCUGUCCAUUUGGAUUACCCCAUAAAUGAAAUUUGCAUAUCCUUUUGCAUAGGUUCAUCAUAAUGUUAAAGCUUCAGCAACACCAGUGUCUUUCUGUAUCUAUCCUGGAGAGAACCAAGAGCUAACUAUCCGAUCGGUUGAAAGGAUCGAGAAGAGGUGUCUAGAGGGGGGUGAUUAUACCCUCAACAAGCAAAAGUAUCCGUUUUUAAGUUCUUCAAGUUGAUGUGGAGUUUUAGCACAAGUUUAAGCAUUCACAAUACAUUUCAAGCAAGCAUGGCAAGAGUAUAAGCAACGGAAAGAGUAAAGCAUGCAAGUUGCAAGAAAGUAAAGGGAUGGGAUUGGAGUGUGCAAACGCAAUGAAGACACAGAUAUUUUUGGCGUGGUUCUGAUAGGUGGUGCUAUUGUACGUCCACGUUGAUGGAGACUUCAACCCACGAAGGGUAAUGGUUGCGCGAGUCCACGGAGGCUCCACCCACGAACGGUCCACGAAGAAGCAACCUUGUCUAUCCCACCAUGGCCAUCGCCCACGAAGGACUUGCCUCACUCAGGUAGAUCUUCACGAAGUAGGCGAUUUCCUUGCCCUUACAAACUCCUUGGUUCAACUCCACAAUCUUGUCGGAGGCUCCCAAGUGACACCUAACCAAUCUACGAGACACCACUCUCCAAAAGGUAAUAGAUGGUGUGAUGAUGAUGAACUCCUUGCUCUUGUGCUUCAAAUGAUAGUCUCCCCAACACUCAACUCUCUCUCACAGAUUUGGCUAUGGUGGAAAGAUGAUUUGAGUGGAAAGCAACUUGGGGAAGGCUAGAGAUCAAGAUUCUUGUCGUUGGAUGGAAUGUCUUGGUCUCAACACAUGAGUAGGUGGUUCUCUCUAAGAAAAUGAGUAGUGUAAGUGUAGGCACGUUCUGAUGGCUCUCUCUUGAAUGGAGAAGGGGUGGAGGGGUAUAUAUAGCCUCCACAUAAAAUCCAACCGUUACACACAUUUGACCCAACUCGGUCACACCGAAUAGAAGAACUUCGUGACACCGAUUUAGAUCAAAAUGUGAACGUUAGGAAUGUCCGUGGGACCGACAUGAUCAACUCGGUGGGACCGAUGUGCUAGGGUUAGGGCAAAACCUCAUCUCGGUGAGACCGUUUGCAUGAACUCGGUGAGACCGAUUUCAGCAAAGCGCAAACAGAGAGUUGGUCAAGCAAACUCGGUGGGACCGAUUGCACAUGUCGGUGAGACUGAAAUAAUUACAACAUGUAACAGAGAGUUUGCAAAGCCAUUUCGGUGAGACCGAGAUCCCGAUCGGUGAGACCGAAUUGUCUAGGGUUUCUCGCAGUGGCUAGGUCAAAUGAACUCGGUGGCGCCGGAUAGAUCAAAUCGGUGGGGCCGAGUUUGACUUUAGGUUUUUGAUGUGGAAAUGAGAAAGUGGCUGAGGAUUUUGGAGCUAUAUCAUUAAGCACUUUGAGCAAGUAGACCAUUAAGCAACACCUCAUCCCCUUUUAAUAGUAUUGGCUUUCCUAUGGACUCAAUGUGAUCUUGGAUCACUAAAAUGAAAAUGAAGAGUCUUGAGCCUUUGCCAAUCUUUGUCCUUAGCAUUUUGAAGGGGUUCCACAUCGUCUUGUCCUUGCCACCCUAUUGUUGAACUCAUCUGAAAUAUACUAGAUAAAAGUAUUAGUCCAACAAGAGAUAUGUUGACAUUAAUUACCAAAAUCACCCAGGGAGCACUUGUGCUUUCAAUCUCCCCCUUUUUGGUAAUUGAUGACAACAUACAUCAAGGCUUUAGAUAAAUAUAUGAAGAGUAACAAGUAAAGCUUUGGAAAGACAUGUAACAUGCAUAGGCUCCCCCUACAUGUAUGCAAUCAUGAGAGCAUGUGAAUGCAUAAGCAUGUCAGAGCAAGCAAUGAGUUACAUGUAUCUUGGCUAUAUGCAUCAGAGCAAAUGAUGUAGAUAAAAGGAAGUGUACCUUUUGUUGGAAAUAUGCCCUAGAGGCAAUAAUAAAAUGGUUAUUAUCAUAUUUUCUUGUUCAUGAUAAUUGUCUAUUAUUCAUGUUAUAAUUGUAUUAACCGGAAACCGUAAGACAUGUGUGAAUACAUAGACCACAUAUUGUCCCUAGUAAGCCUCUAGUUGACUAGCUCGUUGAUCAAUAGAUGGUCGUGGUUUCCUGACCAUGGACAUUGGAUGUCGUUGAUAACGGGAUCACAUCAUUAGGAGAAUGAUGUGAUGGAAAAGACCCAAUCCUAAGCAUAGCACAAGAUCGUGUAGUUCAUUUUGCUAGAGCUUUUCUAAUGUCAAGUAUCGUUUCCUUAUACCAUGAGAUUGUGCAACUCCCGGAUACCGUAGGAAUGCUUUGGGUGUAUCAAACAUCACAACGUAACUGGGAGACUAUAAAGGUGCACUACAGGUGUCUCUGAAAGUGUCUGUUGGGUUGGCACGAAUCAAGACUGGGAUUUGUCACUCCGUGUGACGGAGAGGUAUCUCUGGGCCCACUCGGUAAUGCAACAUCAUAAUGAGCUCAAUGUGACUAAGAAGUUAGCCACAGGAUCAUGUGUUACGUAACGAGUAAAGAGACUUGCCGGUAACAAGAUUGAACGAGGUAUGGGGAUACCAACGAUCGAAUCUCGGGCAAGUAACAUACCGAUAGACAAAGGGAAUUGAAUACGGGAUUGAUUGAAUCCCCGACAUCGUGGUUCAUACGAUGAGAUCAUCGUGGAACAUGUGGGAGCCAACAUGGGUAUCCAGAUCCCGCUGUUGGUUAUUGGCCGGAGAACGUCUCGGUCAUGUCUGCAUGGUUCCCAAACCCGUAGGGUCUACACACUUAAGGUUCGGUGACGCUAGAGUUGUUAUGGGAAAUAGUAUGUGGUUACCGAAGGUUGUUCGGAGUCCCGGAUGAGAUCCCGGACAUGACGAGGAACUCCGGAAUGGUAUGGAGGUGAAGAUCGAUAUAUUGGACGAAGGGUAUUGGAGUCCGGAAUUGUUCCGGGGGUACCAGGUGACGACCAGCGUGUCCGAAAGGGGUUUCGGAGGCCCCGGCAAGCGUUGGGGGGCCUUAUGGGCCAAGGGGAGGGGGCACAUCAGCCCACUAAGGGGCUGUGCGCCCCUCCCACCCCAUCUCACGUAACGUGGAGAGGUGGGGGCGCCUCCCCUAGGGCAGUCACCCCUCCCGGCUUGGGGGGCAAGUUUCCUAGGGGUGGGGGCGCCCAAACCCAUCUAGGGUUUCCCCUGUGGCCGCCGCCCCUCCCCUAGGGUGCCUUCUCCUUCCCCCUUCCCCCUAUAUAUAGUGAGGGGGAGAGAGGGCAGCUGCACCCCUUCCCUGGCGCAGCCCUCUCCUCCUCCAACUCCUCCUCCUCCGUAGUGCUUAGCGAAGCUCUGCCGGAGAACCACGAGCUCCAUCGCCACCGCGUCGUCGUGCUGCUGGAGUUCUCCCUGAACUUCUCCUCUCCCCUUGCUGGAGCAAGAAGGAGGAGACGUCCCCGGGCUGUACGUGUGUUGAACGCGGAGGUGCCGUCCGUUCGGCACUUGGAUCGGAUCUUCCGCGAUUUGAAUCGCCGCGAGUACGACUCCAUCAACCGCGUUCUUGUAACGCUUCCGCUUAGCGAUCUUCAAGGGUAUGAAGAUGCACUCCUUCUCUCGCGUUGCUAGCAUCUCCUAGAUUGAUCUUGGUGACAUGUAGGAAAAUUUUGAAUUAUUACUACGUUCCCCAACAGUGGCAUCAUGAGCUAGGUCUAUGCGUAGAUUCUAUGCACGAGUAGAACACAAAGUAGUUGUGGGCGAUGAUUUGUGCAAUUUGCUUACCGUUACUAGUCUUAUCUUGAUUCGGCGGCAUUGUGGGAUGAAGCGGCUCGGACCGACCUUACACGUACUCUUACGUGAGACAGGUUCCACCGACUGACAUGCACUUGAUGCAUAAGGUGGCUAGCGGGGUGUUUGUCUCUCCCACUUUAGUCGGAUCGGAUUCGAUGAAGAGGGUCCUUAUGAAGGUUAAAUAGCAAUUGGCAUAUCAUCGUUGUGGCUUUUGCGUAGGUAAGAAACGUUCUUGCUAGAAACCCAUAGCAGCCACGUAAAACAUGCAACAACAAUUAGAGGACGUCUAACUUGUUUUUGCAGGGUAUGCUAUGUGAUGUGAUAUGGCCAACAGGAUGUGAUGAAUUAUAUAUAUAUAUGUGAUGUAUGAGAUUGAUCAUGUUCUUGUAAUAGGAAUCACGACUUGCAUGUCGAUGAGUAUGACAACCGGCAGGAGCCAUAGGAGUUGUCUUAAUUUAUUGUAUAACCUGCGUGUCAAUGAAAAACGCCACGUAAUUACUUUACUUUAUUGCUAACCGUUAGCCAUAGUAGUAGAAGUAAUAGUUGGCGAGACAACUUCAUGAAGACAUGAUGAUGGAGAUCAUGGUGUCAUGCCGGUGACGAAGGUGAUCAUGUUGUGCCUCGAAGAUGGAGAUCAAAGGCGCAAGAUGAUAUUGGCCAUAUCAUGUCACUUUAUGAUUUGCAUGUGAUGUUUGUCAUGUUUACAUCUUAUUUGCUUAGAACGACGGUAGCAUAAAUAAGAUGACCCCCACUAAAAUUUCAAGAGAUGUGUUCCCCCUAACUGUAACAUCCCAAAUUUUCAAUUUGGAAUGUUAUACAUUAGAUCAUCAUUGCAUAGCAUAUUUUAUUGCAUUUGGCAAAUCCUCGAUAAAUCCUAAGCAACUCAAGGACCCUCGGAGAGAGUUGGGGAUUUUCCCGGUUUUUCAUAUUUGAUUUUUAUCAAAUAAUAAAACGAGGAUUUUUGGUUUUAAUUAUUUUUCUCUCCAAAAAAUAUUUCAUAUUAAAAUAAAUGAGGGAGAAAAUAUGACUUCUCCAAAAUAAUGGAAAUAUUGGAGGAAAAAUAUUAAAAUCAAAUAUUGGAUUUUAUUCGGAUUUUAUUUCCAAUUUUAAUUGCAUUAAAAAAAUUACACGUUUUCAAAACUGCAUUUUUGGGCCAAGAAAAUGUUCAUCUUGUUCUAAUUAUUUUAAUUAGACGGGAAAAUUUUGUUUUAGUAUUUUUGGAUUUUUAUUUAUUUUUCUGUGAUUUUUUUUAGAUUCGGCGAAUAUUUUAAAAAAAAAUCCCGCGCCCGACUGGGCCGAGGCCCAGCCGAGCCAGGCCGGCCCGUCCCGCGUCGUCUCCCUCCCGAGCACGCCUCCCGCGCCGCCGCCGAGUCCGGCUCGAGCACGCCGCCCGCCACCGCCUUGCCCCCUCCUCCACGCCACCCCCUNNNNNNNNNNNNNNNNNNNNNNNNNNNNNNNNNNNNNNNNNNNNNNNNNNNNNNNNNNNNNNNNNNNNNNNNNNNNNNNNNNNNNNNNNNNNNNNNNNNNNNNNNNNNNNNNNNNNNNNNNNNNNNNNNNNNNNNNNNNNNNNNNNNNNNNNNNNNNNNNNNNNNNNNNNNNNNNNNNNNNNNNNNNNNNNNNNNNNNNNNNNNNNNNNNNNNNNNNNNNNNNNNNNNNNNNNNNNNNNNNNNNNNNNNNNNNNNNNNNNNNNNNNNNNNNNNNNNNNNNNNNNNNNNNNNNGCCGCCCCUCGCCCGCCCCGCCGGAGCCCCGCCGGAGCUGCACGCCGAGGUAGCCGAAGCCGCCGCCGCCGAGCCCGGUUUUUAAAAAAAAACCGAUUCGGUUUUUUUUUCUUUUUUCCGAAACCCUAGUUUUUUUUAGAUCGGUUUAUUUUUUUCGGUUUUAUUACUUAGUGAACGUUCACCGACCCGUUCGUUUAAUGAACGUGUUCGUCGGAUUGUCGCUGUUAACGAACGUCCGUUUGUUUAACUGUUCGUCAGUUUUUCUUUUUCGUCGGAUUUUCCGCGAUUAUUCCAAAUCGUGAUUUCCGAUCAGAUCUUCGUUUUUGUUUAACUUUUCGCUCGUUUAUCGGAAUCAGGCGAUUCAAGCGCCUAGAGUUUCGUCUCGAAAUUCUCUUUCCGUUUAACCUACUCAAACAAGUUUUUGCCACUGUAAAAUUUGACCUAGAUCCAGAUUAGUAAACGAAGCUUGUUUCUUUCGCCGUUUGACUUUCGUUGCUUCGUUUGAGUUGAAUCUUUUUGCAAACCGGAGUUCUUAAGUUGAACUUUCUGGUUGGAUCUUUAUUUGAGUUUUACUUGUGCAUUAGAUGAGUACUUAUUGUUUGCUUGUUUGUUUGCGAUAGAGUACCCGGAGUGCGCCGCUUGCUACUUUGAAUCUCUAGGUUUCGCGGAUCAUCAGCAAGGCAAGUAACACUUUGAUCAUACUUUUCACUACCCAGUUUUAUUGCAUUAGAUCAACCCUCAAACAUUGCAUGAUUAGGAUCAAAUUAAAUUGUGGGUAUUGGGAAGUAGUUGAGGUAGUACCUAUUACCUGUUUUAUUAUCAAACCCUUGGGAGUUACUUCUACGUUGCUUAUAUCGCUAUGUUAUGCUUGUAGACGUGGAUUGGGUUUGAGAGAUAUUCAUGACAGAUGUGAGAUUGUUAAUUAAUGGUUUACUUAAGGUGGCAACUAAAACUCACAUCUGGGUGGAUUGAGGCACCUGGAGAACCCAGUGCUGCCUGUAUUUUUGGAUAUCCCGGAGUACCCGUGUGAUCAUCCUAUGGACCGCCACCCAGGCUCAAAGGGAUCAUGAGAUUAUUCACGCUAGAAACUUCCGUGUGCAGCCACAAGCUAUUAUGGGCUCUAGCAUAGUUGAGUAGGUUGUGUGAGCUCUUGAAGAGGUAGACUAGCAGAUGUAGGGGUUGUAGGUGGUACUGUCUACCCGGAGUAGAGAGUUUACGCUUCUGAAAGACUAUGUCUCGGUCAUCCGUUUCUCAAACAUCAUGUAGUGCGAGAAUCAAGCGGAGGUGAUCGAGUCUUGUGGGGAAAAGUGCACAAACCUCUGCAGAGUGUAUAAACUAAUCAUGGUUAGCCGUGUCCCCGGUUAUGGACAACUUGAGUAUCUAGUACUUGGAUUAUCAUAUGAAUCUCAUCACCAUGUUACUUUUAAUUAAUUUUGUUGGGUUAAUGAUGAUACUUAAUUGGGAUUGAGUUGGAGGUACCUUCUCAAUGUUUCACAACCACCAUGAUAGUUAAAUAAAAUUUAUUCCUUUGCAGUAGGGAAAAUUUGGCUUUUCGCAAAACUGUAACCAUAGAGCUUUCUACCAGCCAUAUAAGCAUGUAGUAUAGCAUUAUUAUGUUCAUUAUUCUCUAUGUGUUACAUUGCCAGCAUAUUCCAUGUGCUGACCCGUUUUCGGGUUGCAACGUUUCAUGUUGCAGACUUUUCAGACGACGAGUAAGGUGCCUUAGGUUGUGGUCUUAUACUCAGUGAUGCCAUUGGAGUUGAUGGACUCACUUAUCUUCCAAGCCUUCCGCUGUUAUCGUAUUAGAUGGCCUUAAGCCAUAUUUAUCAUACUUAUUCUCUCUUGAGAUAUUCGUUGUAAUAAGUGUGUGAUUGCUACUCUGUUAUAAAUCCUCCAUUUGUACUGUGCGUGUCAGCAUUACUGAUCCAGGGAUGACACUGGUGCACAGCAGCACAGACUGUUUGAGGUCUGGUCGCUACACUAACUGUGCACCGUUGCGAAGGUUCGUUGUUUCGAAGCACCACGUGAUGAUCGGGUGUGAUAGAUUCUAACGUUCGCAUACAACGGGUGUAAGCCAGAUUUACACAUGCGAAACACUUAGGUUGACUUGACGAGCCUAGCAUGUACAGACAUGGCCUCGGAACACAAGAGACCGAAAGGUCGAACAUGAGUCGUAUUGUAGAUACAAUCAACAUGGAGAUGUUCACCGUUGAUGACUAGUCCAUCUCAUGUGAUGAUCGGACACGGCCUAGUCGAUUCAGAUCAUGUAUCACUUAGAUGAGUAGAGGGAUGUCUAUCUGAGUGGGAGUCCAUUAAAUAAUUUGAUUAGAUGAACUUAAUUAUCAUGAACAUAGUCUAAAUUGUCUUUGCGAGUUGUGUUGUGGAUUAAUAGCUCACGCUUUAGCUCCUUGUUUUAAUACGUUCCUAGAGAAAUACUAAGUUGAAGGAUAUUGUAAGCAAUUGUGCGGACUAGGGCCGUAGUCUGAGGAUUGUGCUCACUGCUGCACAGAAGGCUUCUGUCCUUAAUGCACCGCUCGGUGUGCCAACCCCUCUGGCAUCGUCUGUGGAUGUUGUGAACAUCUGGCAGACACGUUCUGAUGACUACCUGAUAGUUUAGUGCGCCAUGCUUUACGGCUUAGAGUCAGGGCUCCAAAAGCUUUUUGAACGCCAUGGAACAUAUGAGAUGUUCUAAGAGCUGAAAUUGGUAUUUCAGGCUCAUGCCCGUGUUGAGAGGUGUGAGACCUCUGACAAGACCUUUGCCUACAAGAUGGAGGAAUAUAGCUCAGCUAGUGAGCAUGUGCUCAGAAUGUCUGGGUACUUCAAUCACUUGAAUCAAGUGGGAGUUAAUCUUCCAGAGAGUGAUUGACAAAAGUUCUCCAGUCACUAUCACCAAGCUACUAAAGUUUCGUGAUGAACUAUAACAUGCGAAGGAAGAUGAUCCCGGAGCUGUUCAUCGUGCUUAAGGCUGUAAAGGUAGAAAUCAAGAAGGAGCAUCAAGUGUUGAUGGUUAACAAGACCACUGGUUUCAAAGAAGGGCAAGGGCAAGAAGGGGAAACUUCAUGAAUGGCAAGCCAGUUGCCGCUCCAGUGAAGAAACCCAAGAACCCAAACCCGAGACGAAGUGCUUCUAUUAGGGGAACGGUCAUUGGUAGCGGAACUGCCUCAAAUACUUGGUAGAUAAGAAGGCUGGCAACUUCAACAAAAGUAUAUUUGAUAUAUGUGUUAUUGAUGUGUACCUUACUAGUACUCCUAGUAGCACAUGGGUAUUAGAUACCGGUUCAGUUGCUAAUAUUGGUAACUCGAAACAAAAGCUACGGAAUAAACGGAGACUAGCUAAGGGCGAGGUGACGAUAUGUGUUGGAAGUGUUUCCAAGGUUGAUGUGAUCACCAUCGCACGCUCCCUCUACCUUCGGGAUUAGUGUUGAACCUAGAUAAAUGUUGUUUGCAUUGGUGUCUGCAUUGAGCGUGAACAUGAUUGGAUCAUGUUUAUUGCAAUACGGUUAUUCAUUUAACUCAGAGAAUAAUGGUUAUUCUGUUUACAUGAAUAAUACCUUAUAUGGUCAUGCACCCAAUGUGAAUGGUUUAUUGAAUCUUGGUCGUAGUGAUACACAUGUUCAUAACAUUGAUGCCAAAAGAUGUAGAGUUGAUAAUGAUAGUACCACUUUCUUGUGGCACUGCCUCUUAGGUCAUAUUGGUGUAAAGCGCAUGAAGAACCUCCAUGCCGAUGGACUUUUGGAGUCACUUGAUUUUGAAUCACUUGACACAUGCGAGCCAUGCCUCAUUGGCAAGAUGACUAAAACCCCGUUUUCGAGAACAAUGGAACGGGCAAGUGACUUGUUGGAAAUCAUACAUGCUGAUGUGUGCUAUCCGAUGAGUGUUGACGCGUGCGGUGGAUAUCGUUAUUUUCUCACCUUCACCGAUGAAUUGAGUAGAUAUGGGUAUAUUUACUUAAUGAAGCAUAAGUCUGAAACAUUUGAAAAGUUCAAGCAAUUUCAGAGUGAAGUUGAGAAUCAUCAUAACAAGAAGCUCAAGUUCCUACGAUCUAAUCAAGGGGAGAGUAUCUGAGUUAUGAUUUUGGCAAUCACUAAAUACAAGGUGGAAUUGUUUCACAGUUGACGCCACCUGGAACAUCAUAGCGUAAUGGUGUGUCCGAACGUCGUAAUCACACCCUAUUGGAUAUGGUGCGAUCUAUGAUGUCUCUUACCGAUCUACCGCUAUCAUUUUGGGAUUAUGCAUUAGAGACAAUUACAUUCACUUUAAAUACGGCACCAUCUAAGUCCGUGGAGAUAACACCGUGGUUUGGCAAGAAACCUAAGUUGUUGUUUCUUAAGGUUUGGGGCUACGAUGCUUAUGUCGAUAGGCUUCGGCCAGAAAGCUCAAACCCAAAGCGGAAAAUUGUGUCUUCAUAUAAUACCCAAACAAGACGAUUGGGUAUACCUUCUAUCUCAGAUCUGAGGGCAAAGUGUUUGUCGCUAUGAACAGGUCCUUUCUCAGAUCAAGAAGCUCAAGAGAAAGCUAAUGAUGAUGAUCAUGGAGCUUCAGAUCAAGUUACUACCAAACCUCGUAGGUCGACAAGGGUGUGUACAACUUCUGAGUGGUAACCCUGUCUUAAAGGUCAUGUUGUUGGACAACGAUGAACCUAUGAGCUAUGAAGAAGCGAUGGUGGGCCCGGAUUCCAACAAAUGGCUGGAAGCCCUGAAAUCCGAGAUAGGAUCCAUGUAUGAGAUCAAAUUAUGGACUUUGGUGGACUUGCCCGGUGAUCGGCAAGCCAUUGAGAAUAAUUGGAUCUUUAAGAAGAAGACAGAUGCUGAUGGUAAUGUCACCAUUUAUGAAGCUCGACUUGUCUCAAAGAAGUUUCCGACAAGUUCAAGGAGUUGACUGUGAUGAAUCUUUCUCAAUCAUAGCGAUGCUAAAGUCUGUUAGAAUUAUGUUAGCAGUUGCUGCAUUUUGAUUUACGAAAUCAGGCAGAUGGAUGUCAAAGCAAAGUUUCCUUCAUGGUUUCCGUGAGGAAAGGUCGUAUGUGAUACAACCAGAAGGUUUUUUCAAUCCUGAGGAUGCUAAAAGGUAUGCAAACUCCAGCGAUCCUUCUAUGGACUGGAGCAAGUUCCUCGGAGUUGGAACAUACGCUUUGAUGAGGUGAUCAAAGCAUUUGGGUUUAUACAAAGUUUGCAAGAAACUUGUAUUUGCAAGAAAGUGAGUGGGAGCACUACAACAUUUUGAUAAGUAUAUGUGGAUGACAUAUUGCUGAUCAGAAAUGAUGUAGAAUUUUUGGAAAGCAUAAAGGGUUGUUUGAAUGGAGUUUUUCAAAGGAAGACCUGUGUAAAACUGCUUACAUGUUGGGUAUCAAGAUCUAUAGAGAUAGAUCAAGACACCUGAUAAGACUUUCACAGAGCACAUACCUUGACAUGACCUUGAAGGAGUUCAAGAUGGAUUAGUCAAAGAAGGAGUUCUUGCCUGAGUUGUAAGGUGUGAAGUUAAGACUUUAAGCUCGACCAUGGCAGAAGAAAGGGAGAGGACGAAAGUCGUCCCCUAUGCCUUAGCCAUAGGCUCUAUACGAUAUGCCAUGCUACCGCACCUGAUAUAGAUGUGCCUUGCCACGUGUCUGGCAAGGGGGUACGAGAGUGAUCCAAGAAUGGAUCAUUGGACAGCGGUCAAAAUUGUCCUUAAAGGAAUAAGGAAAUAUUUCUCGGUUAUGGUGGUGAUGAAGAGUUCGGCGUAAAGGGUUACGUCGAUGCAAGCUUUAACACCUAUCCAGAUGACUCUGAGUAGCAAACCGGAUACAUAUAGUGGAGCAACCAUUUGGAAUAGCUCCAAGUGGAGCAUAGUAGCAACAUCUACAAUAUGAAAUAGAUAUUUGCGAAGAACACAUGGAUCUGAAUGUUGCAAACCCGUUGACUAAAACCUCUCUCGUAAGCAUAACAUGAUCAAACCCUAGAACUCAUUGAGUGUUAAUCACAUGGUGAUGUGAACUAGAUUAUUGAAUCUAGUAAACUCUUGGGUAUUAGUCACAUUGCGAUGUGAACUAUGAGUGUUGAUCACAUGGUGAUGUGAACUAGAUUAUUGACUCUAGUGCAAGUGGGAGACUGUUGGAAAUAUGCCCUAGAGACAAUAAUAAAAUGGUUAUUAUUAUAUUUCCUUGUUCAUGAUAAUUGUCUAUUAUUCAUGCUAUAAUUGUAUUAACCGGAAACCGUAAUACAUGUGUGAAUACAUAGACCACAACUUGUCCCUAGUAAGCCUCUAGUUGACUAGCUCGUUGAUCUAUAGAUGGUCGUGGUUUCCUGACCAUGGACAUUGGAUGUCGUUGAUAAUGGGAUCACAUCAUUAGGAGAAUGAUGUGAUGGACAAGACCCAAUCCUAAGCAUAGCACAAGAUCGUGUAGUUCGUUUUGCUAGAGCUUUUCUAAUGUCAAGUAUCGUUUCCUUAGACCAUGAGAUUGUGCAACUCCCGGAUAUCGUAGGAAUGCUUUGGGUGUAUCAAACAUCACAACGUAACUGGGUGACUAUAAAGGUGCACUACAGGUGUCUCUGAAAGUGUCUGUUGGGUUGGCACAAAUCGAGACAGGGAUUUGUCACUCCGUGUGACGGAGAGGUAUCUCUGGGCCCACUCGGUAAUGCAUCAUCAUAAUGAGCUCAAUGUGACUAAGAAGUUAGCCAUGGGAUCAUGUGUUACGUAACGAGUAAAAGACUUGCGGGUAACGAGAUUGAACGAGGUAUGGGGAUACCAACGAUCGAAUCUCGGGCAAGUAACAUACCGAUAGACAAAGGGAAUUGAAUACAGGAUUGAUUGAAUCCCCGACAUCGUGGUUCAUCCGAUGAGAUCAUCGUGGAACAUGUGGGAGCCAACAUGGGUAUCCAGAUCCCGCUGUUGGUUAUUGGCUGGAGAACGUCUCGGUCAUGUCUGCAUGGUUCCCGAACCCGUAGGGUCUACACACUUAAGGUUCGGUGACGCUAGAGUUGUUAUGGGAAAUAGUAUGUGGUUACCGAAGGUUGUUCGGAGUCCCGGAUGAGAUUCCGGACAUGACGAGGAACUCUGGAAUGGUCCGGAGGUGAAGAUCGAUAUAUUGGACGAAGAGUAUUGGAGUCCGGAAUUGUUCCGGGGGUACCAGGUGACGACCAGCGUGUCCGAAAGGGGUUUCGGAGGCCUCGGCAAGCGUUGGGGGGGUCCUUAUGGGCCAAGGGGAGGGGGCACAUCAGCCCACUAAGGGGCUGUGCGCCCCUCCCACCCCAUCUCGCGUAACGUGGAGAGGUUGGGGCGCCUCCCCUAGGGGAGCCACCCUUCCCGGCUUGGGGGGCAAUUUUCCUAGGGGUGGGGGCACCCAAACCCAUCUAGGGUUUCCCCUGUGGCCGCCGCCCCUCCCCUAGGGAAACCCUAGGGCGCCUCCUCCUUCCCCCUUCCCCCUAUAUAAAGUGAGGGGGAGAGAGGGCAGCCGCACCCCUUCCCUGGCGCAACCCUCUCCUCCUCCAACUCCGUAGUGCUUAGCGAAGCUCUGCCGGAGAACCACGAGCUCCAUCGCCACCGCGCUGUCGUGCUACUGGAGUUCUCCCUCAACUUCUCCUCUCCCCUUGCUGGAUCAAGAAGGAGGAGACGUCCCCGAGCUGUACGUGUGUUGAACGCGGAGGUGCCGUCCGUUCGGCACUUGGAUCGGAUCUUCCGUGAUUUGAAUCGCCGCGAGUACGACUCCAUCAACCGCGUUCUUGUAACGCUUCCGCUUAGUGAUCUUCAAGGGUAUGAAGAUGCACUCCUUCUCUCUCGUUGCUAGCAUCUCCUAGAUUGAUCUUGGUGACACGUAGGAAAAUUUUGAAUUAUUACUACGUUCCCCAACACCUUCGUGUUCAUGAGUCAUUCUUGCAAACAAUAUGUACAUCAGCAAGAGAUCAUCAUGCACAUGAGUGUGAUGCAUAUACUUACCUUGUGGUCUAGAGCUGGCUUUGGAAGAGAUGAACUUGGGAAAACAGGGUUAGAGAACACAAGAACAUUCUAAUUAAAGCAAUUUCAAAAAACCACAAGAGUACCAAGACUGGGAUGACAUGUAAUGGGUGAGUACUUAUUACUUCAUUUGGAUAUAGUCAUGUCCCCAAAGAUUAAAUGUAUGCAAUGAAUUCCAGAGAUUUUCUUCCUUAUAUAUGGACUCUUUCUCCCCCUAAAUCUGAUAUUGGAUAAUGGGAGAAGGUAGGGUAAGAGAAAAUCAAAGCAAGAAAUUUAGAGCAUGAAAAGAUGCAGACAAUCAUAUAUUGACGUGUAUUUCCCCUCUUAAAGACAUGUGACUUCUCUCCUCAUGUUUUACUAGCAUCUGGGAGAGCUAAUAUGUGCUCUCUCUCUCUCUCUCUCUCUCUCUCUCCUAUGUGAUAAGCUUUGAUGUGCUCUCUCUCCCCCUUUGACAUCAAUUUCCAAGAAGGGAACUUCUGGAGCAUGAGUCAAAUAGGUCUGCUCCUUGAGACACACUACAAAGCAACAUGUAAAUUAAGAUGUGAGUAGAGGAUAAGAAUCAUUGACUGGAGCUGGAGAAGAAUUGAAAUAUGCAAUGACAAAAAGUUUUCUCAGCAGUGCAAUCGGUAACGUCGACCCAUUUUCAUUGGUGACACCGAGUUGGCAGUGUCACAGAUUAUGCAUAUCAGUCGAACCGGGUUGGUCUACGUUGGUUGUACCGAUGAACUGUCUAUAAGAUAUUCUUGUAGUUCGGUCUAGCCGAUAGGCUUGGAUCGGUGAGUCCGAGUUCAAUGCAGAGGAAAUUUUUUGUCAACUUAGCUCACUUGGCAAUUGAAUCUUACAAGGAAUUGCAAGGAAUUUAUUAAAAGAUUUGCAAUGAAUUUAACAUAGAAGAAGUAGAAAAAACAUACAAAAGGAAAGAGAUCUAGAUGAAGAUUUUUUUUAUAAGGGGAACAAGAUAGCAAGAAACAUAUGAAAAACACAAAGUAAGUGAACAAGGAAACACUAGAGACCUUCAUCUAGAAGGGGUCGGCGACAAAGUCAGCUAUGUUAGAGUAUAUUGACUGAGGAGUCAAGUGAUAACACUUGAUCGUAGGUCAUACUCAUCGUUUAAGCUUAAAAUGGGGUUACCAUUUUUCGUUUAAGCAUUUUGAUGUAUUCAUAUCUCGUUGAGUUUCUUUGACCCAUGACUUGGAGUAAAGCUUCUCUAAGAUGGAAUAACAAACCUUGGGUGGUGUUGAUCUUGAUCAUGUAGUCGAACUUGUGUUAGAUGCUCAAGGUUGAUGUAGUCCAUCAAGAGUUGGAAGCACCACUUAUAGUUUGAGUUCAUCUUCCUACAUGGGUUAGUCUUGCAAGGAAAAGCACUUGUGUAUCCAAAAUUACAAUCAUGAAUUUUGAUAUAUAGAAUUUGUCAAAGGAUAUGUUGAGUGGAUUCAUGCUUCCUUGUAUUCAACAUCCAUAUAGUAGAAACUUGAUGAUGUAGAGAUUGCUCAAGAUGUGAGUGACUUGCAAUCUCAUAGAUUUGGGCUCAUCCAAGUACCUACACGGGUUAGAUAACAUGCAAGGGUACAAGUAUAGAUCCAAGAGAUAUGAUUAUCAUCAUAAGAGAAAUAUCAAGGAUUUGUCAAAAAGGCUCAUGCCUUGCAUGUAUCCAAAUGGAGUUUGUACUCCAAGUUUGAGGCAUCAAUGAUAUUCAAUUCACCUCUCAAACGGCAAAAAAACUUUCACAUCAAGCGGUUUGGUGAAUAUAUCCGCCAAUUGCUUAUCGGUAUGAACAUGUUUAAGAUUAAUUUCUCCUUUAGCAACAUAUAUGAUCUCGAAUGAUAUCAUGGCGAACUUCAAUAUGCUUAGUCCAAGAAUGUUGCAUGGGAUUGUGAGCAAUCUUAAUAGCACUUUCAUUAUCACAAAGCAAUGGAACAUGUUUCACAUAUAUCCCAUAAUCCUUAAGAGUUUGGGUCUUCCAAAGUAAUUGAGCACAACAUGAUCCGGCAGCAAUGUAUUCCGCUUCCUCGGUGGAUAAGGAAUCCGAGUUUUGUUUCUUGGAGGACCAAGAUGCAAGAGAUCUACCAAGCAAUUGACAAGUACCCGAAGUGGACUUUCUAUCAACCUUGUCACCGGCAUAGUCCGAGUCGGAGUAGCCAACAAGAUCAAAGGAAGACCUCUUAGGAUACCAAAUGCCAAAGUUUGGUGUAUGAAUUAAGUAUCUCACUAUCCUUUUCACAGCCUUAAGAUGACAUUCUUUAGGGGCCGCUUGAUAUCGUGCACACAUGCACACACUUAGCAUAAUAUCGGGACGGGAGGCACAUAGAUAUAACAAUGAACCAAUCAUAGAGCAGUAAACCUUUUGGUCAACCGGUUUGACAUCCUUAGUCAAGUCAAGAUGUCCACUAGUUGGCAUGGGUAUUUUCAUACCUUUGCUUUCUUGCAUGUUGAACCUCUUGAAUAAGUCCUUGGUAUACUUUGUUUGGGAAACAAAGGUACCCUCCUUAGUUUGCUUGAUUUUUAAACCAAGAAAGAAUUUGAGUUCACUCAGCAUAGACAUCUCAAACUUCUCCGACAUUAGCCUUCCAAACUUUUCACUAAAAUGAGGGUUAGUCGAACCAAAUAUGAUAUCAUCCACAUAAAUUUGGCACACAAAUAAUUCACCAUUAACCCUUUUAGUAAAAAGUGUAGAAUCAAUUUUUUCCAAUUUCAAAAUUUUCAAUAAGAAACUUAGUCAAGCACUUAUACCAUGCUCUAGGAGCUUGUUUAAGACCAUAAAGAGCUUUGUGAAGUUUGUAAACGUGAUUAGGUUUCUUAGGAUUAACAAAGCCGGGAGGUUGUUUAACAUAGACUUCCUCCUCAAUUUCACCAUUUAAAAAAUCACUUUUAAUGUCCAUUUGGUAUAACGUGAUAUCAUGGUGAUUGGCAUAAGCAAGUAAGAUGUGUAUGGACUCAAGUCUAGCAACGGGGGCAUAUGUCUCACCAUACUCCAUACCUUCGACUUGAGUGUAGCCUUGGGCGACGAGACAGGCCUUGCUGCGUACAACUUGUCCAUCCUCAGCUUGCUUAUUCCAAAACACCCACUUGGUUCCAACGACAUUUUGGUUGUUGUCCAGCUUUUCUACUAAAGUCCACACUUGAUUCCUCUCGAAACUGUGUAGCUCUUCAUGCAUGGCGUUCACCCAAAAUCCGGAUCAUCAAGAGCUUCUUCAACCUUCAUAGGUUCAAUACUAGAAAUGAAUGAGUAAUGUUCACAAAAGUUAGCCAAACGAGUUUUAGAGCGAGUAAUUCUCCCGGUUUGAAUAUCAUCAAAGAUUUGUUCAACGGGAUGGUCUCUUGAGACUCUUGCUCUAACUCGUGAGAGCUUUUUUUUGGGUCGGGGUGGAAUAUCCUCUUCAUUGUCUUCUUCUUCUUGUUGUUCUUCUUCAUUGUUGUUGGCGUUGUUGUUCUCUUGUGGAGGUGGAGAAGGGGGUCGAUGAGGUUCAUCUUGUUGUACUUCCUCAUUUCCUUCGUCUUGACGUGUUCCACUUGUGGAUGCCUCCAAGUCAACUUGUGGUUCACCUUGUCAUGAAGUUGAGGCUUCCACUUGAACGGACGAGGUACUCUCCUUCACCUCCGUUGGGCGAAUCUUGCCAAUAGACAAGUCUUGAAUUGCUUCCGAGGGAUUAUUAUCUCCUACAUCAAUUGGCAAUUGCUCCACUUGCAAGCUGUUAGAUUCAUCAAACUUCACAUCUACCGUCUCUUCAACCUUUCGGUUGAAAUUGUUGUAGACACGGUAAGUGUGAGAGUCUGAGCCAUAACCGAGUAGGAAACCUUCAUGAGAUUUAGGGGCAAAUUUCGAAUGACGAUGCUUAUCAAGAAUAUAACACUUUGAACCAAAUUCUUGAAAGUAUCUAACUUGGGGUUUAUUAUCGGUGAGAAGCUCAUAUGUCGUCUUGCCGAGAAGCUUGUGAAGAUAUAGUCGAUUUGUUGCAUGACAAGCUGUCUCAACCGCUUCCGCCCAAAAGUGUUUUGGCGUCUUGUAUUCAUCAAGCAUCAUUCUCGCCAUCUCAAUAAGUGUUCGUUCUUCCUCUCAGUAACUCCAUUUUGUUGAGGUGUGUCAUAGCCGAGAACUCAUGUGAGAUCCCUUCUUCGUCAAGAAAGGUAUCCACAUUGGCGUUCUUGAACUCCGUUCCAUUGUCGCUAUGAACCUUCUUGAUCUUCACUUCAAAUUGAUUCUGGCCUUCCUAUAGCGAAGUUCUUGAAGAUCUUUUUGACCUGCGAUUUAUGAUCAAGAAAGAACACCCACGUAAAUCUUGAAAAAUCAUCAACAAUGACCAAUACGAACGAGUUACCACCAAGACUCUUGUAGGCGUUGGGACCAAAAAGAUCCAUAUGAAGUAGCUCGAGUGGUCUUCUCGUGGUCAUGAUGUUCUUCACGGGAUGACUUCCCCCAACUUGUUUUCUUGCUUGACAAGCACUGCAAAGUCUAUCCUUGUCAAAUAUGACAUCUCUAACACCAAGGAUAUGAUCACCUUUAAUAAGCUUAUCAAGAUUUCACAUGCCCACGUGUCCUAAGCUUCUAUGCCAUAACCAACCUUUAGAAGAUUUAGCAAUUAGGCAAGUUCUAGGUUGAGCUCUUUUAGUGAAAUCAAUAAUGUAUAGAUCACCUCUACGUAUACCGGUAAAGAUCAUAUUAUGAUUAUCUCUUCGAAACACUUGGCAAUCUACUUCAGUGAAUAGAACAUUGAAACGAAAUCGAAAGUAAAUUGUAGCCAAGAGAUUCAACGAGCAUAACAUUUUGGAUGGAGCUGUCAUGUGAGAUGGCCACCUUACCAAGGCCAACUACCUUACCCUUUGAGUUGUCACCAAAAGUGACAUACUUUCGAGGACCAUUAUUUUCAGCAAGCUCACGAAACAUGUCCUUGUCUCCGGCCAUGUGAUCGAUACAUCCAUUAUCAAGAACCCAUUCCUUUCCUCCAGCCAUGUAACCACGAAGGUUAGACAUAAGACCAAAAUGUCUCAUUAACUCAUCAAGAUCAAAGUCACUAUCAUCAUCCUCGUCAUAAUAUCCAUGUUCAACAUCGUCUUAUGAUUGAUCAUCACCUAGAGAGAGUGAUUCAUUAGAUUUAUGACCAUGACAAUGUGCAUCUUUAUGAAUUCUAAUGAAUUGAGAAAUGAUGAUACUAAUGACUCCAACAUCUCCUUUGGCACGCAUGAGAUCACGAUGCUCAAAUAGACAAUCACCAAAUUUAGGAUCACUAGGAUUCAUUUUAUGAAAAGCAAUGGACUUUUGAAGAAUCUCAUCUAGAUUAUUCAAGGAAUGGUUUGGGAAGCGCUCCUCAAGGUAUCUCCAUAUAGUAUAAGCACAUUUAAAUGUAGGCAAGCAUACAGGCAAAUUUCUAGGCAAUCCUCUAAUGAUAAGAUCAAUAGCUCUAAGAUUGCGAGUCAUGUCAAGAUACUCAUCGGGGGUAGGAUGCAAGGGAUCAAUAGGAGGCGCACAAGAGAUAGUAAUAUACUUGUUCAAAUUAUAUUCAUUGAAAAUCUCAAGCAUCUCAUUUUUUCAAGCACUAUAAAACUCUCAAUCAAGAAUAGGCACUCUACGUCUAAUACUCUCAAUCAUAGACCCAUCCAUCUUUCCCCAAUGGUGAUUAAACCAAAGUAAUGGAGACCAAUGCUCUGAUACCAAUUGAAAGGAUCGAGAAGAGGUGUCUAGAGGGGGGGUGAUUAGACCUUCAACAAGCAAAAGUAGCAUUUUUUAAGUUCUUCAAGUUGAGGUGGAGUUUUAGCACAAGUUUAAGCAUUCACAAUACAUUUCAAGCAAGCAUGGCAAGAGUAUAAGCAGAAGAAAGAGUAAAGCAUGCAAGUUGCAAGAAAGUAAAGGGAUGGGAUUGGAGUGUGCAAAUGCAAUGAAGCCACGGAGAUAUUUGGCGUGGUUCCGAUAGGUCGUGCUAUCGUGCGUCCACGUUGAUGGAGACUUCAACCCACGAAGGGUAACGGUUGUGCGAGUCCAUCGAGGGCCCCACCCAUGAAGGGUCCACGAAGAAGCAACCUUGUCUAUCCCACCAUGUCCAUCGCCCACGAAGGACUUGCCUCACUCAGGUAGAUCUUCACGAAGUAGGCGAUCUCCUUGCCCUUACAAACUCAUUAGUUCAACUCCACAAUCUUGUCGGAGGCUCCCAAGUGAUACCUAACCAAUCCGUGAGACACCACUCUCCAAAAGGUAAUAGAUGGUGUGAUGAUGAUGAACUCCUUGCUCUUGUGCUUCAAAUGAUAGUCUCCCCAACACUCAACUCUCUCUCACAAAUUUGGCUAUGGUGGAAAGAUGAUUUGAGUGGAAAGCAAUUUGGGAAAGGCUAGAGAUCAAGAUUCUUGUGGUUGGAUUGGAAUGUCUUGGUCUCAACACAUGAGUAGGUGGUUCUCUCUAAGAAGAUGAGUAGUGGAAGUGUAGGCACAUUCUGAUGGCUCUCUCUUGAAUGGAGAAGGGGUGGAGGGGUAUAUAUAGCCUCCAUACAAAAUCCAACCAUUACACACAUUUGACCCAACUCGUUGGGACCGAAUAGAAGAACUCGGUGAGACCGAAUUAGUUCAAAAUGUGAAAGUUAGGAAUCUCGGUGGGACCGACAUGAUCAACUCGGUGGGACCGAUGUGCUAGGGUUAGGGAAAUACCUCAUCUCGGUGAGACCGAUUUCACCAAAGAGCAAAUAGAGAGUCAAGCAAACUCGGUGGGACCGAUUGCACAUUUCGGUGAGACCAAAAUAAUUAUAACAGGUACCAGAGAGUUUGCAAGGCCAUCUCGGUGAGACCGAGAUCCCGAUCGGUGAGACCGAAUUGUCUAGGGUUUCUGGCAGUGGCUAGGUCAAAUGAACUCGGUGGCGUCGGAUAGAUCAAAUCGGUGGGCACGAGUUUGACUUUAGGUUUUGGACAUAUGUGGAAAUGAGAAAGUGGCUGAGGGUUUUGGAGCAAUACCAUUAAGCACUAUGAGCAAGUAGACCAUUAAGCAAUACCUCAUCCCCUUUUAAUAGUAUUGGUUUUUCUAUGGACUCAAUGUGAUCUUGGAUCACUAAAAUGAAAAUGAAGAGUCUUGAGCAUUUGCCAAUCUUUGUCCUUAGCAUUUUGAAGGGGUUCCACAUCCUCUUGUCCUUGCCACACCAUUGUUGAACUCAUCCGAAAUAUACUAGAUAAAAGUAUUAGUCCAACAAGAGAUAUGUUGAUAUUAAUUAUCAAAAUCACCCAAGGAGCACUUGUGCUUUCAUUGGUGGAACAGCGUGAGGGGAAACCACUAGUUCAACAGGUAGAUAUUCCAGAAACUAUCGGUGGUAUUGUAUCAGUUUCUUAGCUUCUGGUACUAGUUUGUUCUGUGGACUUCUGAUAGGUUGAUGCUACAUUUUUUUGAGACUUUUGAUACUGCAAUGUUUUUGUGGCAGUAAUUUUCAUUAUAUGGCUCGGAUUUUCUUGAGACUUUUGAUAAGCUUGAUGUGUUUUUGCCUUUUCUAUUUCACAUUGCAUCACAAACUUAAGUAGAUGCAGGUUCAAGCAGAGCAAACAAUAUUUUGUUUUCCACAUUAACUAGAUACAUUUCUUGCUAUAAAAUGGAUACACCGUCAUGUUCUACUUUGCUUCUGUUAGCCCAUGGGAAAACUUAUUGAAAUAAGCUUUUGUUGCUUCAUGCUAAUAAUCUGAGUAAGCAAAAGAAUGGGAGCGGCUAGAUGUCAGGUGACUGAAUCUAAAAUUUUGGGUCAGACACUUUUUUCUUCUUUAACAACUAGCUAACCACAGACGGGAGCUACUCGAGGGAAAAAGCAGCCGUGGUGCCCAACCCAUGUGGAAAAACUUAUACUGUCAAUAUGUGCAGUCGGACACUGCAUUAGUACGUACAACACUGGCUCGCUUCGUCCCUCAUGUCUUCGCAUGCAACACUGAAUAUCCUUCGCUUACACCAAUGAUCUGUCAGGUCGGCUAGUAUUAGCUAGUUAGCUCGAAUCAGCUGAUCAGUCCGACAUGCAACUGCAAGACCCUAUUAUCAGCUAAACUACACUAGCAAGCAACACUCCACAGGCACAGGCAAGACUAUUUUUUCUGUGUUCUCCUCUAGGGUGGCCCGCCCAAUUUUAUUUUCCAUUAUCCACCACUGCGGCUAACUACUCUACAUAAAAUGAAUGAUUAAUGCAUGCGUACAACAGCUCGAAGUGUACGUGUGUAAGCCAUCAAAGAAAUGAAUAAAGCACAACCUACUAUACAGAUACACGCAUGUGCUAAAAAAUCAUAUCUAAAUUGUAUAAUCUCUCAACUUUUUGCCACAUCCUGCAAUCGAAUGCAAUAGAGCAUGAAAAUAACCACCGUCCAACAAAAAAGGGAAGUUUUCCAAGAAUAAUGAGCUAGUGGCAUUGGUAUUACCCUUCAAAAAAAGGAAAGAAAAGGCAAAUAAAAUAAAGAAAAAAAUUGCACAUAGUUUACACAGAAAUUGUGGAUAUUCAUAAUAUGCAAGAAUAAGCAUAUAAUAAUGAAAGUUUCAAAAGAAAGUUUUCUAAGAAGGAAUGAAUUUGUGGCAUGGUGUUACCCUUUAAAAGAAAGAAGAGUGUCAAACAAAGAAUUAAAAAAUGCACACAAUAUACAAAAAAAUUGUGCUUUCAAAUAUAUGCGAGAAUAAGCACAUAAUAGUGGAUUGUUUCUUAGAAAAUUGCACUUUUAAAAAUAAGCACACAAUAGUGGAUUUUUUUGCAGAAACAAUAUUCAUAAGAAGAAUUGAUUAGAGGCAUUGGUAUUACUCUUAAAGAAGAAACAAAAUGAAACAAAGCUAAAAAAAUCAAAUAAUUAAAUAUUCUAAGAAAUAAUGAAUUAGUAGCAUUGGUAUUACCUUUUAAGAAGAAAGAAAAUGAAAUAAGAACUAAAACACAAAAAAUACAAUCUAAAACAAACAACGACAAAAAUUGCACCCAAUAUACACAAAAAUUGCGCUUUUAAAAAAUAUGAAAGAAUAUGCAUAUAAUAGUGGAAUUUUCUUAAAAAAGGAAGAACGAAUUUCUAACAUUGGUAUUAUCUUUGAAGAAGAAAGGAACGGGACAAAAACUAAAAUAAAAUCAAGAUAAUGAAGUUUCAUAAGAAAGAAUGGAUUAGUGGCUUUGGUAAUACCCUUAAAGCAGAAAGCAAAUGAAACAAAAAACUAAAACAAUAAAAUAUGAAAUUUUCUAAGAAAGAAUAAAUUAAUGGCUUUGGUAUUACCCUUUAAAAACAAAUAAAAUCAAAUAAAAACUAAAGCGUAAUAAAAUAAUGAAGUGUUUUAAGGAUGAAUGAACUAGUGGCAUUGGUAUUUACCCUUUAAGUAGAAAGAAAAGUAAAAAAGAAAUGAAAAUCUGCACAAAAUAUACACUAAAAUUGCGCAUAUUGAAAAUAUGCAAGAAUAAGCAUACAAUAGUGCAAUUAUGGCAAACAAGAAGUUUUCUAAGAAGCAAAGAAUUAGUGGCAUUGGUGUUACCCUUAAAGAAGAAAGAAAAAUAAAAUAAAAACUAUAAUAAAAUCAAAACAAUAAAUUUUCAUAAGAAAGAAUUAAUUAGUGGCAUAGUUAUUACCCUUUGGGAGGAAAGAAAAUUAAGAAAAACUUACACACAACUUUACACUAAUUUGCACUUUUUAUAAUAUGCAAAGAAUAAUUAUAUACUAGUGCAGUUUUUGCACAUAUUAUAUAGUAUUUAUGUACAUACAUUUACACCCAACCAACAUCCUAAAAAUACCCACAAAAUAAAAUUUUAAAACCGACUAAUAAAGAAAAAUAAAAAAGAAAAGCAAAAAAACAAAUAGAAAUAGAAAAAAAGAUAGACAAAAACAGAAGAAGAUAGAGGAAGGCUGGGUCGUCAUACGGGCUGAUGGUGUUCAGCCUGCUAAGGUUUGACUCGCCCAAAACACUGGUCAGUUGAAUUCCCAGCCCAAAUCAGACACAACACACAACAGAAUAAAAAAGGAAGCACGGGUCUUGAAGCAGCAAUCAACGGUCAGAAAAAUCGACUGACCCUAAUUCAAUUUUCAGGCAACUUACAUAUAGCUAAAGUGCAAAAGAAUUUACUAGCAUCGUUACAGUGAAGAUUCCUAGGAGUAUUUUUAUUCAAAUAAGCUUUUACUGUUUCAUUCCAGCGAAUACUUUAUUCAAGCAAUUCUUCACUGGCACGUUACAAUGGAGAAUCCUAGGAGUAAACCCAAGUUCUCCAUUAGCACUUGUGGAGCCCAAAUGUCAAAAUAUUUGAAUCUCAGAACCGAAGCUAACUUCAUGCUGUGUGUGUUGCCAUGCGAUAUAUGCAUUGAGUUACUGACAUCUUGAUCUGCUGGGGAACAAAAAGGGUAUAUCAAUGGUGCAGUCCUGGCUAGGAGGAAUCCAUUUGAUCCUGUGAUAACUCCAUUUGGUGGUGCCCCUGUGAGUGAGUGUGCGCUACCUCGGCUCUAUAAGGCAGACUAUUACACCUUGCAGAGCUUGCUGCAGGAGAAAGCAACGAGCCAGAUUGUUGCUCAGAUGUGAAGGACUUCAGGGUCGGCAGGUAUGGCUACGGCAGCGUCAAGUUUGAUGGAGAAACCGAUGUGAGGAAGCUCGACAUCGCAUCCAUCGUGGAGUUCAAGCACCGUGAGGUCCUUGUCUACACAGAUGAGAUCAAGAGACCACCUGUGGCGCAGGAGCUCAACAAGCCUGCAGAGAUCACACUCCUGAAUGUGAAGUGCGUCGAUAAGAAGACCGGGUUGCAGUUGACGGAGGGUUCAGGGUCAAGCACUUUUAGUCGCAAGGCUCUAUGGCUAUGUAAAAAAUACUCUGUUCCUGCAUCUUAUAUUUGUUAGAGUCAGAAACAACAAUUUUAGAUCUGUGGCUGAUUGUUCGUCGUUGAUCCACAAGUUCAUCUUGGUUCGUUUCCUUUGCCAUUCACGGCCUCUAGAACGCACAUAUAUGUACGAACAAGUCCAACAGAAGUCAUUCCUAUGUAGGAUGGCAAUUCCUUUGUCAUCCUAGGGACAAUUCAAAAACGAAUCCAGAAGCGGCCAAACAAGCUAAAGAGCAAAAGCAAGGGAAAACAUAAGUAAAGCAGAUGCAAGCAAUAGCAGCGAAUAUAGAAAUAUAAUAACUAACACAUAUUGUAGAACCAACAAUAACGAACUGUUCCACGAGUACCACAAACAGCUAACCGCGCUUAAUGUUUGGCCAGCCAAAAGACAAAACCGAUACAGCUAAAACGUGCCAAAACCAUCCAACGUCGACACUAAGAUAAAAACAACUAGGCGGUGCAGGGCAUGGACAUCUGACGACGACAGCCGACAGGCAGCCUUGGCGCUUAGUCGACCUCCUCCAUCUUGCUCUCGCCGGCGUCGUCCUCCAGGGGCGGCAUGUCGGUGUCGUUCUCUGGCGCCUCGUCAUCCUCAUCAAUGCUCAGGCCAAGCUUGAGCAUGCGGUGGAUCCUGGUGCCGAAGGUGUUGGGGUCCUCCAGGCUGAAGCCGGAGGUGAGCAGGGAGGUCUCGAAGAGCAGCAUCACGAGGUCCUUGACAGACUUGUCGUUCUUGUCGGCAUCGGCACGCUUACGGAGCUCGUCCAUGAUGGCGUUCUCAGGGUUGAUCUCCAUGGUCUUCUUGCUCGACAUGUAGCCAGCCAUGCUCGAGUCCCUUAAGGCCUGGGCCUUCAUGAUCCUCUCCAUGUUGGCGGUCCACCCAUAUUCGCCAGUCACCAGACAGCAAGGGGAGUCCACCACACGGUCAGAGACGAUAACCUUCUCAACCUUGUCGCCCAGCACCUCCUUGAUGACCUUGCACAGCCCCUCAAACUUCUCCUUGAGCUCCUCCUGCUUCUUCUUCUCGUCCUCGCUCUCAUCAAGCUUCAGACCCUCCUUGGUGGCAGAGACAAGCUUCUUGCCCUCAAACUCCUUGAGCUGACCAAUGGCAUACUCAUCAAUGGCGUCAACCAUGUAGAUGACCUCAUAGCCCUUCUUCUUCAGCUUCUCAAGGAAGGGAGAGUUCUCCACAGCCUUCUUGCUCUCACCAGUGAUGUAGUAGAUCUCGUUCUGUCCCUCCUUCAUCCUGGUCACAUAGUCCUUGAGGCUCGUCAGCUCAUCACCACUCUUGGUGGAGUGGUACCUCAGAAGCUCAGCAAUCUUGGUCCUGUUCUGGGAGUCCUCGUGGAUGCCAAGCUUGAGGUUCUUGGAGAAGGCCUCGUAGAACUUGUUGUAGUCCUCCUUGUUCUCAGCAAUCUCAAAGAAGAGCUCAAUGCACUUCUUGACAAGGUUCUUCCUGAUGACCUUGAGGAUCUUGUUCUGUUGGAGAGUCUCACGGGAGAUGUUCAGGGGAAGGUCCUCUGAAUCAACAAUGCCCUUGACAAAGCUCAGGUACUCAGGGAUCAACUCCUCACAGUUAUCCAUGAUGAAGACACGGCGCACGUACAGCUUGAUGUUGUUGGCCUUCUUCUUGUUGUCGAAGAGGUCGAAGGGGGCCCUCUUGGGCACAAACAGGACAGCCUUGAACUCAAGCUGACCCUCAACAGAGAAGUGCUUGACAGCCAAAUGCUCCUCCCAGUCAUUGGUCAAGCUCUUGUAGAAAGCAGCGUACUCUUCCUUGUUGAUCUCCUCUGGCUUCCUCAUCCAGAUCGGCUUCUGCUUGUUGACCAAGUUCCACUCGUGAGAGACUUCCUUGAUCUUCUUUUUCUUCUUUUCCUUCUCUUCCUUCUCCUCAUCAACAUCCUCAACCUUGCCCUCCUCAGUAUCCUUCUUCUCCUCCUCAUCUUCAUCAUCAGAAAUUUCCUUCUCGGUGGUCUUCUCAGUCCACAGGGAGAUGGGGUAGCUGAUAAACUCAGAGUGCUUCUUAACUAGAUCCUUGAUGCGGCGCUCCUCAAGGUAUUCCAUCUGAAAGCAAAUUGUAACAAAUCAGGCAAUGAACAGAAAGCAUGUGCAAACAAAUACUGUACACAAAAAAGAUAUAAAGAACAGCCAAACAUACAUCAAUACAGAAUCAAAAAUAAACUAGUAGAAAUUCCAUGCAGAUAUGUAAUUCCAUAAUACAGUAUUGCAAUUCAAACUGACAUAAUGUUUUAUUGCAGUAAUUAAAAGAAGGUCAAAUCAAUAAGUACGAGUCAAUCCAUGCAUUGCUUACAUAUGAGAGCAUUAGAAUGCAGACAACAUAAGCUCAUCAUCAAUUUAAUGAUUUCACAGUCAAAUUUAAAGUAAUAAUACUACCAAUCAUGGUUAAAAUGUUGGAAAGUCAAUCAUAUUUAUACAGGCUACAUAUCAACCAGCACAGAUCUUAAUCGAGCUCAGUCCAGGCAUGAUAAAAUUACUGGUAUCAAAUUAACACAGAACUAUCCCAAUUCUAACAGCAAGCUGGUUAAGCAGUGCAGCCUCCCAGAUAAGCAUACACAACUAAUCACAUUACCAUCAAAUUUCCGCAUAGUAGAGGCAACAGAGUUUUCUCAUGCAGUGCAGAACUAUUGGACACAAAAACAUACAGUUUAGAUCAAGAUAAGCCUAUCUACCAGACCGUUGUAAGAACAAAUCACAUCAACACAUGGUCAGUAAGCCAAUCAUCACAGUUUAAAAGGCUUGGACUACAUAGACAAGUAGAUCACAGAACCGACAGGAUUAAGCUUAUGCAGUGCAGACAUAGAUGCCACAAAAUCAUACAGUUCAGAUCGGGAACAAGUCAAACAAGCAACCUACUAAUACAGCUACACUAACCACAGAACCUACAUCAAGACAUGAAGAGUAAAUCAAUCACAGCAUAGGAGGCUUGGACUGCAUACCUGGUCGUCCUUGAGGUAGAGGACCAUCUUGGUACCCCUGCCGAGCUGCUCCCCAGACGUAUCACGAGUGACGGUGAAGGAGCCACCGGCCUGGGACUCCCACACGUACUGCUCGUCGUCGUUGUGCUUGGUGGUGACGACAACCCUCUCGGCGACGAGGUAGGCGGAGUAGAAACCGACACCGAACUGCCCAAUCAUGGACACGUCGGCGCCGGCGGCGAGGGCCUCCAUGAACUCCUUGGUCCCCGACCUGGCGAUGGUCCCGAGGUUGUUGACGAGGUCGGACUUGGUCAUCCCAAUGCCGCUGUCAACGAUCGUGAGCGUGUUGGUCGCCUUGUCGGGGAUGAUGUGGAUGAAGAGCUCGGGCUGCGCGUCUAGCUUGCUCUUGUCCGUGAGGCUCUCGAACCUGAUCUUGUCCAAGGCCUGCCAAAAUCACACCAGUAAACACACCACGUCAGCCCAGGGACACAGAUCUGAAACGCAUCUCGCACGCCACGAAUCAGACCGCGGGUCAACGGAUCUGGCUCGACGGAAUCUAAACCCUAGCGUAGGCCGCAAAUCGACCAUGCGCUCGGACGGAUUCGUACUCGCGGAUCACGGGGUAAAAAUAGAGGGAUGAGAAGGGGAUCCGGGGGGCGCUUACAUCGGAGGAGUUGGAGAUGAGCUCGCGGAGGAAGAUCUCCUUGUUGGAGUAGAAGGUGUUGAUGAUGAGCGAGAGGAGCUGGUUGAUCUCGGCCUGGAAGGCGAAGGUCUCGGUCUCCGUCGCCAUGGCUGUGCGCGUCCCUGAGCUGCUCGAGGCGGGGCGGGGAGCGGAGGAGAAGCGUGCGGGAGGCGGCUAGGGUUAGGAAGGGUUUUGAGAGGACGAGAGGCCGUGGGGGUGGGAGCCUAUUUAUGUGUGGUCUCGCGGUUCUCGAAGGUUCUACAUGGGCCUGGAAGCCGGGCGAGGCCGGCGCGCGCACGUUGACGAGUCGCUGCCGGUGGUUGCUCGUGGGCUUCGCGGUUAGGGUUGCGGUGAGUUUUUGGAAUGGUCGUCGGCCUUUUGGUCCUUCGUGGCCCACCGGGACCGGGGUUUUCCAUUUUAGCCUGUCGAUGACAGAGACCCGUUUGGUAUCUUUGGACUUGGUUUUGGAAGGAAAGACGAGAGUUUAGGUGGAUUCCAAACCAGUUGAUUAUAGGUGUCUUCUGCAGAGGAAAGGAAUUACAAUUCCUUAUUACAAAUCCAUGUGGUUCUCCUCAGGUGCGAGCAAAUACUCCUAGCUUAUAGGUUACUCAGUUUUAAACAACCGGUAAAAGUGUUGUUGUUUUUUAUGAAUUGUUAUUAAAAAUGGAAAAACAAAUUUAAAAUUGUUUUUAAGUCGAACAUGUUGAAACCCUCUUACAUAUACGAUUUAUACAAUAUAGAACACUACUCGUGCGCUUGUGCUAAACCCUUUGUUGUCGAGAGAGCUAUGUUGCACUCAAAAAUACUCUUAUGGUCCCGAGCUCAUUUGAUCUCGGGACGAACAGUAAAAUCCAAGAAUAAUGAAAAUAAAUUCAAAAUCUCUAAAAUUGCGACAAAUGUUGUCAAUGCUUGCAAAGUUUCAUUGUGAAUUGACAUUUGUGGUCGUGGCAAAUAAACAAAAUCUUCGCUCCAAAAUACUUUUGAAAAAUAACAUUUUUGGAGCACCGAUUGUUUGCCACGACUUCUACAAAUGGCAUUUCACUAUGAAACUUGGUAAGCAUAGACAACAUUUGUCAAUCUUUGCCACACAAAAAAACAGAACUUUUUAAAAAAUAAUUAUUUUUGAAUUUACUGUUCACCCGAGCUCAUAUGAGCUCGAGCUAAGAAACUCCAUGUCAUGUUGCACCCUUCUUUUUCUUUAAGAUUUGCAUGGGAACCCGCUACUAUACAAAUAGAAACCCAAAAACUCGUACAUGAUAACCAGGGCUGGCCCUGGGGAGGGGCAGGGGCGUCCGCCCCAGGCCCCCAAAAUCUAGGCGGGGCUCGUUCGCAGGUAGGCCAUGGCCUAGGGACGCAACAGGUAAAUCUCAUAUCAUUAAUGUUCAAAUUCAGCUGGCAGCCCCGCAAGCGGAUACUCAAAAAAACUGACAGCCCCGCACGCAACAGCCGACGAGUAUUCCUCUUUUUCCUUGAGACCGCAAGUACUGAACAUCAAUCACGCCAAGAUAUCAGGCCUUGCCCAGCGGCAUGACCAUCAUUGACAGAUAGUAGCGCACGAUGCCCACGCCUCGUUUUUUCCGUCAUACACACCAGCCGCCAACACCCAAUUCCAGUCCCCAACACGGCAAGACCAUGGCCUUCGAUGCCUCAAUGGCAGCGAUGGAGGAGCACGCCUGUAGAUUCAUGGCCUUCGAUGCCGCAACGGCGGCGAUGGAGGAGCACGCCUGGUAAGUAACAACGUGCUCUUUUUAUCAACGCAACCUUUUUGAUUGAAUCCUUUGGGAUUACAUGUAUUUUGAGAUUUCUACACUUGCCCCAGCUGGAGAAAUUGUAGUCUUCGUAAUCAGGAGGAUUCUUCACUUAGCAUUACAAAAUCAACAGGUAUUAUAGUUUGACUCUGAAAUAUAAAUUCUGGGCACUUUUGACUCUAGUAGCAACUCAAGUGUUGGAAAUAUAACCUAGAGGCUAGAGGCAAUAAUAAAUUGGUUAUUAUCAUAUUUCCCGUCCAUGAAUUUUUUUAUUAUUAAUGCUAGAAUUGUAUUGACCGAAAAUUUAAAUACAUGUGUGAAUACAUAAACUACACCAUGUCCCUAGUAAGUCUCUACUAGACUAGCUCAUUGAUAAAAAAUGGUUAAGGUCUCCUAACCAUGGACGUGAGUUGUCAUUUGAUAACGGGAUCACAUCAUUAGGAGAAUGAUGUGAUGGACAAGACCCAACCGUAAGCUUAACAUAUGAUCGUAUCACUUUAAUUUUUGCUUCAGCUUUCUUCAUGUCAAGUAUCUACUCCUAAGACCAUGAGAUCAUGCAACUCUCAGAUACUGGAGGAAUGCCUUGUGUGCAAUCAAACGUCACUUCGUAAUUGGGUGAUCAUAAAGGUGCUCUACAUGUAUCUCUGAAGGUGUCUGUUGGGUUGGCAUUGAUCGAGACUGGGAUUUGUCACUCUGUAUGAUAGACAGAUAUCUCUGGGCCCUCUUGGUAAUACAACAUCAUUAAGAGUUUGCAAGUAAUGUGGCUAAUGAGUUAGUCACGGGGUCUUGCAUUACGGAACGAGUAAAGAGACUUGUCGGCAACGAGAUUGAACUAGGUAUGGAGAUACCGAUUACCGAAUCUCGGGCAAGUAACAUAUCGCCAAACAAAGGGAAUUGCAUACGGGAUUAACCGAAUCCUCAACAUCGUAGUUCAACCGAUAAAAGAUCUUCGUGGAAUAUGUAGGAACCAAUAUGGGCAUCCAGAUCCCGCUAUUGGUUAUUGACCGGAGAGGUGUCUCGGUCAUGUCUACAUGAUGCUCGAACCCGCAGGGUCCGCAUGCUUAAUGUUCGGUGACGCUAGAGUAGUAUUGGGAUAUGUACGUUUGUGACCAAAUGUUGUUCGGAGUCCCGGAUGAGGUCCCGGACGUCACGAGGAGCUCCAGAAUGGUCAGGCGGUAAAUAUUUAUAGAUAGGAAGUCCUAUUUUGGUCGCUAGAAAAGUUUCGAGCAUUAUCAGUAUUGUACCGGGAGUGCUGAAAGGGGUCCGGGGGUCCACCGGGGGGAUUCCACCUGUCUCGGGGGCCCACAUGGGCUGUAGGGGGUGUGCCUUGGCCUAUAUGGGCCAGGUGCACCAGCCCCAAGAGGCCCAUGCACCGAGAGGGGAGGAGGAAGAGUCCUAAAGGGGAAGGCACCCCUAGGUGCCUAGUGGAGGGAGGAAACUUCCCUAGGCCAUCGCCCCCUCCUUGGAGGAGGGUCUAGGGCUGCACCCCAGCCCUCCCCCUUGCCUCCUAUAUAUAAUGGGGGAGAGGGAGGGGUUGAACACACCAGUUCCCACGCCCUGGCGGCAGCCCUACCUCUCCCAUAACAACGUUUUCUCCUCAGAUUGGUUCCGACAGCGUUUGGCGAAGCCCUGCUGGCACUGCACCACCACCAUCUCCACCACGCCAUCGUGCUGGUUGAGAUCCCAUCUACUUCUCCUUACUUGCUGGAUCAAGGAGGAGGAGACGUCACCGAGCCGCACAUGUGCUGAACGUGGAGGUGUCGUCCGUUCGGCGCUAGAUCAGAUUGGAUCGCGAUCGGAUCGCGAAGAGUACGACUACAUCAACCGCGUUAUACGCUUCCGCUUUCGGUCUACAAGGGUAUGUAGACACACUCCCCUCUUGUUGCUAUGCAUAUCCUAGAUUAGAUCUUGGGUGUUCGUAGGAAUUUUUUUGAUUUUCAUGCUUCGUUCCCCAUCAGUGGCAUCAUGAGCUAGGUCUAUGUGUAGAUGUAUAUGCACGAGUAUAGCACAAAGAAGUUGUGAGCGUUGAUGUUCAGAUUGCAUACUGAUACGUCCAUUUUGCAUCAUGUUUACCUACUGUUAUUUAUGAUGUUUCUAUGCAUAAUAAUGCUUUUUGGAGUAAUUCUAAUGCCUUUUCUCUCAUAAUAUGCAAGGUACACACAAAGAGGGAGAAUUUCGGCAGUUGGAAAUCUGGACCUGGAAAAGCUACAUCAGGCCACCUAUUCUGCACAACUCCAAAUGAGCUGAAACUUCACGGGGAAUUUUUAUGGAAUAAAUAAGAAAUAUUGGAGCAAAUAACUACCGAAGGGGGGCCACCUGGUGAGCACAAGACACCAGGGCGCGCCUGACACCCCAGGCGCGCCCUGGUGGGUUGUGCUCAGCCCAGCCCACCUUUGGUGCCCAUCUUCUGGUAUAUAAGUCAUUUUGACCUAGAAAAAAUAAGGGGAGGACUUUCGGGACGGAGCACCGCCGUCUCGAGGCGGAACUUGGGCAGGAGCACUUUUGCCCUCCGACGGAGCGAUUCCGCCGGGGGAACUUCCCUCCCGAAAGGGAAAUCAUCGUCGUCAUCAUCACCAACAACUCUCCCAUCUUAAGGAGGGAAAUCUCCAUCAACAUCUUCAACAUCACCAUCUCCUCUCAAACCUUAGUUCAUCUCUUGUAUUCAAUCUUCGUACCGGAACUAUAGAUUGGUGCUUGUGGGUGACUAGUAGUGUUGAUUACAUCUUGUAGUUGAUUACUAUAUGGUUUAUUUGGUGGAAGAUUAUAUGUUCAGAUCCAAUAUGCUAUUUAAUACCCCCUCUGAUCUUGAGCAUGUUUAUCACUUGUGAGUAGUUACUUUUGUUCUUAAGGACACAGAAGAAAUCUUGUUGCAAGUAAUCAUGUGAACUUGAUAUGUGUUCGAUAUUUUGAUAGUAUGUAUGUUAUGAUUCCCUUAGUGGUGUCAUGUGAACGUCGACUACAUGACACUUCACCAUAUUUGUGUUGGGGAACGCGGUACUUCAAAAAAUUUACCUACGACCACGCAAGAUCUAUCUAGGAGAUGCAUAGCAACGAGCGGGGAGACGCUACUAGGAAAAUGCUUAUACACAGUAGCUUAGUAGUAGUGCUGUAAAAUAGUAACCGCUGUUGUUAAUUAGCAGUAGCGCUUUUCCUAGAAAGCGCUACUAGUAUCCCCAUAGUAGUAGCGCUGGGAAACAAAAACACGCUACUACUAUGAGGGACCAGACGAGGCCACCGACGGUAGGUGGAGUUGUAGCGCUGUAGAGAAUCCAGGGCUACUACUAAAAGUUUAGUAGUAGCGUUUUUUUACUGCACCGCUACUGCUAAUGGGUCCCACAUAGUAGUAGCGCUUUUCCUCGAAAGCGCUACUACUAGGUCCCUUAGCAGCAGCGCGUUUUGCUAGGCAGCGCUACUAGUAGUUGCGGCUGGUGCCACCUUUCCCACCCCCUCCCCCUCCUCUCUCCCCCACUUUGCCCUCUCUCCCCCUCCUUUCCCCUCUCCCCUCUUCACUCUCCACUCUCCACCAUUGUUGCUCUUCUUCUCUCUUCCUCCUACCUCUCUUCUCUCCUCAUUAAUGGCACCCUCCUCCAUAAAUGGCCUCUAUCUUUCUCCUACACCUCUCUUCUCUCCCCCAUUAAUGCCCCCAUCCACCAUAACCCCUCUCCAUCAGUUAGCUAGCUAGAUUCACCUCUCCUCCCCAACAACUAGAUCUAGCUAGCUAUUUAGCCAACCACACGUGCUCUGUCGAUUGUUCUCUCUCAUCAUCUAAUUAACCGCGUGCUCUCGGUCUCUCUCGGGAGAUAUAUGUAGGUGAGUAAAAAGUUGUUCAUUUCAAGAAUGGGAAUAUGUGUGUGAAUGAGAAUAUGUAUGUUUGGGAUUUGUGCUAGUGACAUGCUCUCGAGUUGCUUAUGUUUUGCCGAAAUGUCGAUUUAUUUCUGUUUCGGUGAAUUUCGAGCAAACUCAUAUGUCCUAUUUUUAGGCAAGGUCAUGCCAAGAUUAUAUAUAUGACUUUGAAGCAUGCAUUAUUUAUUUCAUAACCCUUUUGCUUGUUAUACCGUGCAUUCGGUCAUGAAGGUGAGUGGAUGGAAGGUGGAGCGGUACAUGCAAUCCGCGGUGAUGGACAUGUAUGCAAAUAACCGGACUAGGAUUAGAUGUCCAUGUGCAAGAUGCAAGGAAGGAGUCCUUUUGGACCCUUUUGAUCAUGGCACUUUUGAAGGCGCACCUGCUGAUGAAUGAUUUCAUGGAUGGCUAUACUCAGUGGAUAAGUGAAGAAGAAGAUGAUGAUGAGGACAUCCACAUGGCAGGGAAUAACGACAUGGGCUAGACGAAGAGAUGACCGAUCGACAAGAAGAUGAUGGCGCCGGACAUGUCGGCGGGGAAGAGUCCAGAAAUGACAACGGCGACGGAGAAGAUUCCGGACACAGCGAAGAAGAGUCCGGACAUGGCAGAGAAGAGGCGGCGGUCACGCCGCAGGCUUCGACGCUACUAAGUGCAGUCGUGAAGGACCCUCAUGUUCGAUACCUCCUUCGCAAGAGUACGACUAGCGAGAGAGCUGCUUCUAGAGAGGAGGCCAAGCUGGCGCAACUUGAAGUAGACUCGAGGACUCCAUUGUAUGACGGUUGCGAUCCCGAGGUGACCCGCUUGAGUUUCACGCUUGAACUUCUAAAGACGAAGGCCAAAAACAAAUGGACAGACAAAAGCCUCGAUGAGCAUUUGAAGUUUCUACAUAAUAAAGUUCUUCCCACGGGGAACCUGUGUCCUACUAGUGUCGGGGAGGCCAAGAAAAUCGUUUGCCCUUUUGAUUUGCCGCACAUUAGGUACCACGCAUGCAUCAACGAUUGCAUCAUUUAUCGGGGGGAGCACGCGGAAAAAACCAGUUGUCCAGUGUGCAAUGCUUCUUGAUACAAGAAGGCAGGAAAGAAAGCUCCUCAGAAAGUUGUAUGGUACUUUCCGAUCACUCCCCGUCUGCAGCGGUAUUUCGUAGAUCCUAAGGAAGCAAAGCGCGUGCGCUGGCACGCGGAGAGGAAGAAGCCCGACGAUGGAGAUGAUCUGAGGCUGAGACACCUCGUAGAUGGUAGCCAGUGGAGAGCAUUCAACGCCGUAUAUGGAUUUUCUGCAGAAGAUCCAAGGAACAUCGUGCUUGGUGCGAGUACCGAUGGCAUGAAUCUGUUUGGAAACCAGAACACCAACCACAGCACAUGGCCCGUGUUUGUAUGGAUGUACAACCUUCCCCCAUGGAAGUGCAUGAAGACAAAGUACAUACACAUGAGCAUGCUGAUUCAAGGGCCGAAACAACCGGGAAAUAGUAUUAACCUGUAUAUGGGGCUUCUGCAAGAGGAGCUAGACACGCUAUGGAAAACACCGACAUGGACAUGGGACGCCAGCAAAGGAGAAUAUUUCCAUAUGAGAGCUGCGCUGAUGACGACGGUGCACGACUAUCUCGGUUACGGGUACACCUCAGGCCAGGUGUGCCAUGGAUACUGCGGAUGCACGAGGUGCAUGGAUGAUACAACGUCUCAGCAGCUUACCUCAACGAAAGAUGGCGGGUCUAGGAAACUCGUGUACAUGGGGCAUCGUGGAUGGCUCGAGAAGGAUGUCCCGUGGAGGAAGGGUGGAGAUCUAUUAAAUGGGUUGGCUGAGCUUCGAGGACCUCCACAUAAGAGGAGUGGCGCCGAAAUCGAUGAGCUGUUGAGAAACUGGGAACAAUGCCCCGCGACGGGAAAGAUCAAAAAGGCACCGGAGCCGCUGCUGAAGGUAUGGAAACGAGGUCAGUUUUCUGGGACUUGGAGUACUGGCCCAAUCAUGACACACCUCAUUGCCUUGAUCCAAUGCAUAUCACGAAGAAUGUCUUCGAGAGCUUGCUUGGCACACUGAUGAACAUGCCGGAGAAGACCAAGGAUGGGCCGAAGG